GGAGGCAUGGGAAAGUCCACCUUGGCUCAGCUUGUUUACAAUGACAAGAGGGUAAAAGAAUAUUUUGAUGUGACAAUGUGGGUAAGCAUCUCACGUAAACUCGAUGUCCGCCGUCAUACACGGGAGAUCAUCGAGUCUGCCUCUAAGGGGGAAUGCCCACGCAUUGAUAACCUUGAUACUCUGCAGUGCAAGUUGACAGACAUACUGCAAGAAUCAGGGAAAUUCCUGCUUGUGCUGGAUGACGUUUGGUUUGAACUUGGCAGUGAAAGGGAAUGGGACCAACUGUUAGCCCCUCUAGUUUCCAGACAGACGGGAAGCAAAGUUUUGGUAACUUCUCGACGGGAUACAUUUCCAGCUACUCUUUGCUGUGAAGUGUGUCCUCUAGAGAAGAUGGAUGAUGCUCAGUUCUUGGCACUCUUCAAACAUCAUGCAUUCUCUGGACCAGAAAUCAGAAAUCCGCAGUUGCGUGAAAAGUUGGAAGAGUUUUCAAAGAAGAUUGCUAAACGGCUUGGACAAUCUCCUUUGGCGGCAAAAGUUAUGGGUUCGCAGUUGAAAGGGAAAACAGAUAUCACUGCAUGGAAGGAUGCUCUAACUAUGAAGAUUGACAAACUAAGCGAUCCCAUGAGAGCUCUGUUGUGGAGUUAUGAGAAAUUAGAUCCAUGUCUGCAGAGAUGCUUUUUAUAUUGCAGCUUGUUUCCGAAAGGCCACAAGUAUGUCAUUGAUGAUUUGGUUCAUCUUUGGAUGGCAGAGGGCCUUGUUGAUUCAUGCAACCAAAACAAGAGAGUAGAAGUUGUUGGGAGGGAUUGUUUCCAUGAAAUGAUCUCUGUUUCGUUCUUUCAACCAGUUGAUGAGAAAUACACUGACACGUACUACGUUAUGCAUGAUCUCCUUCAUGAUCUGGCAGAAUCACUCUCCAAAGAAGACUACUUCAGAUUGGAAGAUGAUAAGGUGACAGAAAUACCAUCCACUGUUCGACAUCUAUCUGUUCGUGUUGAAAGUAUGACACAGCACAAGCAAAGUAUUUGCAAGCUACAUCAUUUACGCACUAUUAUCUGCAUAGACCCCCUAGUAGAUGAUGUUAGUGACCUUUUUAAUCAGAUACUACAGAAUUUGAAGAAGUUACGCGUACUAUAUUUGUCAUCAUACAGUAGCAGUCAGUUGCCAGAAUCUGUUGGUGAGUUGAAGCAUCUUCGGUAUUUGAACAUCAUCGGGACACUGAUUUCUGAAUUGCCAAGAUCACUGUGUACUCUUUACCACUUGCAGUCACUUCUGUUAAAUGACAGUGUGAAGAGUUUGCCUGAAAACAUCUGCAAUUUAAGGAAGUUACGGCAUCUUGAACGGGAUGAGUUGGCACUGCCUCAGAUUCCUAACAUUGGCAAGCUAACUUUGCUUCAACAAUUGGAUAAAUUUUCUGUGCAGAAGAAAAAGGGAUUUGAGUUGGAACAGCUGAGGGACAUGAACGAGAUUCGUGGCCACUUAAGUGUCGAACAUCUUGAGAAUGUCACUGGAAAGGAUCAAGCCAUAGAAUCGAAGCUAUAUCAGAAAAGUCAUCUUGACAGCUUGCACCUUGGCUGGAAUCUCGGAAAUAACACGACUGCAGAGGAUAGCUUACAUUUGGAGAUUCUAGAAGGCCUGACCCCACCGCCUCAAAUUUCGGCCCUUUCAAUUGAGGGUUACGAAUCUUGGAAAUAUCCAGGCUGGUUAAUUGAUGGUUCGUAUUUUGAGAAUUUGAAUUAUUUGAGAUUUUUUGGUUGCAGAAAAUUACAAAUCUUACCAUCCAAUACUGAGCUGUUUGUGAAUUGCACUUCACUUCUCCUCCAGGGUUUGUCAAACCUGAACACAUUACCUUGUCUUCCACUAGGCCUUAAGGUGUUAAAAGUGCAGCGCUGCCCACUGCUCAUAUUUAUUUCCCAUGAUGAGCUGGAACAUAAUGACCAGAGAGAGAAUAGCACAAGGACCAACCAUUUGGCAUCACAACUUGGUUUGAUGUGGGAGGUGGAUUCAGGAUCAGGUAUUAGCACUGUACUCUUAUCGGAAUGUUCAUUUCUGAAGCAGCUGAUGAUAUUCACACAUGCUGAUAUGUCACAUGUUCAAAACUUUGAAAGUGCUCUACAGAGAGCGAAAAAUGGAGUUUUGGUAAAAGAGGAUAUCAUCAAGGCAUGGAUAUGCUGUCAUGAGCAAAGCAUGAGACUCAUGUAUGAACGGAGGAUUGGGCUGCCAUUGGUUCCACCAUCAGGCCUUCAUGAACUUCAUCUUUCUUCAUGCAGUAUUACAGAUGAAGCAUUAGCUGUUUGCCUUGAUGGCCUGGCUUCACUGGGGAGUUUGUUCUUAGAAAAGAUUUUUAAUUUAACUAAACUUCCUUCAGAAGAGGUCCUCAAACAUCUGGCAAAACUUGGCCACUUGAACAUCACAGAUUGCUGGUGUCUUAGGUCAUUAGGGGGCUUACGAGCUGCUACCUCUCUUGCACAUUUUACAUUGAGAUCUUGCCCUUCUUUAGAGUUGGCACAUGGAGCAGAAUGCUUGCCAUUAUCCAUUGAGAGCCUCUGGAUAGAAAAGUGCAUGCUUGAAGGUAACUUCCUCUGUACUGACUGGCCACACAUGGAUAAAAUUUCCAUAUGGAAUUGCAGAAGCACGGCAUGCCUGUCUGUUGGUAGUCUCACCUCUGUUAAAAAAUUAUCACUGGAUCGGUUGCCAGAUUUAUGUAUGCUCGAGGGAUUGUGUUUCCUGCAACUUGAAGAAAUGGGUUUGAUUGAUGUUCCGAAGCUCACUCUUGAGUGUACCUCACAGUUUCGAGUCCGGUACAAACUCGCUGUCAGCAGUCCUAUAAUACUCAACAACAUGCUCUCAGCUGAAGGUUUCACAGUUCCAGCACAUCUCUCGCUUGAAGGAUGUGAGGAACCAUUCAUUUCAUUCGAUGAAUCCGCAAAUUUCACAUCUGUCAAUAGACUGGAAUUCAGUAAUUGUGAAAUGAUUUCCCUGCCAACAAAUCUGAAGUGCUUCUCCACUCUGCAGAAUCUUAUGAUCUGUGAGUGCUACAACAUAUCAUCUUUACCAGAUUUGCCAUCCUCCCUCCAGCACAUAGAAAUAAUUGCUUGUUCUGAUCGCUUGAUGGAGAGCUGCCAGGCACCUGAUGGUGAAAGUUGGCCAAAGAUUGCGCAUAUCCGCUGGAAGACAUUUGUAUAAAGUGUGAUUCAGAUCCUGACCUACAAAUAAACGGAAAGGUAAAUUAGCUCCCAUCAGACACCUUAGCACCCGGAAAGAUAUAUAGCCUUUUCUAAUACAUGUGCAUUUCGUUAAAAAAUUUAUCUUUUCAAUACUCUAUUUAUUUCCAUCCAUUGUGUACUUCAAAUAAUGGCAGGACCUCCAGGCUCCAGCCACCUAUGACGAGUUCAAGUGCCUCAGUCUGUCUCAUCUUGCAGUUCAACCGGGUUAAUGCAGAACCUCCAGGACUGAGAAGUUCAACAUGCAAUUAUUUUGCGUGCUCCCUUUUCCUGGUGAUAUCAGUGAACAAUCUGGACAUGGUGUCUUGGCUGGGCAGCAAUGUGAUGGAUGAUGGCAGCUGAGAAGUAAUUGCAUGUGUUAAUGCUAUAAGGAACAAUUAGCUACACAGUUGACGCGGUAAUGCUAUAAGGAACAAUUAGCUACACAGUUGACGCGGUAAUGCUAUGGAUAAACAAGCCACUCAUCGAUGUUGGGAGGAGACAUCGUCCUAGUCAAACAAGCCACUGAGAUCAUGUUGCUUAGCUUUUAUUCUUUUGAAGUUUUGUAUGUCCGAAUUCUUCUAUGUCGCCGAUGAGUUAGUCGAACUCCAAGGCGCUUUGUUACAGUCUGAAAGAUGAUUAGUUUGCACUUCUCCGUCCAGAAUUAGUUGUUGCAGAAAUGGAUGUAUCUAAAGGUAAUUUUAGUUCUAGAUACAUCACAACUAAUUUGGGACAGAGGGAGUAUCAAGCUGUAUUGUUUCUAGCGACUGCUGGGAUGAGUGGUCCAUUAUCUACUGGAGAAGUUGCUUUUCAACCAAAAAAUGACUGCUGGGAUGAGUGGUCCAUUAUCUACUGGAGAAGUUGCUUUUCAACCAAAAAAUAAACAAAAAAUGUAGUGGAGCGAUCUAUUAAUUACUUAAUUUGCUGGCAAAUUGCUCUGUAUAUUGAUUGAUUGAUCCUAUCAAAUAAUACUUUUUUUGACUCUUCUUUAAUUAGAGUUGUCUGCUAUAAUUGGGGUCAGGGAACUGAUAAUUCAAUUGAUAAAGUUUUAUUUUGCUUUGGUAUGGACCGUCUGGAAAGCCCACAAUGACAUGCACUUUUAAGGUUUUUUUCUGCAUGACCAGGCACGAAAUCCGGGACCUCCUAUAUGACCCAGUUUGCGUCAUACAGGAGCUCGACCCACAGGGUCGACUGGACGGCCACCAAUCCGCUCAUUGUUUUGUUUCCUGUCGCGCGACACAAAAAAUGGUGAAAAACAACAGCACACCCCAGUAAUCGAUCCUGCAACCGCACAGUACAACCGCACCAACUAAAGACGUGUUCGGAAACCUUCCACUCCGCUCCAGGAGCGGGUGGAGCUGCCGUUCAAAACUGUGGAGUUGGCCAAUAGGCACUCCUCAGAUUCUUGAAUUACAUGGAGCCGGUGGAUUGCCGAACAGCCCCUAAACAUCUUGGUUCAAAAACUCUAUAGGAAAACACCGCAGCGUUGAGAUUUGGAAAGCAUUUCUUGAAAAUUGUAAGCAGUUUUGAAAUGCCGCAUUUUUAGGAAAAGUGAAGAAAUUUUGAUAUGCCAAUUUAAAAAUAAAACAUGAACAAAAUUUAGAAAUCCCAAACAGUUUCCAAAAACGCGAAGAAUUUCUUAAAAACUAACAUUUCCUGAUAAACAAACAAAUUAUAAGAAACGCGAACAUUAUUUGAAAUUUUCGAAUAUUGUCUGAGAUCACGAAUACUUUUCAAUUUAAAAAAUAGAAAACAGCAAAAAAUACUGAAGUCAGCACCAAUAAAGUAGAAAACACAAAAUAAAAUAAAAAGUGCAAACAAUUUUUUUAUUUUAUGCUUUUCGGAAAAUGCAAAAAAACUUUGACACAUGGGAAUAUUGUUGGAAUUGCGAACAAACUUUGAAACAUGUGAAUAUUUUUUGGAACAGCAAACAAAAAUGUUGAAUAUACAAACAUUUUUUAAACAUGAACAUUUGUUAAUAAUAUGAAUAAAUUUUGAAGACGAGAACGUUUUCUGAAAUUCCUGAACAUUUUUUGAAACACUAACAAUUUUAUGAAACUGUGAACAAAUUUCAAACGAGAACAUUUUUGAAACAUUAAUUUCUUUUAAAAUGUAACCAAAUUUUGAAAACAAAAACUAAUUUUGAAUUUCCUGAACAUUUUUUUAACACGAAAUAUUUUAUGAAAUUGUGAACAAAUUUGAAANNNNNNNNNNNNNNNNNNNNNNNNNNNNNNNNNNNNNNNNNNNNNNNNNNNNNNNNNNNNNNNNNNNNNNNNNNNNNNNNNNNNNNNNNNNNNNNNNNNNNNNNNNNNNNNNNNNNNNNNNNNNNNNNNNNNNNNNNNNNNNNNNNNNNNNNNNNNNNNNNNNNNNNNNNNNNNNNNNNNNNNNNNNNNNNNNNNNNNNNNNNNNNNNNNNNNNNNNNNNNNNNNNNNNNNNNNNAAAAUGUGAACAAAUUUUGAAAACCAGAACAUUUAUUGAAGAAAAUUAAACAUGAAUUUAUUAUCAAACUAUGAACAAACUUGAAAACGAGAACAUUUUUUGAUACACGAAUAUUUAUUGAAAUUGUAAACUAAUUUUUAAAUUGAGAUUUUUUAAAGUCCUGAAGAAUUUUGGAAACACGAACAUUUCAAAAAAUGUUAAGAAAGUUUUAAAAGAAGAAAAAAAAAUAACAAAUUAUUUCAUAUUUCCAAGCAGAAGAAGCAGGUAAAAAAAGAACAAAAAAGGAAAAAAGUAAAUAAAAAAGAUGCAUAAAUAGGAAAAAAAGUAAAUAAAGAAAUGCAUAAAUAAGAAACUGAUAAAAGCAGAACUGGAUUUAGAAAUAUUAUCAGUAUUGGGAACUUUCUAUAAGGUUCCUAACCGUUUUACAGAACUGGAGUUCACAUCAUGAGGAUCUCCCGACCACAAAUGUCUACCAGGGAAAAGAGAAAUGCCAAACCUAGCUAAUCGAUGGGCUUCACAAUUCGAAGCUCUAGACUCAAAAUUGGAAACACACCAAACUAAAACUUGUACUGUAAUCAUUUAUCUCUCUAAUGAUGCCUCCAUAAUUACCUCCCGUGUCUUGAUUAAUGUGAUUGACACCUUGCUUACAACCAGAUCCUGUGCUAGGGACAAGGCCUCCCUACAGGCAAUAGCUUCAGGCGAUGAAGCAUCUUACAAACCUGGAAUGACGAGAACUGAAGAGCCCAGGUAGCCACCAUCCCUAUCGUGACAUACUGCUGCCAAUGUUCCUGAAUAGCGUCCAACACCAACAUCCACGUAUAUUUUGAUCGAGCCCAUAGGAGGUGGCAACCAUCGUUGUUGAGUUUGAACUACCGGCGCAGUUGUUAUUUCAUGUCGCAUUGGGUUCUACACUUGCUCAAGCUCUGAGAUAAACCUUGUAACAAAAAGAUGUGUCGAAAAUGAGCUUCGGUUGAUACCUUCAUGAAUCAAUUUCCGUCUCGCCGUCUAAAUCGCCCAAAGUGUUACCAUAAACCGUGUGAACUAGUCAUGCGACAGAUCAUCCAUCAAGGUGAAUAGCCAAUUUCUCGCCGAUGGUUCAACCACGGCCACCAUCCAGUCCAUGAGUUCAGGGUCCACCAACGCCCACACACACCUUGCCAUAGAGCAUUCAAUAAGGCUAUGUCUCCAAGAAUCAAGCAUACCACACACUGAACAUGCAUCUCUAUCAGCCAUAUUUCUAUGUUUUCGUACGUCGUCGGUGGGUAUUGAGUGUUGGGCCAAUCUCCAAAGGAAGACUUUGAGUUUUGUUGGUACAAGAACCUUCCAAAUAACGGUCCAAAUUUUUUCAUUAGCUGAAGUAUUAGAGGAGCCCGGUCGCUCAUCAAGCCACUCUUCCCUCCGUUUUUUUGUUGCCACAGUCAUCCUAUAGGCUGUGCGUACCGUGAAGGUCCCAGGUUUCUCGAAGUGCCGUGACCAAAAAUCCUCCAUAUUACGCGUAUAAAUAGGAAUCUGCAUAAUCGCCAAGGCAUCAUAUGGUAGAAAUACCUGCCCGAGUACCUCGCUAUUCCACCUAGCGUUCAGAAUGUCAAAAGGUUCAAUUCGCACUCCCGAGAGAAUUGGGCGUAUAUUCUCUUGUCUUGGUAUCCAAUUCGUGUUCCAUAUAUCAAUAGAAGUAGUAAUUCCUAAAACAGGAAUAGCUGCAACACAUGAAUGGGCUUCAAUCGCGAGCCGGUGCAAAAGGUCAACAGUUCGACGCAACAUGCGUCAAAUAGGAUAUACCGUGAAAUCCUAUUCAAAAAAAAAAAAAUCCUAUGCAGAUUGUCGCUGAGUCAUCCACCAUUCUUAGUUUCAUACACAGCCAGCGAACCAGAUGGGCUGGCCAAAUAACUACUCCCUCCGUUCCAAAAUAUAAGACAUUUUAGGUAUUUCACUAGAAGACUACAUACGGAGCAAAAUGAAUGAAUCUAUACUCUAAAAUAUGUCUAUGUACAUCCGUAUAUUGUUUAUAGUACAAUCUCUAAAAGGUAUUAUAUUUAGGAACGGAGGGAGUAGAAACGAGCGUGCCACAGUACAAUUGGUUAUUUCCGGUUUCGGGAGCCUUCUAGAACAUUCCUGAACCUUUUUUUUCCUCUUUUUUUAUGUUUCUUUUUUGUAUAAUAUUUUUUUCUUCUGCCUGUUUCUUUUUUUCUUUUACCUAUUUAUCUCUAUUGUCCUUUUUUUUGUUCAUGUUUUCCUAAAAAGUAUGGAAUUUCAAAAACAACAUGCUUCUUUUGCAAAAAAUGCUCUAAAAUUCCAAAAAUAGAUCAAAUUUCAUUAUUUACAAUGUUUUCAUUUUAAGUUUUUUCACCAAUUCGGAAAUAGUCAGGAAUUUGAAAAAAUGUUCCGAAUUUCAAAAUUGGUUCACAAAUUCAAUUUUUUUUCAAAAUUAAAACUUAAAGUUAAAAAUGCUUCAUGAUUUCAAAAAAAGUUUCCACUUAUUAAUUGUUUUCACUAAUUCGAAUACAGUUAACAUUUUCAUAAAAAUAAAAAAUUCAAAACAUGUUCAUGUUUUCCAAAUUUGUCCGGAAAUUCAAAAAAUGUUUGCAUUUUUUUAUUUUUGUUCAAAGAUGAUACUGAAUUUCAAAAAAAUGUUUGGAAAUUCAAAGAUGAUACUAAAUUUCAAAAGAUGUUCCCCUUUUGAAAUUUGUUUCCAAAUUCGUUAAAUGUUCAUGUUUUCAAAAUUUGUGCUCUAAUUUGGAUAAAAUGUUCGUAAUUUCGGAAAAUAUUUGCUUUUUCGUUUUUAUUCCUGUUUUAAAAAUAAUUUUGAAAAGUGUUCGGGACUAAAAUUUUGUUUAUAUUUUUUAUUUUUUGAGAUUGCCAAAAACAAUUCUUUUUCCAUAUAAUGUUUGAGUUUUCAAAAAUUUGUUUAUAAAUAUCAAAAAGAAAAUCGCCUCUAAAAUUUUGAAAAAUUGUUUAAUAUGUGUCGUAUUAUGGUUCAUAUAAACCGGGCUGCAAUUUUGGACCCCAAAUCUUUUUGCAAUUGAUUGCUAGCGACGUUCAUCACUUGCAGCCUGUAGGACGUCUUCAGUUUAAAUCCUCUCAGCAUUUUAGUUUUUGGUAAUUUUAGCGAACUGUUAUUUAAGUUUUGCCGCUCUUAUUUGUUUCUUUAGAUAUGGCGCUGCAAAUCUACCAUGAUUGUUACUCACACGGAACGAUUAGGACAGAGCGCGUUUUGCUACGAACUCGUCGGUUUGAGUCACUGCGCAAGAGCGAUUAUUUUUUCCAUUCUUCAGCUCGCGAAUGUGUUGCCUUCGCAUGCCACUCAAUGAGUUGGCCCAGGUUAGCCGCCCCUAUGCGGAAUGCCACCUUUUUGCCGCAACGAGUGGCAUAUAGGAGGUCCCGGACCAGAGAUCUCCCUACAAAAUAAUAAAUCAAAUAUCAGUUAUUUAGAUAACCUUAUCGCUUUUUUCAAACCAUUGCAAGUGGUUUCCAUGUUGCUGCUAUUGGAGUUAUGUUGCAAAAUCUAUACUCGGAUACGUCCAUCUUCAUUCAAGCAAUUUAUUUGCAUGUUGAAUGUGUGUUGCAAGUCAAAGCUCUUGCGACUGGUUCUCUUGCUUGGAGGAAUAUCUCAUUUUUCUGCCAAUUGCAAAAAUGUUGGAGAUGACACCAAUGCAAAGAAUCUCCUGGCAAGCCCGGGGCAUUUGACUAUUACGCAUGUUGUUGCUGAGUUCAUCAAGGCUUCCACACAUCUCGGGAAACACUAACAAACUAGUGCAUGCAUGCCCUCGCAAGGCAAACAAUUGGAGAUCGACCGGCACCGCACCAGGGGCGGAGCUAUAGUGUUGGGCUGGAAUCAAUUGAGCCCAACAACCUUGGUCCAAACCCCGUUAGAUACAAGAGCCCGUGAAGAAAAUUUACACAGUGAAAACAAAAUGACCCCAGUACAUGGGCACCCCUAUAUCUCGCCUUCAGCGAGUCUAGGUCCUGACUCGUUGAAGGGGGGACUCGAGAUGGGCCGGCCCACCAGCUCACGAAGAGAAAACCUUUUGGAGAAUGGUGUCUCCUAGAUUUGUUAGGUGUCUUUUAGGAUCCUCCAAAUUGUGUGUAGUUGAACCAAGAAGUUUGUCAGGGAAAGGAGAUCGCCUACUUCGUGAAGAUCUACCUGAGUGAGGCUAGUCCUUCGUGAACGUAAGUCAUGAUGGCAUAGAUAAGGUUGCUUCUUCGUGGAACCCUCAGGGAUGGAGCCCUUACACUCCGUGGGUUGAAGCCUCCAUCAACAUGGACGUAUGAUAGCACCGCCUAUCGAAACCACGGCAAAAACACUGUGUCUUCAUUGCGUUUGGUCUUCCCAUCUGUACCUUCCUUUACUUCCUCAUUACACUUGCAUGAUAUUUUUGCCCACUACUCAAUCUCUAUAUAUGCAUGUGUAGGAACUUUUUAAUGUGACUUAACUUCUGCUAAAAUCUGCCUAAAAUUCAAGAAAACUAAAAACUACUCAUUUGCCUUGUUAAGUGUCUAUCCCACCUCUACACGUCACUUCUUGAUCACACACAAUUACUCCAUAUGUCCAGCCCAUGUCUAUGACGGAUAUGGGAUGCCUGCAGGCUCCAGAGCACCGUGUCCAUGUCAGACUGGCCGCUUGGGCCUGCGCUAAUUCGCCCAUAUCUGUCCCCUUCCUUCUGGACCGACCAACCCUCUUUCCUUUUAUGUUUGUCCUUGUCUGCAUAGCCAUCACCGGAGUUUCGCCGCCAUCUUUGCUCCUCUGCCAUUCUUAACCCAGAGCUUCGCCAUCGGACGCCCUAACCCACACCACCACCGACCAGGCCACAACCGGUCAACGUUUGGGCCGGUUUCCUAUUCUUUCAGUCAUUACUUCUAGGUCACCAAUGGAUUCGUCAUGGAAUGAUGGGUAUGGGAACAAGUUCAUCAUCUCAUGUGAUGCAGAUGAUGAGGAUGUUGAAAUGAUGAUGAGCAUCCAAGAUGAGUUGAUGAAGGCAGUAGAGCACGUCCUCAACUUCAAGGGUUCCAUCAAGAGGUGGAGUGUUAUUCUUAGUGAUAGGAUUGUAGUGCAUGUAUUUUGUACACGGGUUACUUCACAACGGACCCAACAUCCCCUGAAAGUUUCUUUCGUCGUCACUACUGAAUGAGAAGAAUUUUGUUAUUGCGGGUAGUGGAAGCCGUGAAGGUUGAUGACAACUUCAAGCUAAGGAAGGAUUAUUGUGGAAAAUUUUCCUACCCUCCUCCAUAGAAAUGCACGAUUGCUCUUAGGGUGCUUAUUUAUGGUAAAUCAGCAGAUGCAAUUGAUGUUGAUGUCCAGAUGGGAGAGACCAUAGUCUUGAACACCAACGUGCAAUUUGCACGCACUAUGGUGAAGGUGUUCGGGCUAGAGUACCUAAGAGAGCCAACUGUGAAGGACACGGAAAGAUCAUUGACAAUUGAGUAUCAAUGGAUUCCUAGGUAUGCCAGGUUUAGUUGAUUGCAUGUAUCAGCACUGGUCGAACUGUCCGAAAUGUUUACGUGGGCAAUACCAAGGCCAUGUCAAAGAAGCUAUCAUCAUACUUAAAACAGUGGCACCAAAUGACUUGUGGAUUAGACAUGUUUUCUUUGGCACACAAGGUUCGUGCAAUGACAUCACUCCAAAGAUCUGCUUUUUUCAAAAGACUUUGUGAUGGGGACUCUUCACAUACGCCAUCUUCAUGUGUAUCGAGGGGAGAUAGAAAAGAAUAAGAGUGUCACACUGCAUGCAUGCAGUAGAGGACAAAAAAGUACAUGAUUUUUUCCUAUUUGAAAAACUAAAACAUUUAUCUCUUGAAUGACCAAUCUGAUUGGAUAUAUGUUCUCGCCACCAGAUUCAUCGUCACAGGAUCUUUUAAAUUAUAUAUUUCUCAUAUAAUUUUUUCGGGUUAAAAAUUCACAAGGUAGAGUAUGUGAUUUACCGGGCUAAUCAGCUGUUAUUCUAGCUUCAAAAUUGUAUGUCAUUUGAAAUGUUUUUUGCGAAAAAAAUUCGAGCUCACCUAAUAUUGUGUGAAUCAUAGGUUACCGGUUUAAAAAACUCAUAAAUAUAUGCAUCCAUCCCAAAAUAGAAGGCACGAUUUAUUUUCUGUUAAAGACUUACAAUUUUAACUACGGUUUGUAUUUUAAAUAUAGGCACAAAAUUAGUACAAAAAAAUGGAAUGAUUUUGCAAGACGAAUGCAGCAAUACCAUUUAUAACUAUCAAUACAUAUCAUUUAGUACACGUUGUUGGUCAAAGUCGUGCAUCACACACUGUGCGAAAAACACGCCUUAUAUAUUUUCGGACAAGUGGAGUUAAAAUAUCAUUUCAAAUGUGUUUAUGACAUUUUUUUCGAUCUUAUAAGUUAUCAUUGCCUAAUGUUUGAGUUACCGUACUAUUCACACAUUGUUAUUGGAUCACAAAAGUUAUCUCGAUCAGAUGUAUCUGUGAGUUUUUUGGUGCUCCCAAGUUACCAAGUUGCCAAAACUUACUAGGUUGAAGGGCAGAGGGGGGCUCGGAUUCAGAGACAUACAUGAUUUCAACAUCGCCAUGCUGGCCCGGCAGGGAUGGUGCCUGCUCCAACAACCGGAGACCCUAUGUGCACAGCUUCUGAACGCCAAGUACUUCCUAAACUGUUCGGUGUUGGAGGCGGAUCAGACUGCAAACAUGUCCUAUGCGUGGCUCGGUAUCAAACAUGGUAUUGAGUUGAUCAAGCAAGGUGUGAUUUGGCGUGUGGGGGAUGGACAGAACAUCCAGAUUUGGGAGGACCCAUGGAUCCCUAGAGCCUGGUCGCGGAAGGUGAUAACUCCUAAAGGAGGUAACCCAUGGAUCCGGUUUCAGAGCUUAUUGAUUUGGUUUCUGCCAAGUGGGACGAGGACCUGAUCAGGGACAUGUUCUGGGAGGAGGACGCCAAUCUAAUCCUUCAAAUGCCGCUGCGGGAUGAAGCUGAAGACUUCAUGGCCUGGCACUUCGACCCCAAGGGUAACUUCUCUAUCCGACAAGCCUACAAACUAUAACGGGCUGUCUCUGAGGUUCAGCUUGAUGGAAAUGAUGCUGCCCCAUAAGGGGUUGGUAAUUUGAAUGGUGGUGGUGAUGUCAAAUGGAAAAGAUUGUGGAGGAUGCCAUGCCCGGGGAAGAUCCGACACUUUAUGUGGAGAAUGGCGCAAAGUACCAUUCCCACUAUGGAUAUUUUGAGCAGGAGGGGAGCGCACAUGGAUGAUCAUCGAUGCUUUUUGUGCAAUUCUAGGCAUGAAUCAGGGAAACACUUGUUUGUUGAAUGUCAUAAGGUCAAGAAAGUGUGGAGAGAAUUGAAUCUCGAACUUGUCAGGCAGCAAUUGGAAGGUUGCACUUCGAUUGGGCAAACUCUGGACAGUCUUUGGCAGCAGCCCGAGAAUGUUCGCAUGCAAAUCAUUGUUAUGCGGUGGCAAUGGUGGAAUCAGCGGAACAAAGUGCGAGAGGGAGAGAAGCCGAUGGAGGCCAACCAGACUGCAUUUAGGCUGCAUGUGCUGCUUCGGAAUAUAGUGACGGUUUCUGUAAGAUGCCUAAGCCGGCGGAGGUUACUCAUCACUGGACCCUGCCACCCCAAGAUGUGGUAAAGAUCAAUGUGGAUGGGGCCUAUACCCCUGGGGAUCAGCAUGAUGUUUGGGGUGUGCUGGCUCGGGAUAGUGAUGGGUUUGUGGUUGCGGCUCGAGCGGGGCAAGUGGAACAUGUUGUAGAGGCAUUCGACACUGAAUUGCAUGCGGUGGAGAAGGUAGUGGACCUGGUGGCUGAGCUCGGUUGGUGAGGUUGAUUGUCGAGACAGGCGCGCUCCUAGUCGAACAAGCCCUCAAUAGACGGACGUCAAAUUUUUCGCGACACGCACAUGUUAUUGCAGAUGUCAGGGCUCAGGCCAGACUUUGGUUCUCCUUCUGUGAGUUCGUCUAUUGUAAGCGUGAGGCAAACAUGCCUGCUCACCACCUUGCCAUGCUUGGCUUAGCACUCCCUGAGGGAGAUGUAGUUGUUUUUUAUGAUGAUUUUCCAGCGCAUGUAGUUGCUUAUGUUAUGAGCGAUUUAGCCCUAAACAUUGCGGAAUAAAGCUUAUGAUUGCUCUAAAAAAAGUUACCAAGUUGCAACAUGGAUAACUGAAACAAAAUUGUGGGCGGUAGUUGUAACAUGGGUAGUUGCAGCAAACAUCGUAGUGCUGUAUUUGAGAUAGCAAGCCAUGGACGUAAGAAUGUACUUCCUUGGUCCUAAAAUAAGUGUCACUGUUUUAAUAUUAAAUUUGUACUGACAUUUAUUUUGAAAAGGAGGAAGUAUUCCCUGUUAGAAGACGAACAUUCCACCUGGCCUUAUUCGACGCCUUCACAAUAAUCAAGAAGGCAUGUACUCCAUCAUUCUGCAAUCUGCAUGGAUGGUGAGCUAAAAGAAGGCAUUUACUCCCAUGCACAGUAAACAUGUUCAAGUGUUGGCCAUAGUCAGCCUGGAACACGGUGGAGAGAGGACAUGAGAUGAGAUUCCUUUUGUGUGGCACACACACCACACUGAGAAGAGAACCAUGCGUCCACUUGAACAGCUCACGUUCCUGCAGUACAUUGUUGAUUAUUCCUUGUGUCCCUCCUCCAUUGAUUGUACCGUAGUUUCCAUUGAUUGUACGUUGAUUGAUUUUGGAAAGAACUGUACUAGAUGUAUGUAGUUUCCAUUAAGUCCUGAUCGACCAACUGCUGCACUGGCAUGUUUAAUACAGAAGACAUGGAUCGGUCGUAUAUAUUACUAAGGAGAUGUUUUAUAUCUACACAAGAGAAGAGAAAAAAGAGAGUGAAGAUGGGGGCUAUCCUCUUCCGGCACUGGCAGCAGCAGCAGGAGCCGGCGUGGUUCGUCUCGCUCGCCGUCCUUGGCGCUCUGCACGUCGCCGCCGUCGCCUUCCGCGUCCUCUCCCACCUGCUCUUGCUGCUGCGCCGCCCCACUGACCUCUGCCGCCGCUACGGCGCCUGGGCCGUGGUGACCGGCCCCACGUCCGGCAUGGGCCGCUCCGUCGCCCUCGACCUCGCCCGACGCGGCCUCAACCUCGUCCUCGUCGGCCGCGACCCUGCCAAGCUCCACGACAUCUCCCACACCAUCUCCUGCGCCUACGCCGUGCAAACCAAGACCGUCGUGGUCGACCUCGCCCUCAUCGCCACGCCUAGAGGUGAUUUUUCUCAAGGAUUUAGUAGGUUAUAUGUAGUCGCCAAGUUCAAAUGUACCAAAAUAUUUUUAAGCUAUCCUCCGACUCUUGAAAUGCAUGCAUGCAUGCAUGAAAUUUCCGCCGGGAAGGUUAAGGUGAUGGACACGAGCUGCAUGCUGGUUAUGUUUACUGAUCGAUGGUGGCAGGCGACGAGGCGCUGCGGCUGCUCGGGGAUGCGGUGGCGGGGCUCGACGUCGGGGUGCUGGUAAACAACGCCGGUCUAGCCAAGCCCUGCGCGGUGUAUCUGCACGAGGCGGACGUGGAGGCCUGGGUGAGGAUGAUCCGUGUGAACCUGUGGGCGCUCACCGAGGUGACGGCGGCGGUGCUGCCGGGGAUGGUGGAGCGGGGCAGGGGUGCCAUCGUCAACAUCGGCUCCGGGACCACCCUGGCCAUCCCGUCCUUCCCGCUCCUUUCCAUCUACGCAGCCUCCAAACGGUAAUUCGGAGUAGUAUAGUACACAACCUCUUCUGUCGUUUUCACCCAACUUAUACCAUGAACAUUUUCUUAGCUCAACAAAUGUACAUUUCAGGUACGUUGCUCAGUUGUCCAGGAGCCUUCACGUUGAGUACAGGGGCAAAGGAAUCGAUGUACAAUGUCAGGUUCGUACGUGGGGCCUACUAUAAUAUUAGAGUGAAAAUGCAUACGGGCAGUUCAUGUUUGUUUCUACGUGUUCCUUACAACCAUCCGCCCAAAUCUAUUAUUACUACUGAAGAAUGUUUCAAAAGUUAUUUCAGAGUCUUGUUGAAUGCUAGUAAUACAAGCGUGUUGCAUAUCAACAAGUUAAUCCAAAAUACAAACACAAUGUGUAGAUAAAAUAGCAAUUCAAUUAAAAAUCCACCAACUUCAUCUGCUAUUAGAAUCUAAACCUUGCUACGUACGUCGCGAUGGAUCGAUUUAGACGCAACAUAAUAAUCAUUGUUGGGUGGAUCAAAAUUAAUACCAUGGCAUGUGUGAUGCAACUGCAGGCGCCGUUGUUCGUGGAGACCAACAUGACAUUGGGGGUGGCUGCUUCUCGCAAGCGACGAAGCCUCUUGUCCCGGCUAAUCAUGCCGACAUCGGACGAGUACGCCAGAGCGGCAGUGUGCUGGAUCGGGCAUGGCACGCUGUGCAUGCCUAACCUGGGACACCGGCUCCAGUGGUGCAUAUGCCAUGUUAUGCCUGACUGGGUGCUCGAUGAGUUGUGCCUCCGGGUGAACCUAUGGCAGAGAGUCCGUUUCCAGCGCCUCAGAACGACGAGAGCAUCACGGCCAACCGUCGUCAACGAUGGAUGUGUAACUGGCAAACAAGUCUAAUCAGUCUCUCCCGCAUCAUUCGAUGGUGUGCAUGUACACAUAUCUUCCUUGUAUAUGUUGGAAAUAUAUGUGUUAAUCUAUAUUGUCCGUGAACAUUUUCAUCAUAUGUAUCAACUACUAUAUGAAGUGUUUGUGAAACUAUAUAUUGUAUGUUGAUCGUCUUAAAGGCCACUAUACUUUGAAUAGUACACAUCAAUAGACAUGGUCAUAUUUUGGGUGCGAGGAGCAUGGUUAAUCAUAGAACGUCACUAAAAACUACUAUGUGUAUGGGUUAACUGAAGCAAUGACCAUCAAAUUCAGAAUUGGCAAGGGUUCAUGCACCCUAGCUAGAAUAUUGGCAGUGACGGACUUCCCCACAGUGUAGCCCGAGGUUUAAUUAAUAAGUGGAGUCCCACGAGUUGGCAAGGCCAUCGCUCACUACAAAAUAGUGUCUCCUAUACUUUUGCCUAUAGAAAUGAGAGUGAUAUUUUGAUAAAGAAAAAUCAUUUUGAACCCUGGCCGUAAUACUAUUGUUAGAAACCCCAUUUAAUUUAAAAAGAGAGAGACCAUGUUUUCAGCUUAGAAUGCAAAUCAUUUACUAUUGAAAUCGGCUUCUUUACCGUGUAUGCCAAAUACUCGGCGAAAGACAAAACCAUGUCGGCAUACUAUUUGCCGAGUAUUACACUCAGCAAAAACCAUGUCAGCAAACGAGAGUAUACCAAGUGUCAAGAGUUGGGAAUGUCAGCGAACCGUAUGCCUAGUAUUUUCGGUCAGUACUCGGGCAACGAUUUAUAAGACUAUCCAUAAUGGAAAUAACAUAGGUAAUAACAUAGAUGUCACCUAAGCAAAAAAUAUAAUGUGACAACUAAUUAAUGAGAAGAGAGAGAAAUUGAGUAACUUAGCAUGUUACUCAUACCAGGAAUAACAUAGCGAAAACCAACACAAGAUGAGUCUAUAGACUAAUAAAUGAAAGGCCCAAUGUUACUACCUCUAUAUUACUAUUCACUAUGCAGGUAAUAACUUAGACUAAUAACAUAUAUAUGUUAUUACUCUAUGUUACUCCCCGUUGUGAGUAGUCUAAACUACAAACAAGUUCAAAGCCAGGCAAUGAUUCGACGACAGUUUAGACACAGAAUAUCCAUGUUUCAAUAAUCAGCAGCACAUGGAUCGAUAGGGCAACAUAAUCCAAAUUAGGAAACAGUGUGUUGAAUCACAAAAGAUGAACCAACACAUGCACUAGUAGAGAUCAGCUCCAACAAACAAUAUGUAGGAGAUAUACUCUAGAGGCAACAAUAAUAGCUAUUAUUAAUCUCUAAGUUCGUGAUUAAAGUCUAUAUUCCGUGUUAUAACUGCUUUGGACCUUGAGUCCGUAUAUCCAUAAAGUCUCAGAGGUAAACUCAUAUACACGUGUGGAAUAAUAAACGGUAAAAUGCAUUCCUAGGCGUGCUUCUAAGACUAGCUUAAGUGUUGCAUGAUGGUCAUGUUUUCCUAAUUAUGCACAUGAUUAUGCCAGCAAAUUUUGUUAGAAGAACACUUGUGCUGAUUCGACCCAAAUUGAUGUUAUCCUAUGAGAUAUAGUUGUCACGAGUUAAAUGUUUUAUAACACAGUGGAAGCUAGUUUUUGCAUAAUUCCUUAGACCAUGAGGGUAUCGAGUUCCUUCGUACUUGCUCCAUGGACUUUGGGUUUAUCUAAACGUCAUCCGUAAAAGGGUGACUAUUGCGGCAGCUUUCAAGUUAAUGGAAAAAAGUAUGGCAUGGUUUUUGGUUGCACAAAAACUUCUAGGCCCUCCAAUGGACUUUCGUCUUCCCGUCUUUUGAUCCCCAAUAAAUGUUUCUCACCAUCAUCACACACAGAAAAUGGUAGUUGAAAACAAACCCAUGAUAUAAGUAGGUAGAGCUUGCACAACCGAUUUAAUUGGUACUUUUCUCCCGGACUGUACAAGAAUGUCAUAUCCCCAUUGUAUCAACAUUUAUGUUUAACUAGUUUGUAAGUUCUGAAGCCAACCCUUGGAAAUAUGUCCCUCUGGCAUAGGGAGGCCUCGGUAUUUUUCUUCAAAGCCUGAACUUAUUAUUUUAAGGAUUUCCCUCACUGUUUCUAAACCUCCAGAGGAUAAGCAUAACCAAACAUGACAGAGCAUUUAUCAUAAUUCAGUAGUUGACCAGUGUCUUGUUCAUAGAGAUCAAGACUCUCUUUCGUUUUCAAUGAUUUUUCUUGAGAGGCUUGAAAGACAAAAGGGUAUCUUGCGCAAAUAGCAAGUGCAAAAUACCCGGUGCAUGGCGACAAUCCUUCGCAGAGGAUAUAUUAUUCAAACCAACUCCCAUCUAUAAUAUACCAUACAACAACAAACAAGAACAAGAGAGGGGAUAAAGGAUCAUGUUGCUAAAGCCCGCGUCACGGUGCAAAUGAAUCAAAGAGGAUCCCAUUAAAUUUCACUGCAUAUUGCACCGAUGUGAAAAAAAUCAUGAUCCAUUCAAACCAUCGAUGUGAGAACCACAACUUUUGCAUCAACUUCUCCAAGAAAUCCCAAUCCACCCUAUCAUAUGCCUUUAACAAGUCUAGUUUAUAAGCACAAAAUAUUUUUGUAGGAUCUUUCUCCUAUUUGAUAUGAUGGAUGCACUUCUAGUUGAUAUCUGGUCAACACAAGUCACAAGCCACAACCACAUCAGAUUGACCUUGCAUCUUGCCAUCAACCAAAUAUAUAUAUGGUAAUGGAUGCAACGAGUGGAAAUAGGAACAAUGCUACUAGUUGUAUGUUCUUCACAUGUCCCAUUGCUUGACGUGCAUUUGGUAUUGAAAACCUUAGCCUUAUCCACAUGGUGAACCCUCCCUCAUCCGCUACAAACCUCGCAUCCUCCUCAUACAUUCUCUCUCACCACUAGUUCCAACCACACACCUCCACGGUCUCGUGCACCCAACCAAGACACGCUACCAACACCAUCACAAGCAUGCACAUCGGGGCAACACUAACUGAAACAUGGGCAUCAUGUAGAGAUGAAUUACAUCUGUUUAUCAUUUUUGUAUAUCAGCAAGCAAACAUCAAAAAGUGGAACGAAAGAACCGAUGUCAAAAGAGGAUGCUGCCAAUAGAUUGACGCACUCGGUUACGCGUGUUGUGGUUCUGUGUGAAUGAUCCCACUUUAAAGCGGAUGCAGGUACAGUUUGGAGUGUGGUGAGGCAAUCACACGUUGGCGACGUAGGCGUGUGAAGAAUGUGUGGUUAGAACGGGAUUUGGUGAAAGCCCUCAACCGUAGGAUAAAAUAAGAUAUCAACGACGUGGGAUUGGUUUCAUGACUUUUCGUCGAACUGGGUAAGUGUAAGAAUGUCGAAUUACACUUGGCAUAUUGCACUUGUUACUGCUCUAAUGAUUACUACAAAUUAUCAACUGGAAUAGAUUAUGAGGAGCCCCUAUAAUGGCUUUAAUAACCCUUACACAAUAAAGUAAGAUUAUGUUCGAUUAGAGAACCUCCAUCGUACUCACAUUGGCUGGAAACGCGUAACAAUUUGCAGAUGUGUGAAUAUUCGAUAAUAUUAAGUUAUAUUUUCAUUGAGAUUUAUCACCAACAUGCAUUUUCCAUUUCAAAUAUAAUACUUUGGUUGUUGAAAAAGUAUACGUGAAUAUAUAGUAUUAUACUACUUCCUCCGUAUCAUAAUACUGGUGUUGAAAAGAACUAGAGCAGUUUGGAAAGUAUUGUGAAAUAAAACAUGUGAUCAAUUGUAUGGGAGGGAUGCCUCCUAGGAGGUGUCUGUUGGGGAAAAGGUGUCUCCCCAACACACCCCUUCAUCUUGUAUAUAAGUGGGUCUCCCACAUUGCAAUGGGACUAGUGAAAUCAUUUGUUUCUUUGCAUUCAUUCUACAAAACGUUAUUAGCACAUGUCUCCCGUUGAGAGAGGUCGGCGGUGCGGCGAGCCACUAACAGCAACCAACGAUCGUUAUUCCCAUCGGCGAAUUGGCAAAUUGGCAACCAGUCAUAAGAAAGGGGAGAGUCUAAUCUCUUCAUAAACUUUUCAGUUUACUCCUUGGGCUUGAUGUUUUUUAGCAUUUUGAUGAUAUGGUUAUUGUUAUUUGCUUUUUAUGCCUCGAGCAUUCAGAGCAAAUAUGCAUGAUAGACCAUACGAUCUUGUUGAAUUGCAUAAUAAUUGAUUAUGCAUCAUUUUACAUCAUGUAAAAUCACCGCUUGAGGCCUCAAGUCCUCAUAUAUAUUGCACAAGUAUGUUCAUACUUCUGCAUCGAUUUGUAUUACAUGUGUAAUACUGUUGCAAAGCAAUAUGGUGAUCCCAUUAUUCACAUGGAAUACAGAAUUUGCUUGCAAAUUUGGGAAACAUGCGGUAGUGAAAUGUUUGACACUCCCUGGUUAUGUCAAAUUUACAUUUGUCACACGGAAUCGACAAAUGAUACCUACUGCUUAAUUGCAGAUUAUCCAAUGUUAUUAUAGGUCUAUAUUAUGUCGUUUCGACUUAACGACCAUCUUCAAUUUUGCACACAACUUAUGGAUUGCUUUAUGGCAAUGAAUUAAAUUUCGUUCACAACUACGAGGUAUACACCAUCAUGUGGUGAUUACCUUCAAUGUGUUUUAAUUAACAUAAGGUUGUGAGAAGCUCCAUAAGAAGUGAGGUCUGCACUACUCAAUAGUGUUUAUCUCAAUGUGUUCAAAGCAGAGUGAAGGCACAAACUUAUGACAUAACCAUUAUGAGGCCUACGCCGUUGGUGCCUACCUUCAUGAUGUUUGUCCAAAUACUUAUCAAUUUCAUAGCAUUUGUCAUUGGUUGUGACUGCAAUGUCACAUACUCCAUCAGGGGAGGAAUCCAAGGCUUAGUGGCGACUAUGCUACAUAUUAUGCUAUGAAGAUAAUUAUGCAAAAUACUUGCAUAUUUUGGUGAUUAGCUUCCACGAGUACACAACUUAUGAGAUGUAAAUGUAGCAACGAAUUAAAUUUCAUGCACAACUGAGAGGUUUAUGCCACUUCGUGGUAAUUACCUUCAUGUGUUUUAAAUAACAUAAGGUUGUGCGGAGGAUAUGAUUGAAUAAAAUAUUCAUAAGAGUGAGGCACCACUAGGUGGUUGAUUACCUCUGUGUUUUAUGGGAAUUAAAGAUUUAUUCUUUAUGAGGUGACUAUACCUUCAAUUUGAAGAACUACAUCAUAUUGGGAUGAUUAGCUUCUUGUGAGGGCUUCCUCAUAAGUCACUAAGAAUCACCAUGAUCAUGAUUAUGCUUAGCCAUAGCAUUUUCAUUGUCCUUAAUUUACUGAAGGUAAAUUAAUGCAUAAGCAUUUCAUGCAAUAUAUGGCUGGCCUUUUUGGAAAGGAAAUGCGAUGUGAUGACACAAGGUGGAAGUCAUUAUUGAAAAUGGGUUAUGGACAUUAAUGAUUUUGUCGACCCAUGGCCUUGUCGCGAGUGAAAAUCCACCUACAGAGAUUGUCAUUGCUAUUUGUAAAUAGCUGAAAUGUGCAAAUUUACAUUUAUGUGACAUCACAAUGUCAUGGUUAAUAAACUGAGUAUUUAAAUGGAUGAUGAAUACCCAUAUGCCCUUCGGGACUACCUUAGGGAGAGAUAUAUUGUCAUAAGCAUUACAUGAAUGACUAUUCAUUUGUGUUCAAGACUUAAACUCCGUUGAUGCUUAUAAUUCUGUUGUCUAUAAAUCAACACUAAGUUGAGAUUAUGUGAUAAGGAAAUCUCGGAUCUUGAUCUGAUUAUAUGUCCUUACUGCACUUUACAUUCUCCUAUGAUGGUAAAAGAAUAUCAUAUUCAUUUCGGGGUAAAAAUAUUAUCAACUUCUUGCGAAGAGUCAUCUGGUACACUCUAAUGGGUGUUAUAUCAUUACCUGAAAUUUGUGCUAGUGUUUACAGUACUAAGCAAUAUGUGGUUAGAGAACCACAAGGAGUUGAAAGUAAAUUGGGAAAAAGAGACAAGCAGAAAUGGAGUGUAUAUCUCACAAAGGAAUUUGUCAUUUAAAUAAAUGAUCACAAUGACAACUCCCAAGUUUGUCAAAGAGGUGGUUGUAUGAAAUAUCGUACUAAUGAUUAUCAAACUUUUAAGUUUUUGGUUGAAUCAUGUCACCGACUCAUUGGAGAAGGCGAAUGAGUCUAAAGGGAUAUGUUUGAAGUUCUACUUCAAAUGGACAACCAGAAAAUAUUCUGGUGCAGUAGAAGGAGAAUACACUCCUCUACAUUGAUGAUAUGCUUGUGGAAUGACAUUCCCAAGAUAUUUUGGAGAUCUUAUGUAGUCUCCUAGUUAUCUCAAUAUAUCAUUAGCCUAUAAUUGUACUACUACAUGUGGUAUAAUUUGCAACAUCUUGUCCACGGGACAUGAUAGUUGUGAGGAACUGAGUGUAUGAAGAAUUCAUACAUAAUAUUGUUGCGUACACAAUAAUUUUUCCUCCUUUACCUGUCUGGUAUGAGGACGAUUAGAAAAAUUAUUGAUAAUUCUGUUGGCCACAAUAAAGUUGCAAUAUUCCUGACAAUCGAAAGAUUUAUGUGCACUACAUGUGCCAUAGAGGAAUUAAUUUUAAGGCACUCUCACCUUAAAAUUUGAAUGCGACACUCAUUAUUCUUGAACGGGUUCAAGAAUGAUGCAAAAUAUUCAAUCAUUGGCUGGGUUAUUUUGGCACUUCAUGGUAUUCAUAGACACAUCUAGAAGAUGGCCUUAGGUGUGUAUCAUCCACACAAAACCAUGUAUUUAUUGAAUUAAGUGCUCAAAUUGACGAAUUGGAGCAUAUGCAUGGGAUAAUUCCAUCGGAAUGGAAAUAUCGUUGAAUUUGAUUCACAAAAAAUUUAUGGUCAUAUUUAGUAGGUCGUAUACCUACCCAGAAUGGUGUGGCUAGAUCUCUUGUCAAAAAGAGUCAAGUUGCAUGGCCAUUGCUACAGAAUUGUGAUGAUCCAACAUCUUGUUGUUGGUAACAUGCGGACUCACAUGCCGCAUAUUUGGUCUAAAUGAGAUCACAUGCAUUUAAUACUGUAUCCCCUUACGGUCUGUACGUGGAAAUCAGUGAAGUAUUUCCCAUCUGCAAUAAUUCGGUUGCACAAACGUAUAUUACAGCCUUCACAUAUAUUUGGGAUCUAUGUGAGGAAUAACUGUGGUAUGAUUGUUAAUCCGUCAAAUACCUUAACCCUAGCGAGGAAGUUAUUUGCAGCUCGUACGUUGAUUGCUUUUGCAAUAAGGACAUUUUCUGGCAUUAGGGGGAGAAAUGUACCACAUAGAAUGCCAGAAAAUGCAAAAGAAAUGUCAUAGACAUUUUGUCCACGUACUUAAGAAUCUGAAGUAGAGAUUCACAUUAUGAGAAUUUGCAACGUAUUGCAAAUAAUCUGCCAUAUACAUUUACUGAUGACAAAGGUGUCACUGAAUUUUUAUAUCAGAACGAGUGGAGGUACCUAAUAACCACUCGUAUCCCCGGAUGAGAGUAAGAGGGGGAGAAUUCUGGUCAGAUGGGAUUAAGUUCUCAUAUAUUUCCGCGAAAAUGGAGAAAAUGGCCUCAUGAGUAAGUGAAUGUGAUUCAACCUCGCGUUGAAUGACACCUAAUGGAUGCGCGUCAUCUAGAGCUCAGCGCAGAUGUGCACACAUUUUUAUGGUGCCGGGACAUCGAAACACCUUGAGUCCGUUGUUGUGGGAAAUCACAAGGAGUUAAGAGGCAUAAUGAGAAUUCCACUAAUGAUAUUGAUUCAAGAGAAUCGUAUAUUCAAGUCUACAUAUGUCGACAUAAAUUUCUUCUUGAGAAUUGUUGAAAUCCUUUUGGGCCCUCACCAAAAUCCAUGGAAAGUGUUGUUGACACAUAUAUUGGUUCAAAUGAAAGGAAGCAAUUAAGAAGAGUAGCACUCGCUCAUCGAAAGAGAGGUGUUUACCAUAGUAAAACCCGCUCCUCAUAAGUAUCUUCCAUAGUGAAGAGAAGUGAUUUUUCAUUCAGAAACGAAAUAGAUGAGGUGGUGAGAAAGCGAGGCUUGUAGCACAUGGGUUUCCGUAGAGACCCGACAUCAGUUGUGAUGUAGCAUACCUUUUCGGUAUGAGUGGAAUUAUGUUUUGAUAGUGAAUUGGCAGUACAAAUCCAUACAGUUGAUGUAUGUAAUGGCUAUAUACUCGCAUGGAUCAUUCAGUUUGGAUAUAUAUAUAUAUUGAAGUCAUGAAAUGGCUUAAUAUUCUGAAUCCAAUGAUAAGUCGCAACAUGUGUGAAGCUUCAGAAGUCAUCCUAUGACUCUGAAGAUGUCGGAGAGUUGUGUGGUACAACCUACUAAGUGAGUUACUCCUUGAUAAGGAUUACUCUAACACUAAUGAUUGUUGAUGUGUAUUCAUGAAGAUAUCCUUUAUUGAUGUGGAUGAUCUUAUUAUCAAUGUCUAUACAUGACAUAUUAGAUACACACAAUCAUUUUGAGACGGAUAUUUGGGUCAAACCAAAUGGUGCUAAAUCUAUAGCUUGAGCACAUUUCCUUGGGAAUAAAUGUAUGUCAGUCUUCAUAUAUCUAGAAAUAUUGAAAAAGUUCAAUAUGGAUAUAUCUUAUCAAAGACACAUAUGGUCAUAUUAUACCUGGCAUGGGACACAAGCCCAUUCAAACCUAGGGGAGAUGGUAAAGUGAUAAUGGACAUGAAGUUCCGUAUCUGAGUACCAUUGGAGCACUCAUAUAAAUUGCAAAGUAAGUCAGGACUAACACUAUAUUUGUUGGCAAUCUAUUGAGAGUGCAUCCCCAGUAAAAGGUAUAAUGGUUGGUGUAAGGAAUAUCUUGAGAUAUGUCCAAGACACAAAAGGUCUUGAUUAAUUCCAUUGAAAAAAUCAAGAUGGGACCAUGGUGUGAUAUCCUGAUAGUGGCUGAUAAUUUGAUCCCAACAAUGCCAUAUCAAAGACUGAAUUUAAUGGAAGAGUAUCCUGAAGGAAGCCUUCAGAAUAGACUCUAAAUGAGUCCUUCCUAUAUCAUUCUGCCAUAACUAUGUUCGAAGCAUGACAAGAUAUACAUGUCUUCGCAGAAUGACUGGUCACAUGUGAGAUCAUGUGAAGAUUCAUUGGAAUCAAAGAUCAUUAUCUACCAAGAUAAUGUAACUUGUAUUGCUUAUGGGUUAUAUUUAUCCUCAUGGAUUACAGAAAUGCAAGAGGAUAAUCUGCAAAAAAAAUUAUUAUGAGGUUUACAAUGUCUCUACCAACGUUUAUAUUCGAGAAUCACAUUUGUGGAAUUGGUAUGAGACAACAUUGAUGUUUGCGAAAAUUCAGGGGGAGUAAAAUCCCAAGUUAUAACCUGUUGGUGAUCUUCAGUUCAUAUUGUACUCUUUUUCCGUUUAUGAGUUUUCCAAGAUGGUUUUUCAUAUAAGAUUUUUAAUGAGAUAAUAUAAAUUAUUGCGAUGGAACAAUAACUCGUAGAUGGUAAGGAGAAUGAAAUUGUAUCUAAACGGACCAAAUCUAGCUAAUAAACCCAACACAUAAUAGAAUUAAACAUAAGAAUUAUGGCAAGUUACAACCAUAGUAUCCAUCUCCUCUAGGUUGUAAUAAGAAAACAUUGAUUUGUGAUAAUGAUGAUGACCAGGCAGCUAGGGAGAAGUGGACACGCAGGGAGGAGUCGUGACUUGGCGACAGUGGUUGUUCUCUGCACAUACCUUGUUGCGUAUUCCUGCACCACCGCAGUGUCCUGUUUGUCCCGUUCGUGCCUCCCCGCGUCUUUCAUUUGACAUAUCUUCAACCUCCUAGCCAUCUUCGAUGCAAUGACGCUGAGUUAGGAAAUCUGCCAGGAAUGACAUCAAAAAUUAUUAGUGAAGCACAACCAUUGAGAUAACAUGGUUAUCAUAAAAGUACUAAUAUCUAUCAGAAGAAUAAACCUACUAAUGUAAACCACGUCAAAUCUUGUGCAACUUAUCCUAUAUAGAAGCAUGGUUUCUUCUCAAGUAGAUGUGGGAAAUAUGACUUGGAUGCAAAUAUGCAACAACAACAAAAUCCCCAAUACCAUACGAAAAAUAUUUUGGAAGUCAUGUAAUAUGGAAAAUCAUCACUUCAAAUCAACCAUCACUUGACAUCUAGAUACGAUGACUCAAAGUAAGCAAGUAUUAACUGAAACCCUGCAUGUAAGACACUUUAUUACUACCUACAGAUAUGAUGCAAGGCAAUAUUAUAUAAAUAAUUUAAAUGUGUUAUCGAAUAACUUCAAACUAAAAGCCAACAUGAAGAAUCUCUUAUCUGAAAUUGUUGCUUCAAACCAUAAACUCCAAAGCUAAAAUAACAAAAUUUUCUGAAAGUUACAAGAUAGGUUGCGAGAUACAUUCAGUAUUAUCAAAUAAUUAUGCAAAAUAAAAUCAUACACUUGUGAAUUGUAUGCUCAUGCUAUAUACUCCCUCCAUCUUAAAAUAAGUGUCUAAACUCUGUACUAACUUUAGUAUAAAAUUGUACUAAGCUUGAGACACUUAUUUUGGGAUAGAGGGAGUAUUAUUCAAUCAAAUACAAGUGACAAGUUGUGAAAAUUGCAAACUUAUAUAUCAAGAAAAUGUUUCAAUCUGCAGAGGGGUCCAAACUGUGUACUCCCAUACACCCCUUGUUCAAAGACUGCCUACUAUUCAAAGACCUAGAUAACAAGAAAAAAAACUAAAUUGAAGAUGAUUGAGUUGAUCUCAUACCUGAAGCGUGAAUGCCACCUAUCAUGGCACCGUUUCAAUCCCAAAUUAUGUAAUGAACAGGGAUUUGAUACAACAGAACAUCUAAAAGCAAAUACAAUUGUUCUAUUCAUAAAUUUAGUUUGCAAGAACCAUUUAAAAAUGCAGAUUUUAGUGUUCCAAAUUAUUUUCCAGAGAAAGAAUCAGCCGAGAUGAACAACAAACCAGAUCAAAAACUGCAUGUUGCCGCCACGGUCCGCAAGGGGCCCCGCGCCGCCGCCGCCGCCUGCAUCGCCGUCGGCCCGGCGCGCGGCGCCGUCGUGGGACGCGCCGGCCUCGCCGACGUCCUCUGCCUCCUCUGCUCCUCCCCGACGCGCUUGCGCCAAUGACAUGUCGGACCUCUACAUCGACAAGCCGGCCGUGAGGUCCCUCCCGCUCUCCGCGGCCGUCGGCGACCCCGUCGCCACGGUCCGCAAGGGGCCCCGCGCCACCGCCGCUGCCUACAUCGCCGUCGGCCCGAUGCGUGGCGCCGUCGUGGGACGCGCCGGCCUCGCCGACAUCCUCUGCCUCCUCUGCUCCUCCCCCGCCGUCGCGCUCGACCGGCCCGUCUCCGCGCUCCUCCCCAAGGACAGCGCCGGCGAGGUCCGCCGCGUAGUUCCCAUUCAAGGUACUCCUCCUCCCCCUCUUGGCACGUUUUUUUUACGAUGAUUACUUUUUCGUGGAAACGGACGCGUUGGUCUUUGCGGACGCAUUUUUUUGCUGCAACUAUCGCGCGAUGGGAGGGGCAGCGGAUGGGUGAUUUUUCUCUUGGUGGAGUACGGUCAGCCAAGAUAAAUUGCUAAACGUACACCAGACUGUGAUUGGAUUAAUGAUAACGGUUAGAUUUUGAUUUAUCGAACUAAUCCUGUGGUGCUGGUUGGUUGUGGGUCAAUUUAUUAGGUGCACUUAAGAAAGUUCUGGUUUGCUUGUUUAAUACUCCCUCCGUUCCUAAAUAUAAGUAUUUUAAGAGAUAUCAUUAGAAGUCUACGUACGGAGCAAAAUGAGUGAAUCUACAUUCUAAAAUAUGUCUAUAUACAUCUGUAUGUAGUCUACUAGUAAAAUGUCUAAAAGACAUGUUUAGUAACGGAGGGAGUAGUAGUAUAGAUAUAGAUUCUACUCCUUCUGUACCACAAUAUUUGUUGUUGGGGGAGAACUACAACAAAUAUUUAGGAACAGAGGGAGUACAAUAGAAAGAAAGCAAAGUUGUUGUGUCCCUGCAGAAUCGACUCAUCACUGCCGUCCAUACGCAGACGAACGGGCGUCGAUUGAUUCUGUUGACCUAUCACCGAUCCGGUCCACGCACACGCCUGCCUACCGCUAACCCAUCCCCUCUCCCCUCUCGGAUUCCUCGGCUCCGGCGACCACGACCGGCGGCGGCCGUCCCUCCCUCCCAGGUGAUAGAUGAAAUCCAUCCCCCUCCGGCCUUUAUCCUUGGUUCGUUCUCGCCUGCUGCGUUUAGAUCUGUUCGCGUUCUCGGGUUGGUAGGUUGGUGGUCGGAUCGAGAUUGAUUCCGAUUCUCGCUAGCGACGCUCCUUCAUCCCGGUGCCCAACGAAAUUAGGUCCCCUUGGGUUGGUUGUUGGUAGUCGGAUCGAGAUGGAUCCCUCGCCGCCCCGCGCGCGAUUCUCGGUAGCGCCGCUCCUUCGUCCCCGAGUCCAGCAAAUCUAGGGGGCUCGUGUCCCUGUGGGUUUGUAGUAGGAGCAGGAGCAGAGCAGCAACUGUUUGGGCCGGCCAAGUUUGCGUUACAGCGUAGUACUAUGACUAAUAGCUGGUUAACUAUUCAGACUUUCAGAGAUUGAUGUACUUGAUGUGUCCGGUAUCCGUUCAUGGGGAUUGUAUCUUUCUCGGGAGUCGCUGCAUGCAGUGCUUUUCUGUUGUAUGUAUUGGAUGAACUCAACUCAAUUCCCCUCGUGCCAAGCCGCCAAUGGUUUUGUAUCGCCGAUGAUGUCCAAAUUUGCUUCCUGGCAUGUUGUGUUCUUGCCAACUAUUGUUUGCUUUGUGCACGCCGCGCAGGUGUUUUCCAAAUGAAUUUCUGAUAUCAUUUGUUAUGCUGGACUCGACUUACAGGCGUGCUUUCCUGUUUUCUGCUUCUAGGUGUACAGGACAGAGUGCAAAGGAACAGGGAAGUGCGCGUCCAUUUGAUUGAAAUGGCUUCAAAGCUUCAAGCCUUUUGGAACCAUCCUGCUGGCCCCAAAACCAGUUAGUGACUGUCGUACUCGCAUUUGUUUCACACAUCUCGUCUCUUUUUUGGUUCUCGCCUUUGUUUAUUUAUUAUUGUUGUGCACACUAGCAAUGUCUGUCUGGCUGGGAGAAAAGUAUAAAACAGUUCGCCUACAGGCAAAUGUCCUUUACCAGUUUUAGCUUCUCAUGUGGUUGCUGUAAGAAGGUCAACGUUUGCUUUGCUCCCCUGUCGGUGGAUUAUACAUGUUUUCUUUGUGUGUCGUCUUAGCUUCGGAUUGUGUUGUUAUGUUAGGAUUGCCAGGUUGUUGGCAUGUUUUGAAUGUGAAAAAUAGUGUGUGCUUACUCUAAUUUUUGGUUUCGGCGUAUGACGACAGGUGGCCAUUGUUUGUGAAAACAAAAUAACAUGGAGAAAACAUACCACCAUAGAGAAUCAAAAUAGCAGUAGUCAAACUGAAGACAUCAUAAAAUAGAACCUGAAACCAGCAGAAUCUAGAGCCAACAACUAUUCAGUCCCCUCCUACAAACAGCUACGGUGCUCUACUCUUAAGUUGUCUUAUGAUUCAUUUGAUUCUGGCGGUUGCAGGUUCCACUCUCUCCUCCCUUUGGAGUAGUAGCCACCUUCGCACUGCCAUUUCUGCCGUGACUCGAAAACCAUUUAAUGUGUUAGCUGGGUCGGCCAAGAACAUUGUCUAAUAUGUUCCUUGUUAUCGACAGUGGCUUGCUGGCCAGGUAUCUUUAGCAAGUUUGUAGUUGGGCUUACAAAAUCCAUUAUGUAAAUUUGCUCCACGACAAAUUGCAAUCAUGAGAGGGGAACUUCCUGUCAUACCAAGGAAUCUCUUAUAUACAUCUAAAAAAAAUGGAAUCUCUUACAUAGCUCCAAACAAACCAAAUACAGGGCACUAGAGAGUAUAUCAGCAGUCUCUAAUUCACCGUAUAGCUAAAUGUUCAUCCCUUUCCCUUUGCCACUCAUGUCUAUUAUUUCCUGGUAAGUUUGGCAUAGGAAAAUAUGGACUUUCUCAUGGAAAAUUAGAUUCGUGAAAGAUAUUGCAUUUUUCUAAUAAAGUGAUAUCGUGGUAAAUACUGCAAAUUUUCUUAAGCCUUGGCCGACCUUGUACUUAUUCUUGACAUGCCUGAGCUGCAUUUUUGGUUAUUUGGCAUUCAAUUUAGCAUUAUACUUGUUUAUAUCAUCAAAAAUAUAUAUUUUUUUUAGUAUCUUCAAUCAUGAUAAAUUCUUAUGGCCCAUACUGCACAGUUCUUUUGCACUAAAUUGUGAUGCUUACCUAUUGGACAUUGUACAGUACAUGUGCUAAGUUAUAAGUAUCACUUGAAAAAGAGGCUGAGACAAUAAUUUGACCUUCCUUGCAGUUCAUUUUUGGGCUCCAACAUUUAAAUGGGGGAUCAGCAUUGCGAACAUUGCCGACUUUGCUAAGCCUCCUGAAAAGAUAUCCUAUCCUCAGCAAAUUGGUAUGUUCAACUAGCAUUUCAGCAUUCAGGACAGCAUGCCAUUAGUUUACCAUUUACUUAUUCUUGUGUCCUGCCCACAUGCUUAUUCUGUUAUAUGGGGUUCAGCGGUUGCCUGCACUGGAGUCGUCUGGUCACGCUACAGCAUGGUUAUCACACCGGUAAGCCAUCGAUACUAUAAUAUCCUUUUCUUUCAUUAUUAUUUGCACUGAAUCUUAUAAGGUGUCAUCAAAUUUGGGCGACGUGGAUUAUCUUUGUAUUUGAACUGAAGUGUACAUUUGUUUUGCGCCGAUCAUCUCAUAUCAUACUGUUUUUAUUUGAUGGCUCCCUUGACUGGGCUACUUUUGCUUGUUGCAUAUAUGAUUCAUUCGUAUUCCUGUGCCAUCUCCUUGCACCUGCUAUCCUGUGUUGUUUUCUACUAUUUCUGUUUUACCUUCUUUUCAUCUCAUUGCUCCUUUUUUCAGAAAAACUGGAACCUUUUCAGCGUUAAUGUUGCGAUGGCCGGUACAGGCCUGUACCAGCUAUCCCGAAAAAUAAGGUUCGUUCCUUCGAUACGAAGCUAGUUACACCCUCUCGGUUUGUCGCUUGAUGAUGUCUUGGAGGCAUAAGGAGAUGUCAUGGCAUGCUCUGUGUUGGUUGAAUAUCCUUUGGUUUAUAUUGCAGGAAGGACUACUUCCCUGACGAUGAAAAGGAGGCUGCUGCUGCUGCAUCACUGGAAGGAUAGCGAUGAAUGACUGACCGACUGGACAAAUAAUCGACUGCAUAGCCUGUCUGCUACCUCGGAGUCGGUUUCAGAUUCACUCUGGGCCGCAGAACUGAACCCCCCUUUCUUUCCAUGUGAAAAUUUAUUUGUUUGAUGCGAUGCUGGAUCGCGGCCACUUGUGGGCACGCAAGCAGAGCUACGUGAAAAAUUCACGCAAGUUAAUAAUCAUUUAUGCAGCAUGUAUUGUGUGCAAAAAAGGAAAAGAGAUGCAGAUUAGAUACAUGAACCGUCGGCCCCCCUUGUAUUUUGGCAUUCAAUAAGUUGUCUCUGAAAUUGAACGAAACCUGUACUGCUGCUUAACUAGCUUGUCCUUUUUUUAUGCGAUGGUAGCUUAGCAUCCAAUACUUAUGGACGUAAGUUUAGGGCCAGUUCAUUUGGCAACUUAACAAAUAAGUCACCUCAUCUUUUUCCAUAAGCCGCCUCUUUUAUUUAUUGGGACUUUUAAACUAGUAAUGUGAUGACUAAUUUAGAAGUCUCAACAAAUUUGAAGGAUGGCUUAUUUUUUUAAGUUGAGCAGAGGCACUUAUUUUUAAGGCGCCACAUUUGUGUUGACCGAGCCUGUGCAUUGUAACCAAGAGUCAAGACUUCUUCAUGUCCUUUCUCUCAACACAUGACAUCCCAUGUUUGUUGCAACUUAUCCUUUUACUCUUGAAGAUGGUGGACUCAGAGCUUAUAAAAUCACAAUAUGUUUGAAUAUUGUCACUUUUAAUGUGUCCCUCUCUCGGUAUAAGAGGAGAAAUCUUUGUUCUUUCUGUGAGGUUUUGGUGACGCGUCCAUGUGUGGUUGUAGAUGAUUUCUUUCGUCUCCAAUCAUGGUUUUGCUCAGGCCUUCAUUUCUAGAUCGGCACCGGUAUGAAAAAGAAACGGAUCGUGCGUCAUUGAUAAAUGUUGUGCCCUGAAUAGCAUUUUUUUUAAUAUUUAUCAGAAAAAAUAACAUAAUAUUGAGAUUUUACAUAUUUUUAAAUUAAAUUUCAUGUAAAACAUGUUAAAUUUAAAAUUGUGGUUUAAAAGAUAUAGUUGUUUUUACAAAACAUUUGAUAUGUACUGCAGAUUGAUUAACCCAAUUAUCAGGGAUUUAAAGGCAAAAAUCAGCCUUAAAAGAUAAAACUGUCCUGCGGGUUGAUUACCAUAACCACCAGGUUUUUUUUUUGUAAAAGCAAAAAAUCUGAUUUAAAACUGAACGACGGGUUGAUUAUCCGAAACUUCAGGGGUGUAUGUAAAAUGGCAUGACGCGUGAAGAAUACAUGUUUUAGUAGGACAGUGGUAUCCCAAUAUGUUUAGGAGCUUUUUUGGCUUUUAAAUCAUAGUGGAAAAGCUGUAAAAGCUAACAUAAGUGCAAACAAAUAGGGUUUGCACUCUCAUAUAGAGAAAAAUCUUGAGAGAUCGCGUUCAUUUUACUUUGCACAAAUUUCUUCCUACCCACGGACAUUUCUCAAAUUUCAUGAACACUUUAAAUUGGUGAACAUUUUUUUAAAACUUCAAACAUUUAUCCAAGUUUGUGAAUAACUUUUUGAAUACAUGAACCUUUUUCAUAUUCACGGACAUUUCUAAAAUACAGUCCUCGAAAGAAGACUUAUGUUUAGUUUUUUUCGGGCAAAGCACUUUUUUUUAGGUAAAAGCACUUUAUGUUUAGUGUAAUGAUAGAGGUCGAACCAAGCCAAUAAAUAGAAAGUGGUAUUUUCUUGCUGAUGGGCCGUCCGAUUGUCCCACCACCGGCCUAAGCUUCCGCAUGGUGCAAAUUUCAAAGUAAUCCACGAGGGCUACGUACAAAGAACGCACAGCAGCCAACGGAACCUAUGUAUUUAUGCACCAGCUAAAAAAAAAGUAUUUCUAUGCAGUGGCACAUGUAUAAAACAGGAAAAUCACGCCGUACAUAUCACAGCCUUAAAAUGGCUGGACGAGAUUAUGAGAGCCAGAUUUUGCAGCACAUCGAGCUUGCCGGGGAGAUGCGGUUGGCCGUGGAGCAGUGGCGGAGCUAGACAAGAAUCUCAGGGGGGCAAUCAUAAUAUAUGGAUGUUUGGAGGGGGGGGGGGGCUAGAUACCCAAAAAUUCCUAAUCUAAUCAGUCUCAAGAAAAGUUUAAGGCUGGUGGAGGCAUUGUCGUGGAGGUAGGGAUAGCGAUUGAUGUGUAGGCUAAUCAGAUCCUGGAUUCGGGCUAUGCAGGUGAGAUUGCCGGCGAAAGUCAUACUCCGAUUGGUUGGAGUCGUCGAUGGGGGCGCCUUCUCGCGCCGUUUCCUUGUUAGAGGCAUUGAUAUAGUUGCUCCCACCUUGCAUUUCGUGACGUGCUCCGGGGAAAACCCUUGAUUUAGUUUUAGAUCGGACGAUGGCGUCGCUAUCCGGCGUCGCGUUCUCUCUUGAGGGCGUCGUUAUGGAGGUGGAUUUGGUUAGAGGGAACCAUGGCUUGUUAGUUGUGUUUGCCGAAAGGCAUCAUGUGUUUGGUUUUUGGGUCCAAUUUUUCUCAUAACUGGACCAAUCUUUUUUUAACUAUUUAAUGAAUUUAGCCGUUAAACUGCUAACAUUCGAAGAAAAAAAGGAUUAUAAGAGCCAGCUAGCUCGUCCUCCAAAACGCCCCACACGUACCAAGGGCUUAUGACUUAUGAGGUUUUAUUUUUCUGCGGCCGAACUCCUUUUCACCUGGAUGCAGGCUGCAAUCGUUCAUUUUUGCUCCGUUAUCAUUUUACAGUGGAAUACGAUCCUGAUCCUGUUGCAGGUUCGCGUGGAAAAAAAAAUGUAAUCUGGAAAAACUAAUACUCCUACACAAUAUAAGUUGAGACAUAUGGAGCAUAAAAGUAAAAUAAAAAUGUUUUUUGGACAAACCUGAAGGCGCAACUGGAGCAUUAUAAUCAGCGUUGAUAAAAGGAGAUCUGGUAAGAGUAUCUCCCACAACAGGCGAAUACUUUAACGACAAAAAAAAUUGGUUUUAGGGGUGUGGAGAGAAGAUUUUUGGUUAACAGAAUCUUUUUCUAGCGGACGAAAAGUUGGAAAGAUAUGUCGAUUUAGCCGCAUAUUCAUGACAAUUUUACAAUUCAAUGUAAAAUUAUCUACACCCUCCGUCGCGGUUUAGAAGGCACAGUUAAAUUUACGUGCAUUUCCACAAUAGACAAGGUUUAAGACGCAUUGCAUUUACUCAUAACAGUUAAUUAGUAUUCCGUUGUACUACUACUUUUAUAUGCAUGCGUAGUGUGAAUGCUAUUUUUUAGCUCAUCUCACAACCAAUUAAUAAUCAACUAGGUUUCAGUGAACUUCCAAACACGCGCUAGUAGAAAUAAGGGCUUUCGUCCCAGCUCGAAAAACACAUUAGUCCCGGUUCCUUUACGAACCGGGACUAAUGUUAGUAUUAGUCCCGGUUCGAGCGGCAAAGGCGCCGGUCGGGCAUUAGUCCCGGUUCAAAUGAGACCUUUAGUCCCGGUUCGUGUCUCGAACCGGGACUAAAGGGUUUGGAGGAUUUAGUCCCGGUUCGUGUCUUGGACCUUUAGUCCCGGUUCGUGUCUCGAACCGGGACUAAAGGGUUUGGAGGAUUUAGUCCCGGUUGGUGUCUUGAACCGGGACUAAAGGGUAGGCCUUUAGCCCUUUAGUCCCAGUUCAUGAAACGAACCGGGACUAAAGGUGUUCAGAUUUUUUUUUCUGUUUUUAAAUUCUUGUUUGUAGUUUCUGUUUUAAAUUGUUUAUAUCUUUUAGGAUAUUUGAUGUUUUUGAUUGAUUCUUUUUGCAUUAGAUUCAAAAUUUUGUCUAGUUUCUGUUUGUGCCAUUAGUUUUAAAAUUUGAAUGGUUUAAAUUUGAAUUUGUUUAAAUUUGCUUCAAACCCAGUUUUUGAAUAACUUGAGUUUACAAAUAGUUUUUAAUUUAAUUCUUUUUGCUCCCACUCAUGUGUUAGAUUGUUGUCACAGUAAGAUUUAUUUGGUUAUUUUUAGAAUAAUUUAAAUUAGGAUUUUAUAUAUAGAAAUAUUGUUUUGCUUAUAUAGUUGUUUUAGUCAUUUAAUUUGUUGUUUUUUAUUAUUUUUAGUUAGUUCUUUCUGUAGAUUUUAACAUGUUGUAGUAUGGUGCAUAUUUAAUGCACAAAAAAAAUCUACAGUUCAAUUAAUUUUAAAAAAAUGCCUUUGUAACAGAUGGGUUUCGUCUGAAACCUUGAUACUUUGAGUUUUGUAGAAAAUAAACAAAAAUGAUAAAAUCUUCAAAAAAUAAACAAAAAUGAUAAAAUCUUCAAAAAAUAAUAUCUUUUGAGAUGUUGUUAGGUUUUAGUGUCUAUCCGGUAUAGAAAUUUUGAGAUAUGAAUUUUGACCGUUUUUGCAAAAAAAGGAAAAAAAAUAAACGGCCAUAACUUUUGCAUACGACGUCCAAAAAAAAUUAAUAUAUAAAAAAAUAGAAAAAAUUGGUACUCGAUUUCACCCGGGCUUGCCCGGUGAAGUUUUCUCACAUGCUCAAAAUUCCAAAUGGAAAAAAAGUUAUUUCAAAAAGAAGUUUUUUCCAAAAAAAAGAAAAAUAAUUUUAUUUAAAAAUAUUAGGUUGUUUUCAUUGAAAUUCACUAUUAUUGUUACUUAUUAAGUUUAUUUUAAUAAUUGUUUGUAAUUCAAAAAAUUAAAUCAUGUGACAUGACAUCAAGACCCAAGUUGUUUAGGAUUGAUAGCUUACUAUUGUCAGGAAUAGUAAGCUGUUAAUUAGCUGUUAUGAAUAUGCGUUGAUAAAAGGAGAUCUGGUAAGAGUAUCUCCCACAACAGGCGAAUACUUUAACGACAGAAAAAAUUGGUUUUAGGGGUGUGGAGAGAAGAUUUUUGGUUAACAGAAUCUUUUUCUAGCGGACGAAAAGUUGGAAAGUAUGUCGAUUUGACCGCAUAUUCAUGACAAUUUUACAAUUCAAUGUAAAAUUAUCUACACCCUUCGUCACGGUUUAGAAGGCACGGUUAAAUUUACGUGCAUUUUCGCAAUAGACAAGGUUUAAGACGCAUUGCAUUUACUCAUAACAGCUAAUUAAUACUCCGUUGUACUACUACUUUUAUAUGCAUGCGUAGUGUGAAUGCUAUUUUUUAGCUUAUCUCACAACCAAUUAAUAAUCAACUAGGUUCCAGUGAACUUCCAAACACGUCUUUUAAACCGUGACGGAGGUAGUAUUUUAGCUAUUAAUAUUCACUACAAAGCACAACCACAUCAUAUGUGAAAAAAAGUUGCUACGUUUCUAUUCCGUCCCAAAAUAAGUGUCAUUGAUCUAGUUCAAAAUUUAUACUAAUUUAAUAUUAAAUCUGCGACACUUAUUUUGGGACAGAGAGAGUACAAAAUUAGUUCUUUUAUGACAAUUCUGUUGUUUGGAGAUUCUUCAGUAGCGUGUUUCCGGCCAUGUUUCCUGCCAUGAUGUCUUAUAUAUACUAGUCCCUCCAUUUACUUAUACGAGGUCAUUAUAAAAUAUACAGUUUAUAACUAUACAAGGUCAUCAAUGCUCAUCGAGGAAAAAAUAAUGAUGUUUUUUCAUACAAGUAACUUGUUUAAUACUUGUAUGCAUGUAGCCGUAAUGACAUUUAGCUACAUCUUUCAUUCAUUUCUCUUGCAUGCAUGCGGUGUAUUAAUGAUCGCAGUAAAAAAAAAAUAUUGAUUUGCAAAAUAUAUAUUAAAUAUUAUCUUGAGAUCCAUAAUUUAAGUUUGUGACCUUGUAUGUAAAAAAAGAGGGAGUACCAAUGAAGACACUCCCUCCUUUUUUACUUUGUAUAUGAAAUUUGUCUGAAGUCAAAAUUUAUAAAGUUUGAUCAAAUUUAUAUUGAAAAACUUGGACACAUGUUCAACACUAAAGUUAUAUGGUAUGCAAACUAGUUUCAUGAUGCAUCCAAUGAUAUGUAUUUUAUUUUGUGAAUGUUAAUAUUUUCUCUUACAGUGUCACUCAAAGUUUACAAGGUUUGACCUUAGACAAAAAUUAUAUGCACAGUAAAGAAACGGAAGAGGGGUACAUGUUUUGUACUCCCUCCGUCCCAAAAUAACUGUCUCAAUUUUAUACUAGCUCUAAUACAAAGUUGUACUAAGUUUGAGACAGUUAUUUUGAGACGGAGGGAGUACUUAGUAGUAUACACACGCGUGUUCAUGCACCCGACAAUUUGUGAUGAUGACGUGUGUGUCCUGUGGAUGCAUGCAUGCAACAGUUUGUGAUGGUGAUGUGUGCUUUCAAUCGAUGCAUGCAUGCAUGCAUGCAAGCGUGAUUGUCCAUGUCGGCACGACUCCAAAAAUGAAAGCAAGGACGUGGGGCCCACAAUGUUGCUGCCAUGCCACCUAUGCAAUGCAAGGAAGGACUUGGUGGCUGGCCACCGAUCAUGCACAUGCAUGACCACCACACAAGCAAUUAUGUAGAAUAAUAUCCCCAAAAAAUUAUAUACGACGAAUAAUAAUAAUAAUACAAAGCCAGGACUUGGCAUCCUAUGCAACCAGAGUGUGCUCCUAAACAAAGCCUCAGCUCUGGAUGUGGUUUUUAUGUGAAAAAGAAAUAUAUUAUUGUUAUUCAUCAAAAGUACAAAACAUUUCAAACAUAAUUAAAAUUAUAUCGAACCAACGAGCAACCACCGUCGUCGUCAGAACAAGCCACAUGCUGGAGCAUAGCUCUUCACUCUUCAGUUUGCAACGGAGGUUCAAAGCAAUGGAAAUCAUAGUUUUCGCCGACAAUCUCAUGCACGCUUGCCCAAUCAGAAGCUUCCUAGAACCCAAUCAUCGGUCCUAGCUAGUAAUGCUAGCAUUUUUGUUUUCCAUUUGAUGAUGGUUGGGUUUUGUUGUCCACUUGUUUUUGUUCUCCACCCAUAGAAAGGUUCACCCCACUUGCUUUUAUUCCAUUUUGUUUUUUGGUGGGGUUGUGUGUGCCCACAUAUGCCCCCUUGCUUGCUACUGUCAUUUUUUAAAAGCUCCGUGGAAAAUGCAUAUGGUAACAAUCCACCAACCACAUGAACAAUGAAACACUACGAUGAUAAUUUGCUUGGAAUUUUGUUUUGCUGCCACCAUAUAGUAGGUAGGUAUAGUGGAAAUUUAGGUGAAAUUUUUGAUUGUGCAACUUAACAUACAAUAUGAUUUGUGUGAGCAGUGGAUAACAAAAAAGAAGGAUUUAAGAUCAACAUCAAGAACAUGCAUUAUGAACUCUCUAGGAUACACUGAAUGAUUAAAAUGCAUGCUCAACUCAACUUAAUUACGUCCACCACAAACGGUGGGUCGCCGGACUCGUCGAAGCUCCUCUGCUUUUAGCAUAUCCUUAUCCGAUUGAACCGAUGCGUAAACUUUUGGGUGUGGAUAGAUCUUAGUCGACUAAGAUUUAACCAAGUUUCAAUGAAGUGACAUCGUAUAUAAGAAUAAGAAAAGAAAAAAAAAUAUCCAUGCAGGAUCAAAGGCAUAUACCAUCGAUUGAGACAUAGUGAAGUCUCAGUCUACUGGGACUUAGCAAAACAAUAAAGUUUUUGUAAAACCGGUACCUUAGAGCAUCUACAGUCGAACCCCUCAAAUGACCCUUCAUAUGCUCGCAGGCGCGUUCGAUCAGUGACCGGACAGGAGAAAGAAGGAAAAAAGUAACCAACCGGACCCCUCAAAUGACCCUUCAUAUGCCCGUAGGCGCGUUCGAUCCGUGACCGGAUAGGAGAAAGAAGGAAAAAAGUGACCAACCGGACCCCUCAAAUGACCCUUCAUAUGCCCGCAGGUGCGUUCGAUCAGUGACCGGACAGGAGAAAGAAGGAAAAAAGUUGACCAACCGGACCCCUCAAAUGACCCUUCAUAUGCCCGUAGGCGCGUUCGAUCAGUGACCAGACAGAAGAAAAAAGAAAAAUAGUGACCAACCGGACCCCUCAAAUGAUCCUUCAUAUGCCCGUUGGCGCGUUCGAUUAGUGACGGGACAGGAGAAAAAAAAAGGAAAAAAGUGACCAACCGGACCCCUCAUAUCGUCCAUAUAUGCCCGGACUGUACGCGAACCAUCAUAUCCAUCACAAAUAUGGGGAGGAUAUGAAGGCUCGCGGACGUGUCCGGUCAGUCCGUCACAUAAAACGCGACUCCAUCCCGGACCACAUUUUUCUUUUCUUUGUUCUUUUUUUUCGUUCUUUGUGUUCCUCUCCAUCAAUCACGUGCAAAAUGACCGGAUAUAUGAUUCUUUUUAAGUAUGACUGUCUGGACCGACAAAUAAGGGACACCUCCGAUCACUGACCGGUAGCGUCGUGGGUGUUUGAGGGUCCGAAUUUGUAAGUCAUGGCCGAAGAAGUUCUUACAAAUAUCAUUGUUCUUUCCCCCUUUGUUUUUGUUUGCUCGUGAAGUCGCUAGUGCCAUGAUCAACACUUUUGUGGAAAAUGCACAUGGUACACUCCACCAACCAUGAACAAUGAAACUUUUACUUGCACGACAAUCGAACGAUGACAAUUUACUUGGAAUGUCGUUUAAUUAUAGCAGCAGGUAGUAUAGUGGAUCGGAGGAAAAAAGGAGCAACCAACAUCCAGCUCAACAUGCAAGAUCAUGAGCACUUACUCCCUAGGAUACUACAAUGCAUUGAAUGAUUGAGAUGCAGGCCGCCGAUGGGAUCCGAUCGGAUCGGUUUAGCUCAUCAAUGUACGUCCGCAACGGCCGGUGAGCUCGUCGACGAAGUCGUCGAAGCUCCUCUGCGACGACCCGCCGGGGGCCACGGCGGCCUUGAGCUUGGCCCUCACCUUCUUCAGCGCCUGCCGGAGCUGCUGUCCCUCCUCGCCGGAUAUGACCCCCUGGAUCCUUGCCGCCACCUCGUCGGCGAACACCUUGCCGCGGUCACCGAUGGGCACGCCGACGCGCCACUCGCGCACCACGAGCCGCCGGUUGGUGAACUGGUCCGUGAGCAGCGGGAAGCAGAGCAUGGGCACGCCUGCCCACACGCUCUCCAGCACCGAGUUCCAGCCGCAGUGCGUCAGGAAUCCGCCCAGCGCGGCGUGGGCGAGCACCUCCACCUGGCAGCACCAUGGCACCACCAGGCCGCGCCCGGCGCAGGCCGCCGCGAAGCCCUCCGGCAGCGGGUCCGGGUCGUCGGAGCUCACGAUGUCCGGCCGCAUCGCCCACAGGAACCUGGCGCCGCUGCCGACCACCCCGGCCGCGAUGUCCUGCAGCUCCUGCCGGGUGACGUGCGCGUAGCUGCCGAAGGAGAUGUAGAGCACGGAGCCCGCCGGCUGCGCGUCCAGCCACUGCGAGCAGUCCGACUCGGCCCACAUGGAGGUGGCGACGCCGGCGUCGCCACCGGCGCGGGGGAACCCGAUGGGGCCCACGGCGUAGAAGGGCUUCUCGGCGCGCAGCGCGGCGACGGUCGACGGCUCCAGCUCCUCCACCGUGUUGCAGAGCACGUAGUCGGCGCGCCGGGCCUCGUCGAAGGCCUUGAAGAUGAUGCGGUGCACCACGCUGGUCACGUCCGUGUCCUGCAGGUACGACAUGAGCUCGUGCGGCUCGAUCGCCGGCACGCCGGGGACGUACGUGAUGGUGUCCUUCCGCGGCGGGCCCUUGGAGGAGUUGAAGUGGCCGUGCGCGGCGAGGAGGUCCAUGUGGUAGUAGAGGUUGAAGAUGAGGGCCGGCUCCGUCCAGAAGGACACGUACGGGAUGCCCAACUUCCUGGCGAGAGUCGCCGGCCACACGAAGAAGGUGUCGGCGACGAGGCAGGUGGAGGCCGGGUCGACGACGACGCGGCGGAGCAGCUCCUCGACGUGCGCGGCGAGCACGUGCAGCUCGCCCUCCUUGAACUGGUCGUGGUUGAGCGAGCGGUCGAAGGCGAGCGGGAAACCGUCGCUGACCAGCUCGUACCGCACGUCGAGCGCCUCCGCCGAGGCGCGUGCGCCGGCGAAGAUGUCGUAGCGGUGGCGGUCGACGCCGAGGGCGCGCGCGGUCUGCUCGUGCACGGACUCGGUGUUGACGAAGGUGACGGCGAAGCCGCGCGCGGCGAGCCGCAGCGCGAGGUGCGCCGCGGGGAUCACGUGGCCCUGGUACGGGUACGCGAUCACCACGGCGUGCGGCUUCGUCGUCCUCCGGCCGCCGCCGGCGCCGUUGGAUGCCACCAUCUCGUGCCCCAUGUGUGUUGGUUGGACCUGCCCGUGGUGCGCGUGCGUGAUCGGUAGGUAGGGAGGGAGGGAGGUUGAGGACGACGGUGGCACGUAGUAGUAGAUAUACCGAUGGAUGAUGAGGCGCUGGGAUCCAUGGCCGCGGUCGUCGGCGUGCGCACAUGAGUCCGAGCAUCCGACAGAGAGUGGGUAAACGAGACAAAAUGCUCCGCGGGCCCACAUGCCAUGUGACAUGUGACCACUUCCUUGGCCUUAUCCCAUCAAACAAGAUCUGCUCUACCACCUCAACCUCAUUCAAGUUUAUGAAUACUUUAGAUUUUGGAGGUUCGGCAUUGUUGAAGCUUAAAUUUAUGAAAACUCAAAAUUUUCCUUAAGCUAUUUUUUUAAACUUCCAUUUUAAUUAUUACUUUUUGCAUUUUCAGAAAGGAAAAUCGUGAGAACAAAAAUUAGAUCGCUUAAAAAUGCUUUAGGUGUGCUGCAUUUUUUUUUGUAGAGAGAGCUCAAAGAUAAACUGUGAAGAAGGCAAGGCUAGUCAAUGUUCAGAAGUGUUCUAAAUGAAGUGGUGAACUAUUGUUUUUUCUAAUUAACAUAUCCGAAUGAUCGGGAGCCGUCUGAUUGCGAUCGCGUGGCUGCAAUCUCUAAGAGUAAUCGCAUGACAAUUGACGCUCUAAUUGGAUUGUGAUUUAUAUGGGAUUGGGCUUUUAACGGAGAUCGCACGUGGGAAGGGCGUAGACCAAAUUUCUUUCCUUCACACGGUCUUUAAUUGGAUGGCGAUUCUUGUGGGAUUAGCGCUUUUAAUGGGGGUAAGGGUGUGAUUUCUUGCCAUCACACGGUAAGACUAGUUGCAAUGGUGAAUAUCAUAUACCAGUAUCAUGCAUAUCAUACUAGAAGGCAUGCUUUAAAAUUCUGUGGAAGCUAUAUCGUUAUUGAUUGACUGUGAGAUGGACUGAAAAAUAGCAUUCAAACUACGCAUUCAUAUAAUAGUGGCACAAUGGAGUACUAAUUAGCUGUUAGGAGUAAAUUCAAUGCGCCCUAAACUUUAUCUAUUCUGGAAAUGCACAUAAAUUUAAGCUUGCCUUCUAAACUGUGAUGGAGGGAGUAGUGUAUAAUACUACAUUCGUAAUGUAUACUAUCAUAGAUUAGUAUCAUAGUAUAAUUCAUUUAUUGUCAUGCAUGACACAUACUAGAAGAACAUUUAAUAUGAUAUGGUAUCAUGAUAUGAUACUCAAUCUUUUUUUUCUUUAAUUAUAUACCACCUCAUCAAAUAUGCCUAGUUGACAUGCAUGAUAGUACCUAUGAUACUCUCAUUACGACCAACCUAAAGCUUUCAUACGUGAUGUGGGCCGAGACGAUGACAAUUUGCAUGGUGAACAUGGGCAAGUGGAUGUUGACCUAAUUGUUCCACUCAAGGUGAAGUUUCCUUACGCGAAGGUGGGUCCAGAGAGCGCAAUUUAGUUUUGUGGGCCUAAAACUCAUGUCAAAGCCAAAAGUUGAAAUAAAGAUUACAACCUUAAAACCUUGAUCCAUUUGCCAACUACUCCCUACUUAGUUCCUGUCAAAUUCAAAGACAAUAGCAAUAUUUGAUCAUUUUUGUCUCUUCUUAUUAGUGCAUGACUACGAAUUAGAGUCUGGAGGUUGUUCAAGUGCUUUGCACAUCACUGGAGAAAAUGUGCUAGUACGCACCCUGAAGAGCAUGCACAUGCCUUACCAGAAACAUGCGUUUGACCCCAUUGUAACUUAUGUACAAACAGCAUGGUAACUUUCACUAGGAAGAAAAAGGUUGUCUAAACAUACCCAUGGUAAUUUAUGUGUAAAUAGAAUGAUAAUUUAUGCACAACAAACCUGAUAACUCAUGAACAAACACCGCAGUAAAUUUGACCCGAGGGAGGGGAAGUUGUUGAAACAUACUCUCGUAGCUUAUGUGUAAAUAACUUGGCAAUUAGCCACCGCACACCUUAUAAGGUACGUACAACGUCAUGUAACUUUGACCUAGAAAAAAAAGUUAUUGAAACAUAGCCCAAUAACUUCCGUGUAAAAAGCAUGGUAACUUACACAUAUAUAUAGGGCCUGGUAACUUUUGACCCUAAAAAAGUCAUCGGAACAUAUCAACAUGGGAAUCUAGUUCCAAACGUUUCGUGAUGGUGGUUUUCUAUGGUGAAACAGAAAUUUGAAUCUGACCGUCGGUUUGAAGUACAAAAUAUUUAGAAUUUUCGAAAUGGGGAUAUCUAGGAUGACAUAUUUUUCCCCAUAUAUAGUGCAUAUGGGGAGAGGUUGAGGGAACAUUUUUCUAAGUUCCUCGUAACUUUAACGAAAACACCAUGAUAACUUGCUUACUGCAUGCAUGGUAAUGUAUGUAAUCCAGUCAUGAUACUUCUAACCAAAGAAAGUAGUACUUCCUCCAUCUAUAUAUCUAGGGCCUCAUACAUAUUUCGAGGUUGCGUUUGACCAUCGGUAUGGAAAUUAAUAUAUAAGAUGUAUGAUAUAAAAAAUAUCAUUAGAAACUCCAUCUCUCACAAAUUCGAUAAUAUGCUAUGUGUAUCAUACAUGUCAUAUAUUAUUACUCGAACAUGCAUGCGGUAAAAAGGUAACACAAAAAAUCGUGAAUAUAUGGAUGGAGGGAGUAGGAACAAAUCAAUAUGAGAUCUAGUGUUGAAGAUCCCACCGUGAUAGAUUUAAUAGUGGAAAUGGAUUUUAAAUUGGGCCGAAGGUUUGAGCUACAUAACAUGUUAGAAUUUUGAGCUCCAUCGUGAUCGUGUGGUUCAUGCCAGCUCUCUUUUUUUGUUUCGGAAUUGCAUGUGGCAGGUUGCAUGUGGAUGUGGGCCGGUGGGUCAACUCGCCACAUGCAUGCAAAUUGAACUAAUGGCUAAAAAGGUGCUAGUGUUUUUUUUAACAAGAUCUAGCGGCCCUCAAAAAAAUAGCAAUUGCAGCCCACGUUAUUUAACUAAUACUUAAUUAGCCCCGUCCAGCGUGUCAGCCACUCUUAAACUCUUAAACACUUGUUACCUCAUUCAAGUGUAGAUUAUGACAUCCCUUGCUGAUACCAUCUGUGGAUGUCUCGAUCGAUCUGGUCCCUUGCUGCUACGAAGAUACGCUGGGUAAACGAAUAUACCAUUUGCGUUUUUUUCUUCCUGUUUUUGUUUACUCUCUGCAUUAGUCACGGCCUGGAUACUAAGGAAGGGCUUAAUCUGUUUUUCGUACUAAUUUUCCCUUGCUUUUGGGGUAUCUAUCGUUGGGUAACUAUUAUUUUCAUGCAACUGGUCAUUCCCAAUACUACAUCUCCCACUAUAUCUUAGCCAUGAGAAAUAUCUCAUGUGACCUCAUAUUUAAUCAAGAAAAUGGGAGCAAUUAAUCAUAUCUUUCUUUUUUUGCCUAUUUUCUGAAUUUACUGUUCACCGACACAUCGCUCGCGUCGGAGAGAAACUGCUCGAGGGACUAAACUUAUCCAUUUUUGAAAUGAGUCAAUUACAUCACAAGUGCUUGAACAUGGCAAGAAAAGUUAGUUUGGUUCUAAAACUUUCGGCAUACAUUGAACCAGCAAUAGAAUUUGGUUUGAACAUGCAUCUACGGUGCUAAUCAUGUUUUUUAUACAUAAAACGUACUGACAAGACGCGCCAACAAGACGUGAGACCCAACGUCAAUGACAGGAGACGCGGGGACGUACGUGCGACCUAAGUUUUUGCGAAAAACACCCUAAUGACCUAGAUGGGCCUUAAAUGGACUCCAAUGACCGUGACUCAUAUUUAUCAUGCUCGUGUUUUUAAUUCACAUAUAUCAUUAUAAUUCAUAUUACUAUUGCAAUUACAUAAUAUAUUUUUAAAUAAUGCUUAUAUGUAUUUUAGAAUUACAUUAACAGUACUUUAAGUAAUAAUAUUUCUCGUAAGGUAAGUACAUGAAUAUUUACCUUAAUGCAUGAAUACAACCCAAAAACACAUGAGUAUUUUCUGAGUACAUUAAUAAUGCAUGAUUUUUAUAAUAAUUUGCAAAAAAUAUUAUUAUUCAUAAAUACUAAUUUAACUAUGAAAACAUUUCUAAAAAAUAAUGUAAUAUUUGAUAGGACGAGAUUGACGUUCUUUUAAAUAAGAACCUUUUUUAGAAUCAUGUGAAAAUUAUUUUUAAAAUUACAUGAACAUUUUGUUAAAUAAGAAUAUAUUUUUGGAAUUACGCGAACGUUAUCUUAAAUAUUUUUCUUAUAAUUAUAAGAAUAUUAUCUUAAACAAGUUAACUUAUUUGUAUGUAUAAUAUUUUUUAAAAUAUUCCUACAAAGUGCUAUGAAAACUAAAAACUAACAUGUGAAAUUGGUCUGUUGUGAUCGCAGGUCAUUUAAGGCCUAUAUACGUGUUUGUCUAUAUGUCAUUGCGGAUAGAAAUCACAUUUAUACAACAAGUGAUAUGUGGUGUGAUGGCUAGCUAGCCUGUCCAAGGUGGUGUCGAAUGUCGUGUAUUUGAACCUGGACAGUGCUUAAUUUUGCCUUCUCAUUUCCCUUUGUUGCAUUGUGUCCGCACGGGUGGGCCCAAUUGUCAUAGUAACCUUCUAGUGUUAUUUUAAGUGAAAAAUGAGAAGGUUUUUGUGAGAAAAGGUGAAAUAUCAGGGUGCUUUCUUAAAAAAUCAGGCCACAUGCCCGUCCUCGCCUUCUCGUCACUGAUAUUGGGUCACAUGCCAUGAUGGCGCGCCUCAUCAGCAUGUUAUAUGUAUACAAAACGUGAUUAGCACCGUAGAUGCACGUGCAUGUCAAGUUUUAUCACCGGUUCAAUGUAUGUCGUAAAUUUUAGCAUCAAACUGACUUUUCUUGUCAAGUUCGGACACCUAUGGUGUAAUUGACUCUUUUGAAAUUGAGGGACAAAGUUUUAAUUGGUUUGAAGUUCAGGAACGAUAUCAAAACUUUCAUAAGAAUCGGGGGACCAAAAAUAUACUUAUCCCUAAUUUAUAGGGAUCUUGGCACAAAAAUAACGACAUUGUUUACGUUUUCCUUCACAAAAGACACAUAAUUCUUUGAGAUACAACACGAAAAUCAGAAAUUACCAUUGGCUCAUAGGUGUGGAUAAACUUGUUCAUGAACAACCCGGCCCGGAGGCCCGAACCUGAAGCCCAGCAUUCGGGCCGGGCUCGGGCUCCACUUUCUCAUCCGAAGCCCGGCCCGAAAGCCCAAAUAAAUAUUUUUUAUUAAAAUAUAGGUAUACUAAAUUAAUAUAAUAUCGCAAAUAUGAUUAAUUUAAUUAAAAAAUUCACUGUUUAUGUAAUUCCGGGUGGGCUCGGGCUUGGGAUUUUUUGUUCGGGCUUUACCAAGCCCGGCCGGAGGAAUGAUCAGGUUUAGGUGUGGAUGCACCGAUAGUCUAAGUAUACAUUUUUAAAAGUUAAAAAGUUUGGGAGAAAAUUCCCCAUGUACGUCCGGAAAUUAUAUGUCCGUGCGUGAAGUAUCAGUGAAAAAGGACAUUUUUUAUGGCUUCUGUAAAAAUGUCAUUUUUUAUGCUUAAUAACAACUAUUCAUGGGACAUUAUAUAUAAUUACACACACACACAUAUGUGCAUACAUGCCACAAAAAAUGGUAUUUUUGCGAAAUUUCGUGUGCGUAUAUAAAAUGUUUUGUUGUACACAUGAAAUUAUUGUUUGGAAUUUUUUAACAUUUUGAAAUGUGUUAUAUAUAUACAAAUGAAAACACCACCUCCCAUAUACAGCUUAGAGCCUCAAAUGUAAUAUUAAUUGUCAAAAGUGAGUAGUGUAGUACAACCGAUGGCAAAUCAUGAUUCAUAUUAUUUGUCUCUGAUUAGUAUAAUACAAAAUUAUAGUAAAUAGGAAAUACUUAGUAUAUAUCGGAUGUAGUAUUUUUAUCAUCCUAACAAUAAUGAUGUCGCUAGAAAAUUGGGCAAGCCUCGGGUCAAACAGUGCUAAAUAGCCCGAAACGCUCAAAUGGCAAGAAAUGUUGUUUAUGUGAUGGCGUUCAUGGCUUUCGACCUUCUGCCUUUGGCUAGUAUUCCAAAUAUGGUUGCAAAGUGGUUAGUGGGCAUUAGUAAACGACUAAAAACUCAAAUUUGUAUUGGUAUGUGUGCUUUAGUAUGCUCUAUUUGGAAGUGUCACAAUGAUAUUUUUUUGACAACUAAAAGAGUUUCUAAUUUCUUAGAGGUUAUGCAUUAGGCUACACAUUAAAUUCAUACGUGGUCAUUUCUUCAGCUCAUGGAGGCGCCGGUUACUUAGACUUUGGGUGCACCAAAUUGGAGAUGGCCGCAUGGGGUUUGUUUAUCCGAUUUGGGAGGUAGCAUAGUAAUAGCGUUUGUGAUGCAUACAUGCAUCAUAUAAUCUCUAUUGCGAUGAUUUUAGCGAGUGGACGUUUCUUUAUCUCUUAUGUACGUUUGAGUACUUCACAAUAAAUUAUGGUUGUCUGCAACAAUUAAUGAAAGUCUAGCAUUAUCCUCAUUUUCAAAAAAAAAAGAGAAGUAAAGGAUAUUAAGACAUGACGAUCCAACGGUGCAUAUCUAAGCUAAUUUAAUCUCUGGAUUACUUAAUGUGCGCAUAAGGAAUGCAUGCUAACCUGACCAACAAUUAUUGACGUAAACCUGGCAAAAGUUCCGACUUUAAAAUUUCGGUUUUGUCAAAAUAGAAAGAAAAGAUUAAAACUUUUCAACUAAAGCUAUGCAUCCAUGAUUGGAAGCCUGCGUAGUAUUUCCCAUUUUUCCCAUUGAUUUCCCUGGUAAGUUCUCGAUAGUUCAGGCUCACAGUGUUAGAACAUCUCCAACGUCGUACCUAAAAGCGUCCCUAAAUAUCAUGACCGCAUGGUCUGCACAUUUUUAACAUCCAACGGGAUGCACCAAACGUCCCAAAUUUGGAAUAGACAUGUAACUGAGUCAAAAGUGUGUCAAAAAAUGUGCAUACAACAGGUCUAGGGUGAACACACAAGUGGCAUAAUUUCUUUUUACUACACUGACUAGCAAAGGAGUUCCAUUCAUUCAUACUUGCUAACAGAAAUCAAUAUUUGUGAAUUUAAAAAUUCACAAGAUUUUAUUUUUUGGAAUUCAGAAAAAGAACAUAAAUUCUAUCAACAACAAGAAUUUUAAAAAGUACUAGCAAAAGGGCCCGUGCGUUGCAACGGAAGAAAAAAUGCUACACGCCCUUAAUUUAUAAAAAAUGAUCUAUAAUAUGAGAUUUUUUAGUUACGACACAAACAAAGAUGAACUUACCCUACAAAAGUGCAAUUCAAGAUUUUCACUGGCCAAAUGCCGCAUGGGAGCAUGAAAUAGAUUCAAAAUUCAGCAACCACUCUAUAUGCAUAUAUCUGGUCGAUGUUGUGUACGUCGGGCGCCACUGUGCUUGCAUGCAUACUGUCGUACAUGAGUGAACGAAAUCAAGAUGAACUAAUUCAUAGGCCAUUGAGGCAAAAAAAAAUGUUCGCAGUCUAGUUAGUGGUAUACAAUUUAACAACCUAUCAUAGAUAGUUGGCCUCUUCCAAAAAUAGUCCAUUUCAUCUUCUCCUCCCAAUUCCUAUCGCUUGAUUUAAAUCAGCCUAAUAGAAGAAAGAAGAAAAGAUAAAUAAAAAUAAGAAAGCAAAAAUCGCUUUGAUUUGAAUCAACCCGAUAGAAGGAAAGAAGAAAAGGUAAACAAAAAAGAGAAAAAAUAAACGAAAAUUGCUUGAUUUGAAUCAGUCUGAUAGAAGAAAAGAAGAAAAGGUAAACAGAAAAAGGAAAAAAGUAUGCUAGAAAAGGUAAACAAAAAAGGGCAAAAAUAAACGAAAAUUGCUUGAUUUGAAUCAGCCUGAUAGAAGAAAAGAAGAAAAGGUAAAAAAAAAAGAAAAAAAAUAUUGAAUCGGCCUGACAGAAGAAAAGAAGAAAAGGUAAACAAAAAAAGGAAAAAAAUAUGCUAGAAAAGGUAAAGAAAAAAGGGGAAAAAAUAAACGAAAAUUGAUAGAAAAAAAGAAGAAAAGGUAAACAAAAAAAGGGAAAAAAAUAUGCUAGAAAAGGUAAAGAAAAAAGGGGAAUAAAUAAACGAAAAUUGCUUGAUUUGAAUCAGCCUGAUAGAAGAAAAGGUAAAGAAAAAAAUAUUGAAUCAGCCUGAUAGAAGAAAAGGUAAACAAAAAAAGAAAAAAAAAGUAUGCUAGAAAAGGUAAAGAAAAAAAGGAAAAAAAAAACGAAAAUUGCUUGAUUUGAAUCAGCCUGAUAGAAGAAAAGAAGAAAAGGUAAAAAAAAAAUAUAUAUGCUAGGACAGUACUCGAACCCGGGUGUUCCACGAAGAAGGGGUCGCGCUCGAGCCACUACGCUAGGACAGCUUAGUUGUCAAAUUGUGAUUCAACAUCUUAUAAACCAAUAGAUGGCAGAACGAUUUGUGAUAAAAAAAACCAUUUUCUUUUGACUUAUGGAUGACAUAGUGGGUAAUUUUAAGCAACUUUAUGGGUAAUGUUUAUGACGUACGACAGAAGUAUUAUUUUCUUUAUUAGUAGGUAAAGAUGAAUUUACAAAAUAAGAAAAAAAAGAACAAAAAACAUAAGCGCACAUCAACCAUACAACUUUAUAUGAGGUAAUUGCAAAAGAGUAUCACAAUUCGGGCCAUAAUCACAAGUUGGUGCCAUCUUUCAAUUUUUUUGCAAAUACGUAUCAAGAUAAAGGCAGCUUGUUGCAAAACUUGUAUUUCUACGUAUAGAUGUUCUUUGUGACAGAUAUGGCCCACCGGUAAGUCUCUUACAGGAAAAACCUGUUGGGAAACGUUGCAUGGGAAAUAAAAAUUUUCCUACGCACACAAAGACCUAUCAUGGUGAUGUUCAUCUACGAGAGGAGAUUUGGAUCUACGUACCCUUGUAGAUCGCACAGCACGAAACGUUAAGAAACGCGGUUGAUGUAGUGGAACGUCUUCACGUCCCUCGAACCGUCCUACGAACCGUCCCGUGAUCCGUCCCACGAUCCGUUUCGAUCUAGUGCCAAACGGAUGGCACCUUCGCGUUCAGCACACGUACAGCUCGACGAUGAUCUCGGCCUUCUUGAUCCAGCAAGCAAGACGGAGAAGUAGAUAAGUUCUCCGGCAGCGUGACGGUGCUCCGGUGGUGGUGAUGAUCUACUCCUGUAGGUCUCCGCCCGAGCUCCGCAGAAAUCCGAUCUAGAGGUAGAACUAUGUGGUCUAGGAUUGAGUUGCAUGUGGCAAAAGUUGUCUCAAAUCAGCCCUAAAAGACCACUAUAUAUAAGAGGGAGGGGGAGGGCUAGCCUUGAGGGACAAGCCCUCAAGGUGCGCCGGCCAAGGGGAGGAGGAGGACUCCUCCUCCAAUUCGUCCCACCUCCCUUUUUUCUCUUUUUCCUUUUAUUUUCUUUUGGUAUUUCUUUAAGUGGUGCCAUGGGCCCCUUGGGCUGACUCCACCAGCCCACUAAGGACUUGUGGCGCCACCCUAGUGCCUUGGGCUCACUUCCAGGUGGGUGGGCCCCUCCCGGUGAACUCCCGGAACCCAUUCGUCACUCCCGGUACACUGUCGGUAAUGCCCGAAACUUUCCGGUGACCAAAUGAAACCAUCCUGUAUAUCAAUCUUCGUUUCCGGACCAUUCCGGAAACCCUCGUGACGUCCUGAUCUCAUCCGGGACUCCGAACAACAUUCGGUAACCACACAUAUAACUCAACUAUAGUAAAACAUCAUCGAACCUUAAGUGUGCAGACCCUGCAGGUUCGAGAACUAUGUAGACAUGCCCCGAGACACUCCUCGGUUAAUAUCCAAUAGCGGGACCUAGAUGCCCAUAUUGGAUCCUACAUAUUCUCCGGAGAUCUUAUCGAUUGAACCUCAGUGUCAAGGAUUCAUAUAAUCNNNNNNNNNNNNNNNNNNNNNNNNNNNNNNNNNNNNNNNNNNNNNNNNNNNNNNNNNNNNNNNNNNNNNNNNNNNNNNNNNNNNNNNNNNNNNNNNNNNNNNNNNNNNNNNNNNNNNNNNNNNNNNNNNNNNNNNNNNNNNNNNNNNNNNNNUGUCCUUCGGUAUGUUAUUUGCCCGAGAUUUGAUUGUCGGUAUCCGCAUACCUAUUUCAAUCUCGUUACGAGCAAGUCUCUUUACUCGUUCCGUAAUACAAGAUCCCGUGACUUACACUUAGUCACAUUGCUUGCAAGGCUUGUAUGUGAUGUUGUAUUACUGAGUGGGCCCCGAGAUACUCUCCGUCACACGGAGUGACAAAUCCCAGUCUUGAUCCAUACUAACUCAACGGACACCUUCGGAGAUACCUGUAGAGCACCUUUAUAGUCAACCAGUUACGUUGCGACGUUUGAUGCACACAAGAUAUUCCUCCGGUGACAGUGAAUUAUAUGAUCUCUUGGUCAUAAGAAUAAAUACUUGACACGCAGAAAACAAUAGCAAUAAAAUGACACGAUCAAUAUGCUACAUUCAUAGUUUGGUCUAGUCCAUCACAUGAUUCUCCUAAUGAUGUGCCCCCACCCCGCACUAGGGUUCCUCCCGCCGCCACUGGCUCCCAGCACAGUCGCCGCCGUGGCCGCCAGCCUCCCUGUGCCCCCCGCCCCAGCGUUGCCCCGAGCGGCGAACGGGACGGCGCCGCUCGCCCAAGUCACCAGCUCCCUUCCUCGCCGCCCCUCCCUGCCACCGUCGGCGGGAGCGAUCGGGCAAGGCCUGGGUGAUGUCAGCGGCUACGGGACCUCCCUUCCCCACGUGUCCUGGCCUCCCGCUCGGGGGAGCGACCGGAUCGCGAUGCGCCUCGGCCGGCAGGCAGUCCGACGAUCUCGAGGUGGCUUGUCCGUGGUGGACCUGUCCCUUGGCGGCGUGGUAGUGACCUCCGGUGUGUUGGUCCGGUGCGUCAUCCCCGUCCUAGAUCUGCGCCCUUGGCCCCAUAUGGGUUUUAGGCGGGCCAGUUCGGUCCUCUGGCGGUGCUGCUUUCGGUUGGAUAGAGAUGCGCUCCUGCUCGGACGUGGAUCGGCGGAGCCAUGACGCGCCUGCUGCAUCACGACAACAGUGGCUUCAGGGCCCCUUUAGGGCCUGGCCGUACCCACGGGCCAGCGGGACUGGUAUGCCUUUUGUUGCUGCGUCCGGUCAGCUACUACCUCAGUGGUGGUGGAGCACUGGGUAUCCUUUGCCCCCCGCGCUAGGGUUCCUCCCACUGCCGCCGGCUCCCAGCACAGCCGCCGCCGCGGCCGGAGCCCGCUGGAGCAGUGGUGCCAAGUAACGUUGCUCAAAAGUCAUCAAGAUCGUCGUCAUGGAGACUUAGAUGAGUCAAGGAGUCAUGCGGGUUGGCACAUCUCGGUCGUCGUCGUGUCAGUGAGUCAUCGUCGUCAUGUGCAAGUACUGGUCUCUAUAUGGUCCGGUUGAAGAUGAAGCGUCUCAGGGUCGACGGGUUGUCCGGUGUGGUGUAGUACCGAGGGCGAAGACGUGAAAUGAAGAUCAAGCUCAAGCGUGUAGUGGGACGAUGACCACUAAAGGAGAGCCUUUUCAAUGAGGACAUGUCUCUACAUGGGAUGGUGUGUGAUACAUUAGCAUGUAUUGCGUUACUGAUGGGGUGACUGAUGUUGUCCUCUAACAACGUGACUGUGAGUCUGUAUCAUACAUUGGGAUGGAAUCGUCAGGUCGUGGAUCUACAACGAGAGCCACGAUCAGAAGGAGUACAAAGCAAUGAUAAGUUCAGAUUAGGAGGAAUCAAAAUUAGGAGGAGAUUGAUGGGUUUAAUCUUGACUAAAUUAAUUAGCUUGAUCGUGUCUAAAGUAGACAUGCAUCAUGAGUCGGGUUUGGAGUCAGGUUUCAUGUACGUACGUAAUACUAGGAGUAUAUUAGCGGUUAGAGUUCUCUUAGUACUAGGAGUCACGUACGUAUUAGCGGUUAGAAAGUCAAAGUCCGAUUCCGUGUGUAGCUGUGGACGGCUUGGUGCGUGUAGGAUAGCUUCUAUAUAUACUUGAGUCUGUCGUGAUUCUUGUAAUAUCAUGAGUUGAGAGAAAAUAAAAAAAUAAAAAAGGAAAAUUAAGGUACGACAAGGACAUUUGACUACAAGAUUUUUUAUGCACGUGUUUAUCGUGAUAUGAUGGGAUCGAGUGGACCGAGUUCCAACACAUUAGCCCUCGUCUAUAACAUCUGGCCAGCGUACCCAUUACACACUAAUUUUUACAGAUUCAUGGUGCCGAGAUAUUACAAGCAGAACACGCACAUCAGUGCUUGAAGUACAUACUCAAUGACUUCGAAGAUUUGCGCACAUUAAUUGAAGCCAACGAACUUGUGUGUUGAUGUAAGCAAUCCUGUUUGGCUAUGAUGCGUCGAUAUGAUGCAUCGAUUUGCAAACAUCGAGUAUUGAGGCCAUGCAAAAAUAUGGCAAUUGCUGCAACUAAGACGAACAGCCAAUGCUUCAAGUGAGGAAGGUCUUCAACGAAGUCAGCUUGUUUGCCCACUGUAUCCAGAGAAAAGAGCAGUUAAAUCAUGCAUGAAUCCAUACACUCGCGCGCACAUGCCUUAUCUCUCCUUAAUCUAUACCUAAUAAUAAAGCGGCUAUUGCUUCCGUCGAAAAACCCACCGCGGCAUUUUUAUAAAAAAAACCCUGUAAUUUUGGUUAUUCAACCCGCGCUCCAUCAUUUAUCUGCAAUGCAAAAGGAAAAAACGAUUCAUUGCAAAAAUUAUACCCGUACGCAUCGCCUCCUCUUGUCGACCUUGGGCCACCCUGGCCUGUGCCCAGGCCGCCGCCACACCACUCACCACCGCGGCCGACCUCAACCGCCACCACUGCCGAUCUCAACCCACCCGCCCCCGCGGCCAUACCUCUCCCCGCUCACUGCCCCUGUUGCGGAGAUCGAGUGCAUCGCGUCGACCCUGGUCCACUCUGGCCUGUGCCCAGGCCGCUGCCACACCACUCGCCGUCGCGGCCGACCUCAACCACCACUAUUGUCGAUCUCAACCCACCCGCCUCCGCGGCCGUACCUCUGCCCGCUUGAUGCCCCCGUUUUAGCGCUCGAGCACAGCUUCUGGAUCAAAUCAACGCGACACCUACAGUGACUGGGGAUGAUGCGUCUGCUCGAUGCAGAACGGCGACGGCGCGCGGAUAAGGCGCGACGGAGCGAAGUACUUGCAGGUGGAGGCGGGCCUCCAUGGCUCACACGGAGAACUCCGAGGUUAUGGCGCGGCAACGGCGACUCCUUAUGGCCUGAUAGAGACGCCUAACCCUUGCUCCCCUCAUCGUAUCCCCUCCUCCGGCAGGAACUCAUCAUCUGAUGAGAUCCCCUCCCCAUGCCUCCAAUCGUGUGCCAAGCACCGGCAAGAAAUUUUGUUUUGUGGUGAUUUGUUUGCUGAUGAAUGAAUGUAUUGAAUAUAAGAUUGUAUUGUUGUAGAGACAGAGAAUGGAACACCACCUUCAGUUUGUCAUCUGAUCCCAUAUUCUCUACCCCAUGAGUGAAAUAAGAUAACAGUCCAUUGAUCAAUUCACGUAGCCUCUUUGUUUUGCUUUGCUUGUCCUGCUCAAUUUCUCAUCAUGAUGGAAUUAACAAUGAACGGGUUGAUUCCUCAACAAAAUAGGAUAGGACUGACUACAUUAGUUAGUUAGCUUAUUAUUUUAAUAAAUCAAAAUGAUUAUAAAAAAGAUUAAAAAUGUGUGGUAUUUUUUUCUCCCGUUGCAACGCACGGGCCCUUUUGCUAGUAAUAAUAAAGCAAAUUCGGUUUCUGGUCGUCCGUCUUGGAAAUUACCUCUAAAUUUUAUAUAAAUUACCCACGAAGACACCGGUAAGUAAUAGAAAACGUUUCACAAAGCGAAAAAUCUUGGACUGGGCCGGCCCAUGUAAAAACCUCCUAUAUUACGCUAUGCACGCUGGGAGAAUAUCCAGCACAUCGUAUGGGCCGGCCCAUGCACAGACACCUUCUCUUAGUUCCGUUUAUUUAUUUAUUUUCAGUUCCGUUUUAUUUUUUUAUUUUAAAUAAAUUAAAACUCCACAUAAUCUUUAAAAUUUUAAUAAACCGAAAAAUAUAAAUCAACAUAUUUAAAAAAUUAAAAUGUUUGUGACUUCAAAAACUGCUCGGAGUUUUGUAAAAAACACUCGCAUAUACAAUAUAAUGUUUGCAAUUUUAGAAAAAAUGUUUGUACAAUAAGCAAAGUCCAUGAUCUCAAAUACAAUUCCAUGUAUAAAAUCUCUCCCUAAUAAUAAAGCAAAAUUCGGUUUCUGGUCGUCCGUCUUAAAAAUUACCCCUAAAUUUUACAUAAAUUACCACCAUGCCACGGUAAGUAAUACUCCCUCCGUUCCUAAAUAUAAGUCUCUUUAGAGAUUUCACUAAUUGACUACAUACGUAGUAAAAUGCAUGAAUGUGCAUUCCAAAGUAUGUCCAUAUACAUCCGUAUGUAGUCUUCUAGUGAAACCUCUUUAAAGACUUAUAUUUAGGAACAGAGGGAGUAGAAAAAGUUUCACAAAGCGAAAAAUCUUGAACUGGGCCGGCCCAUGUAAAAACCUCCUAUAUUACGCUCUGCAUGCUGGGAGAAUAUCCAGCACAUCGUAUGGGCCGGCCCAUGCACAGGCACCUUUUCUUAGUUCCGUUUAUUUAUUUAUUUUCAGUUUCGUUUUAUUUUUUUAUUUUAAAUAAAUUAAAACUUCAAAUAAUCUUUAAAAUUUUAAUAAACCGAAAAAUAUAAAUCAACAUAUUUAAAAAAUUAAAAUGUUUGUGACUUUAAAAACUGCUUGGAGUUUUGUAAAAAACACUCGCAUAUACAAUAUAAUGUUUGCAAUUUUAGAAAAAAUGUUUGUACAAUAAGCAAAGUCCAUGAUCUCAAAUACAAUUCCAUGUAUAAAAUCUCUCUCUAAUAAUAAAGCAAAAUUCGGUUUCUGGUCGUCCGUCUUGGAAAUUAUCCCCAAAUUUUACAUAAAUUACCACCAUGCCACGGUAAGUAAUACUCCCUCCGAUCCUAAAUAUAAGUCUUUUUAGAGAUUUCACUAAGUGACUACAUACGUAGUAAAAUGCAUGAAUGUGCAUUCCAAAGUAUGUCCAUAUACAUCCGUAUGUAAUCUUCUAGUGAAAUCUCUUUAAAGACUUAUAUUUAGGAACAGAGGGAGUAGAAAAAGUUUCACAAAGCGAAAAAUCUUGAACUGUGCCGGCCCAUGUAAAAACCUCCUAUAUUACGCUUUGCACGCUGGGAGAAUAUCCAGCACAUCGUAUGGGCCGGCCCAUGCACAGGCACCUUCUUUUAGUUCCCUUUAUUUAUUUAUUUUCAGUUCCGUUUUAUUUUUUAUUUUAAAUAAAUUAGAACUUCAAAUAAUCUUUAAAAUUUUAAUAAACUGAAAAAUAUAAAUCAACAUAUUUAAAAAAUUAAAAUGUUUGUGACUUCAAAAACUGCUCGGAGUUUUGUAAAAAAUACUCGCAUAUACAAUAUAAUGUUUGCAAUUUUAGAAAAAAUGUUUGUACAAUAAGCAAAGUCCAUGACCUCAAAUACAAUUCCAUGUACAAUAAGAUAGUUUAUUUUUUAUAUUUAAAAUUUUCCGUUACAUUUUUGUUUAUUUAUCAGUUAAAUAAUUUAUAAUUACAAAAACUUUUGCAUAUUAAAAAAUAGGAAUUUUGAAUUAAAAUGCUGAUGAAUUUUUAUUUUGAAUUAAAAAUAGGAUUCAAAAAAAGCGCCGGAUUUUUUUUUUUUGCAAAUUCCAAAACAAUGUCCAUGAAUUUAAUAAAUAUAUGACUGAUUUAUAAAAAUGUUUGUUUAUUCAGAAAAGCUUCAUGUGUUUUAAAAAAUGUUUGUAAAUUUAAAAUAAAAUCCUCCAACAUAAAAAAAUAUGUUCGUCUUUUCUUGAAUUGGUUGCCAAUUAAUAGAAAAUAUUUAAACCCGUUCGAAAUAUAAAAAAUAUUCACGAUUUUUAAUAGAUGUUUGUGAAUUGUAAAAAAUAUUCUCGAUUUUAAAAUUAUUCCCAUGUUUGUAAAAUUGUUCAUGAAGGAUCUAAUGUAUGUAGUUAAACAUUAAUGCUUAUAAGUCUUUAUGACAAUAUACCUGUGUGAAUUUUGAAAAAUUAACUGUUGGAUGGAUCGGAUUAUUAUUAUAUGUUUUUUUAAAAAAAUUCUUGAAAUUCAGAAUAAAUCUUUGAGUUACCAAGAUUUUUGACAACCAUGAUAUAUAUUUCUUGAAAAUGUAAAGAUUGCUUCAAUUUUUGAAUAAAUUUAAAAAAAAGAAACAUUUUCUUGCAUUUGUGCACAAAAUUUCUAAAUCAAGCGAUGAUAUGUGAACAUAAUGUGGUCACCAUGAUUGAAGAUUAUGUUUUUUUUCUUCCGUUGCAACGCACGGGCCAUUUUGCUAGUGUUUCUUAGGUAUACAUGAGGCAAUCCACGAGCUUCAUUCUAAAAAGUUAAACGAUGUUAUUUUUAAAUAGACUCUCAAAAACCUAUUUUUUUUAGAAAAAAAGAUGACCCCGGGCUUCUGCAUCUGCAAGAUGCAUGCAUCCACUUUAUUAUUUAUUCACAAAGAUCUUACAAAGCAAUACAUCAAUAUGUCUGAAGCCACCCUCUUGGUAACAUCUAUCGCUACUCCUAUCCAAUGAUUAAGGGGUGCGGAAAGUGUGAGCCAUGUAUCCAGACCUCUCGCCUAGCCUAACAUCUAAAGCCGGAAGCCCCGACCGAGCCACAUACCGGGUCAGGGGCACAAACCGGUCCAACGCACCCUCAUAGGUCGUCGCCGCCGCUUUCCAUCAAUCCAUCUUCAGAACAGUUAGUGACGCAUCGACCUUGCAAGGCCUGCCGUCGAUGCCCCCACGGCGCCAGACAGCGCCUUCUCCCUACGCACGCUCAUCAUCACACAUCCAUCGCCGAGAUUUUGCUGCGCCUCGCCGCCGAGACUCCAUGACGUCGGGGUGUCACAUGGAACGCCGCUCCACCGUAGAUGCCGACCAAUGGUCCCUCGAGGCCGUGUGUACCUCCAUGAAUGACGCCCCCAAGAGGGAAACGACACCAGAGCGUCGGCGUCAUCCGAUCUACUAAUCUAGGGUUUCCCUCGAAGCUAGCAGAGAGUGGCCUUGAACUUCUCCUCAGCGAUGCCUUUAGGAAGGGAACGACGUAGACAGAGUCGCCAUCGCCGGUCUUGGCAGUAGCCGAAAGCAAGCUUUCACCCAGAUCUGUUCGAAGAACCCAUCUCUCCUGCACGGGCCACCACAUCGUGCGACGUCCCCAGAAGCGGGAUCCCAAGAUCCGCCGCCACCGGCGACACCACAAGGACCCACCACCUGGCCGUCAUCCCUGACAAAGGGGAUGGCGCCACCACCUUAUUCAGAUCCAGCAGCACGCCAACCAACGCCUCCUGCUGCCCCCAAUCACAUCUGUGAAGGAGAACAGUCAACACGCACGCCCACCACCGCUUAGAGCCGUAGGACGACACCCGAGUCCAAAGAGGACCGAUCUGGGAUUGUGAACCCCAGAUCCGCCGAUGCUAGCCCCCGCAGCACCGCCAGGAUUCCAUUGGGCCACCGUCCGAGCGCGCCAACUCCGCCUCCAUGCCGUACGCCCAGGGGCGCCGUCGCAUCUCAGCCAGAGGAUCCCCUCGUGAAGAAGGAAGGAAGGCCUUCCGUCCGCCGUCCGCCCGGGCGAGCUUCGCUCGCCGGCCUCCUCCGGCGGCGGCGGGGAAGCAGUGGAGGAGAGAGGUUGAGGGCUGCAGCGGCUAGAGCGCCUGAGUCGCCCCCCUGGAGGUGAGGCGAGCGAUUUUGGUUUAUUACAGAUGGAUUACAGUUUGUUCCCAGCCGAAUCUCACUCCCAAAAGCCUAUGAUAAGGUGAAUUGGUCUUUUCUCAAGCAGUCCCUCGGAAUGAAGGUCUAAAUGGCUAACUGCUGGUAUCUUAUAUUUAGACUGCAAAAUAAUCAGUGCAUUCAGAAACCAACCACAUAACCCCUACUAGCAUUGAGGAUAUGUUCUGUAAUUACUAACUAGCUUUUAGGCAUAGCACAAAUGGUAGAGGCUAAAUUGGUAGAGGCUAGGGUUCUACCAGGUCUCGGACGUAGGUUGUAGGGGUGGAAGUGCGGGCUGCGAGGUUGGGGACGCUGACGCCGGCGGUUGGGCGUCGUCGCGGCGUGAGAGAGAGAGAGGCGGCUAGGGUUUGGGGCUCUCGUCUCCUGAGGAAGACGACAACAGAAUAUUCUGUUUAUUGUCUGCUUAAUAUCGAAGGGGUACAUGUGUUUAUAUAGGAGGACAUCCUUCACUAAACCCUAGAUAACUUGGACUCUAACUUGGACUCUAAUAUAACUUGGACUCUAAGAUAGGUAAGAUAACUUGGGCUAAGCCCGUAAUUAACCCUGCCCAUUAGGCCUCCUCCGUUGGUACGUUGUACCGGUCAUAACAACAAAGCAAUCGUGGGAUAAAUUUGUGGGUCAAACUUCCAUAUGUUAAGGUGCUGUAAGACAACCAAAAUGUUUCUAACUUGAUGCAGCAUGGCCUCCUCCUUGCCGUAUUCAUGGCGGCUGCUACAGGGAUUUGGUGGAGCCAGCCUGUUGCGGGCUGGGAAAAGUAGCUCGUCGAGACUACUAUUUUUAUCAAAGAACUAUGUUUCCAAACAAAGUCCUAAAUGUUUUUUCUACAAAAUUUUAUAUUAUUUGAAUACUAAUAAUUUGCUUUAAAAUUCCUCCAAUGCAACCACACGUGUUGAUGAUUUCAGAUUAUGGCAGGGAACAUAUGAAUUAAAGUAGGAUCAUGAAAGACGUAAGACCAGUCAUAGUGAAAAGAGAUGAUCCGCGGGAGCAGAGAAUAUGUACCUGACGUAUCGGUUUACUUUUAGGAAUACCAAUGUUACUUAGUUCAUUGACAAUCUGGGCUAUUGUAGGCCUUCGGGUUCGGUCGUCCUCCACACACUUUAAUGCUAUUUUGAUGCAUGUCCUCACUUGAGAUACAUGGGACGGCAUAUUUGCUUCCAUCCUCAUUCGCCAGUUUUCACAUACCUGAAGAAUUGAAACAUAAUGCCAAAAGAGGCAUGCACGAAUAGGGGUAAGGCACAAUAAAAUAUUUGGGAUUUCUUUCCCUGAUAUCGGAUCUUUUUUCCUUACAUGCUUAAUAAAUACUUUUGGAUGGGUGUCUGCACAAUUGAAGUAGCCAUCCUUUCCUGCCAUUAUUUGUAUGAUUAUGACCCCGAGACUGAAUACGUCAAACUUCGGACUGAUUUGUUGUCUGUUGAUGUAUUCUGGUGGCAUAUAUCCACUGCACUUCAGCAAAUAUAGUUAAUUUUCUACAAGUUUGAGAAAACAAGUUGAUUAAUUACUUCUGAGUUAUUAACUUACCGUGUUCCUUUCAUAUCUUGGGAUUCUGUGAUAUAGGUUUGCAUCGAAUCAAAUAAUCUUGACAAACCAAAAUCACAAAGUUUUGCUACCAUAUCCUUAUCCAACAAAACAUUUGCAGGUUUUAAGUCCAGAUGGAAAAUGGGAGCAUCAACAUUAUGAAGGUAAUGUAAACCCUCACAAAUUUCUUUUAUUAUUUUGUAGCAUUUGUCCCAAUCAAGUGUGCAAGCUUCAGCUGCAGAAGUAAAGAAAAAGCAUGUUACUAUUAAAUAGAAGGCAUACUAGUACUAUCAAGUUUGUUUUCUAUAAAACGUACUCCUGACUUUUAUCGUACCGCCUGAUUUUUACUCGUAGAUGCUACCCAAAAAAUGGUUCUGUUAUCUACCUGAACCCUAACCUUUUAUCUCAUUUGUUGUUGGUUGCUACCUCAACAGCUAGCCCAAGAAGAAUCAUAUAUAUGGAUCCAAGGGUGAGCAAAUAGACCAUAUUUACCCGAAAAGUGCAAAUGGAACCCGGGCACCAGGGUGGACUUAAAAGAGAAUAUAUUUCCACAUAAAAAAGGUCAAAAAAUUUAUACAUACGCAGAUACAUAUAUAACACGUUGAGGAAAAGUUCAUAACAAUAUACUUUAUACGUGGCGUACACAUAAAAAAACAAAAACACAAAUGAAAAUGGGCCCUUUUUGUUGUUCUUGGGCCGGAAUUUUUUUAUUUUUGUGCAGCUUGCAAAAAAUAUAUUUUUUGAAAGAAAUUUUACGGAUCCACUGCAAAUAUGUAUAAGUGUUCACAUAUUUAUUUUCGGAUUUUUUUGAAACAUAGAAAUAUUGUUUUUCAAUCUUUUGAAAUAAAGUCGUCAAAUACCCCGUCCACCAAAACUUUGCACUCAUAUUUACCCCCUUAUGUAGUUAAUUAUGUCUUAGAAAAUUCAAAUAUAAUUUAAUAGAAGUAGAGCAGAAUCAUACCAGAAAGUUGAUCGGCAAGGCUUCCACCAUGCAUGUAUUCCAAACAAAUCGCUCUUUCUACCACACUAGCAGAAACAUGUUCUCCUUUGUACUCGGCAACUAUCUGUGAUGUAUGGUGGCAGUAGCCAGCUAACUGUACGAUAUUUUUGUGUUUGACCCUCGUUAGAAUAUUAAGCUCAUUCUUAAACUGCUCAUCAUCAAUCCACAACACUGGAUGAAGUUUCUUAACAGCAAUCUCUUCUCCAUUCUCUAACACCCCCUGUUAAAAUCUCAGAUUUUAUGUCACACAAUUCUUGAUACUAACGGACGGCCUCAUUUGACAGUUAGAAGUGUAAUAACUAUACCUUGUAAAUAACUCCAUAUCCGCCACGGCCAACUAUGUUCUGCUCAGAAAAACCAUUUGUAAUGCGUUCUAAAAACUCAAAUGACCACUCAACAAUAUCAAUCUUAUUCAGUUCUUGUAUGAUUUCAUUUGUGGUAGGCCUCUUCAUCAGAUUGAACUCCACGCAUUUUAGAGCUAUUCGGAUGCAUGUUCUAACUUCACGUGAAGUACGCUUCGAUAUUGUGGCCUGCAGCCUAUUCACCCAUAAUUCAUAUACCUGCAGAAUUGAAACACAAUUCCUUGGCAUGCAGGCUUAGAUGUAUGGAACAACCUAAUAUUAGUGGAAAAAAAUAGAUUCCACAAUAUAAGAGUUUUUUCUUACAAGCUCAAUAAAUUCUUCAGGAGGAAUAUCUGCACAUUUGAUGUAGCUCUGCUUUCCUGCCAUUAUUUGCAAGAUUAUAACGCCCAGACUGAAUACAUCAAACUUUGGUGUAAUUUGACGUGUACUGAUGUAUUCUGGUGGCAUGUAUACACUGCAUAGUACAAAAGGAAUUUAUUCUCACAAAAAGUUCAUGAAAGAAUCCGAUUACUUCUCAUGGUUGUUAGCAUACCUUGUUCCCGUAACAUCUGAUGUGUUGAAGGUUUCUGUUGAAUGUCUAGAGAAACCAAAACCCCCAAUUUUGGGCAUCAUGUCCUUAUCCAGCAAAAUUUUUGAAGGUUUUAAUCCCAGAUGGUAAAUAGGAUACCCGAAUCCUUCAUGAAGGUAAUGUAAACCCUCACAUAAUCCCUUAAUUAUGUUAUAACAUAUGUGCCAAUCAAGCGCACAUGAUUCAUCUAUAGAAGUAAGCAAAAUGUGUAUUACCAAGAUGUAAAGUUUAGGGAUCAUUGUCCUUGCAUGCAAAAAUGAUAGUGUAAGUAGAGCAUAAUCAUACUAGAAAGAUGUCUAUCAAGGCUUCCUCCUGGCAAGUAUUCAGAGCAUAAGGCUCUUUCUUCCACUCUAGCAGAAAUAUGUUCUCCAUUGCGCUCAACAGGCACUUGUGCUGUAUGAUGGCAGUAACCAACUAACCGUAUGGUAUUUUGAUGUUGGACCCUCAUAAGAUUAUUAAACUCAUUUUUAAAUUCCUCGUUGUCAAGCCCCUGCAUGAGAUGAAACUUCUUCACAGCAAUGCAUUCCCCAUUGUCCUGUAAUCCCUGUUAAAACAUAUCUAUUAGGUCACUAUAUGCUAACAUAUAAUAUUGUUGGUUAAGCAUUUAAUAUUAUAGAUGGUAUAGAAAUUAAUGGAUCAAGACGGUUCUUCACUACUUCCACUUCUACAACUCAGAUAAGUUGAUCCUAGGAAGUUUUUUGUUGGAGCCGGGGUAGAAUUGCCAUAGGGAGAUCUCUCACGUCAGAUGGUAAGAUUUCGCCCACGGGCUUCCGAUCUUUAUCGUGAGCAUGUCAGAGAUCCAAAGAGAACUUGACAACACCGACUGUGGGAAGAAGCACGUACGGGAGAGCUACAAUGUGUUAGUGGUGGAAAUGGUUUGGCAUUGGUGGUUUGGCAUUAUCGCUGAAGGGGGCAUGGUUUGGCAUUGGCGGAUUGCCAAGGACGUCUUCGCUUGGGUGUGCCGGUGGUGCGCGGGGCGAGAGCACACCAAUCUCCAGAGAAAGGAUUAGAGCCAAGUGCGAUUUCCGCUGGAUGCUGUGUACGUUGUGUGUGGUUACAGGUUCAGGAUGACCAUGAUGGGGGUCAAUCUCUAGAGCUCGCAAGCACAAGAGCGGGUAGUGGAACUAGUUCAAAAUUGUGGCCAGACCAUAGGGGCUGAGGUGGAAUGUCAAACCCUCUACUACAUUUUUCGAUAAAGAAAGCUUUUAUUAAACUCAGAUCAUUACAUCAAGAUGAUACAAUCGUGCUGAGAUCACUCCCGGCCUCUGCAUAACUAAGAUGCAUACAGCCACACACACACACAUAAGAAUUUUAUAACAAGUGAAAUAACAGAAAAAUGCUAUGAACCAUCAAUUCUUAGACUAGAUCGCCAUCCAUGCUCCUGGGUAAAAUACUCCCUGACCAUCCGCUCCAAAUGUUGACACGCCGCUACUACAUGCGCAGCUAUAUAUAGAGACUCAGUUGGAGAAGGGAAGCAAAAGGAGCGGGUGUAAAUCCCACCCUUUGCUAUGGGAAUUAUUUGAUGUUCUCAGUGAGUUUAUGUUGAGAUGUUUGUAUAUAAAUUUUGUUUUUUUAAGCAUGGAGUUGCAAAGUUUAAUUCUUAUAAGUGUUUCGUAACUCUCACAAGCAGCGUUGUGGUUGGAGUGCUACUCUUGAGAGGAGUUGAUCGCUGUGACGGGAUCUUGUUUUUAUCUUAUGUUUUUCUCCUUUAGCUGUGUGCAUCCUCAAUGUCUUGUGACAUUUUGUAGGUGCAGUGGCUGGAUGUAAUUGAUAUCUUUGUGAUAUGAAUAUAUUCCUUUUUUCUAAAAACGAACGAAUUUGUCGUUAUCGAUUUGCCGAUGAGAAGAAAUUAUGAGCCGGAGCCAAAAAUAAUGAGAGAGAGAGGCGAGUAUUGUGUUGCAACUGACUGCGCAUAGUUUUCUUCAAAAAAUGGUUUCCCUCCACUUUGUAUUACAAAGCAACCAGCCGAUACAACCAACGAUAGGUGCUGGGACGGAAGCAGCACAACACGCCCAAAAGAAAAGAAAAAGAAAAAGAAAAGAAACGAAACAAAUGCCGACACCGGCGGAUCGACAAAAACGAAGAAGCCUCGUGACCGCUGCGCCCACCAGGGAUCUCCCAGCAAGCUCCAAGACUCUGGAGCGCCGGUACCAAUCAGCACCUCCAAGAAGGACCGCGGCGAUGACGACGCUGCUGUCAAGGGUUUCCCCCGGUACGCAAAGAGGUGCAAGGAAGGCUAGCCCCGCCGCCCUUCAGGAAGGAUAUCGGCGGCACCCACAGGCGCCACCGUGACGGUGUCGGCCAAGCCGACAAGGGUUUCCCCCGAUCCCGACCUGCACCUCGGCCACUCCGAAGCCUGCCACCAAGCCAACCUCCACCCUUCGCCAACACAGCCUUGAGGCCUCCAUGCCGUCUCACCACGACACUACAAGGUGAGACCUGGACAACAACGAAGAAUGGGCCGGGACAAGGAGUAUCAUCACUGUCGGCAUGCGGGAGGGCUCAACCUCCACCGCCAACGGCGGUCGCCGACCGGACACAGUGGCCGAAGCAUAGCAGGACCGUGGGCCCACAGGCCCGGCUGGGACCUCAAAGCCCGUGAAGCUCCUGCCAUCGCGCUGCACCAGGCACGCCAUCGGCGUCACCACUCCCCGUCCAAGCUGCCCUUCCUCCUCACCACGCAGAGGACAUCACAACCGUGCCGAGGGCCGGCCUGCUAGAACCCAGAUGGGCCCCGUAGGGCCCAGAUCUGGGCCGGGUGCGCGCCGCCAGCCACCCCGUGCCACCGCUGUGCCCCGUCGCCAAAGAGCAACGCCGCCACCUCGCCCGCCGUCGGCGACCGCCGCCGUGUCGCCGGACCGCCACCAAGCCGAGCAACACCGCCCGGAGGACCCCGAGCAGCUCCAUCUCGCCGGACCCGCGCCGUCAUGCCAGAUCCUCGACAGAACUACAGCCGGCCCGAACCCACGCCAACCCACACCAACAGCCGAGGCCACCGACGACGGCAAGCCCACGCCGCCUCGGCCCGCGCCUCCUGCAGGCAGCCCACCGGAGGAGCCUCAGAUCCAGACCUGGAUCGAACGCACCCCCGCGUCCCUGCGCAGACACGGGCCACCUGACCCGCAGCCGUCCGCGCCUCCGCCUAGGGAGCCCCCCCCCCCCCCCCCNNNNNNNNNNNNNNNNNNNNNNNNNNNNNNNNNNNNNNNNNNNNNNNNNNNNNNNNNNNNNNNNNNNNNNNNNNNNNNNNNNNNNNNNNNNNNNNNNNNNNNNNNNNNNNNNNNNNNNNNNNNNNNNNNNNCCCCCCCCCCCGCGGUCGCGGGAGCGGGCAGGACGACCUCCAAAAGUCACCCCGUUUUUAGUUUUCCUUCCAACCCCUUAUUAUUUUUACAUCCGAAAGAUCUUUACCUAUUAAUAAAGCACCUAUUGCUUCUGUGGUACGUCAUUAAAAUUGUCUAAUAUUACCCACCAAUACCACCUAUAAAUUAUAAAAAAACGUUUUGCAGGGAAUCAUUGCAUGGGCCGACCAAAACAUAGGGACCAGCCAUACUAGGCUCUGCUCGCUGGAAAAUAAACAGUAUGCCCACUUGUGCCAGCCCAUGGGUGGGGGCCUGUUUUUUUAGUUUUACUUUUUUAAUUAUUAUUUAUCUGCUCCUUUUUAAAUUUUCUAAUUCAAAUAAAUCAAAAAAAUCGAAUUCAAAAGAUUAUAUUUACAUAAAUGUUUGAUAAAACAUAAAAUGUUUGCAAAUUCAAAAAUUGUUCGGGAUUUUUGUAAAAAUGUUUGCAUAUUAAAAAAAAUCAUAAUUUUGGAGAACACAUUCGUGAAUCAAAAAAAGUCUAUCAUUUUGAGCAAAUUUUUAAUGCAACUAAAGAAAAUGUUUGAUAAUUCAAAAAAUGAAUUAUUCGCCAAUUCACAAGAAAAUACUUGAAAACAGUUCGCAACAUAAAAUAUUGUUUGGAUUUUUUAAAAAAUGAUUAUAAAUAGUAAAAAAUGUUCUCAAUUUUAAAAAUGUUCCCAAAUUUGUAAAAAUGUUCACGAAUGAUUGAAUGUAUGCAAUUAAACAGUAAUGCUUUUGAGUCUUUCUAAUUAUAUACCUGAGUGGAUUUUGAAGAAUUAAUUGUCGGGGUGGAUCGGAAUAUUAUAGUAUAUUUAAAAAAAUGUUUUUUGAAAUUCAGAAUAAUUCUUUGAGUUACCAAGUUUUUUUACAACCAUUAUAUUUUAAAAAAAAUAUGAACAUUGUUUCAACUUCUGAAUUAUGAAUAAAAUUAAAAGAAGAAAUAUUUUCUUGCAUUUAUGAACAAAUUUUAAAAAUAAUGCGAUGAGAUAAGAACAUAAUGUGGUCAUCGUCAUUAAAGAUGGUGAUUUUUUUCUUCCGUUGCAACGCACGAGCCCUUUUGCUAGUAUUUAAUAAACCCCGUUCACCACUUCUGUGAUCCGGAUUCGCGCCAUCCCGCGAUCUCUUUCACACCGAUGUGCCAUGCUGACCGGGUUUAGAAAAAAAACAGCAAAGGGAAAACAGGAAUAUGCCGUGAACACGCCCAUGCUGCGAUGUGAACAUCACAUCAUUAAAAAGUCUGAAAAGGCCCUAAUGGCCGACGGAGAGGUUAUUCUAACAUAUCUGCGCCAAGCUUGGCGUUCGAUAUGUUGUAUCGAACGGAAAUAAAUGGAUUGAUAGAAUAAUUGUUGUUGUAUUUCGUAAGCCUCAUGGGCAUGUAUAUAGGAGUACAAUGAUCAAUUUAAAAUACAAGGAAAGAUAGGACAAAUCCUAGUCUAUCUCAUAUUUCCUAACUAGUCAAUAUUCUCUACACGGUGAUUUCCAUUACGCUCAGCCUUGGACGCAUUUCAGUGAACUGAAUUCUUCCAACGGAUUUCGUCAAGACAUCUGCUAGCUGUUCUUGUGUCCGCACAUAAUCGACCUCCACUUGCCCAGUUUCCAUGUUGUCACGGAUGAAGUGAAACUUCACAUCGCUUGUUUCGAUCAUGUUGAGGCAGCGUUUGCUGACGACUUGAAGCCGCCGUUUCCAUGGAACAUCUCGACUCGUUGAUCGAAGUUCGCCACCAGCGAGAAGAGGGUGUCGAUGGUGAUAGGUUCAGUGCGAACGUCGAGGGCGGAGAUGAUGGGCUGGUAGUCCAUGUCCAGCCCGGCGACGAUGAAGAAGAUGAGCUGCCCAUCUUCGAGAGGUUUGCCUGCUGCAGCAAGUUCAUUGGAGAGAGAGCGCAUAUGACCAAAAUACGCAGAGGCCGAUUGAGAUCCUUUCUGUGCAUUGGGUAGAGCAGAUCGAAUAUUGUUGACACGAGAUAAAGAUACGGCAGAGAACAUGUUUGCCAAAGCAGUCCAGACGGCAUGCGAUGACUCGAGCGAAGCUACCUGAACCAGUACAUCUUUGGACAUAUUUCGAAGGAGAUAUGCUACUAUCUGUGGAUCUUGGACUAACCAAGGGGUAUAGGUGGGAUUGGGAACUAGUUGAUCCUUGCCAUCUUUGUCUUUGGUGGAGAUUGUUUGUGGAGGAUGUGCGAUGGAUUGAUCAAUAUAGCCAUACAAGCCGGCGCCCAGUAUCUGGGAUCGUGCUUGGGCUCGUAAGAGAACAUAGUUUGUCCGGGUGAGAGGCUCCGAGGUAUUGUAGUUGAGGCCAAAGGAGACAUCAGCGGUGGAGGUGGCCAUGGCAGGGGCGCUGGUGUGGUGAUGAUCGGGGAUGAUGGCUGAGAUGGGAAAAGAGCGAUAGAUGCUACGGAAGAGGCUUGCUCUGAUUACCAUGUGAAGAUUAUGAAGCGUCUUAACCUCUAUACAGAGAGGCCCACGGUAUUUAUAUUGAUAUAUGAGGUUUAGGUUACAUGAGUCGGUUGAUCAACAACCAGAGAGAUACACGGAAGAGAUAGAAGAGAUAAGCACAAGUUAAACUGAAAUAUAUCUCUAACUACCUAACCGAGUAUGGCUGGCUCUGUCAGCCGGAUGUUUCUAAUCUGAAUUUGAAAUGGUUUAACACGACUCAGUCAGUUUGUGCGGCUUUGGAUGGAAACUGGAAAACCAAUUGAUCCAUCUUACGGACAGCAAAGAUAAGGUUCUUUGGACCCUUACUGCCCAUCGGGGCUACUUAUCCGCUUCUACUUAUGACGUCCAGUUUGUGGCAAGAAUUGUCAAACCUGGAUGGGCUAAUGCGUGGAGGAGUAAGAUGGAGGGGAAGAUUAAAUUCUACUUAUGGCUACUGCUCCAAAACAGAAACUGGAUGACGGAUCGGCUGCAAGCAAGGGAAUGGCCGCACAAUAACAUGUGCUCUCUAUGUGACCAAGCGAAGGAGACGGCCGAUCACAUCAUCCUCAACUGCUGCUUUGUGAAAAAGGUCUAGAUGCACUUCCAGCUAGAUGGCAGGAUGGGCAUGCUGGCUCCCUCGGGAACAUCCAUUGGGGCAUGAUGGUCCACACUGUGCGCAGGCCGUGGGAACAAGGAGAAGAACAGGGAAAAAAAUCACUUUAGCAGCUUACAUUGCGUGGAAUACUUGAAAAGAGAGAAACCGCAGGGUGUUUGAGCAGAAAGAGUUGACAUCGCUCGCGCUUGCUGGACUGAUCAGAGAUGAGGUCAAGGUGUUCUAUGAGGCCACCACAUUGGCGGUCGCCUGGGCCAUGUAGAAGAUGGCGGCGGCUGUUUUCUUUUUCAGUUUUGGUUUUUGUUCUUAAUCUAUGGGUGUGGCGUCGUUCUCCCACAUCGCUACCCCCUUGGAGGCUUUACCUUGAGUGUCAUCGGUCUCCCUCGUGCUUUUUCGAAGCUAGACACGCACAACAUCGUGGUCGGCAGGUGCCCGACUGGCGGUGCGGAUGGUUGCCGUGACUUCUUGUGUGGUAACGAUGGCGGCUUCGAGUGGAGUUCGUUUGCUCCUGAGUUUUGGUAGUCGGUCUCAUCUGGCAUGUUCGAGGGGUGGCCGUGCCUCACUUUUAUCUUUCUGGAGUCGGAGCUGCUGAGGAGGAGCCCUUGCGGCGACGAUGAUGCGAGGCGGGUGGUCGAUUCUGGCGCUGGCUCGAUGCAGGCUUAGUGCUUUUGUCCUGCAAUGUUUGUCGACAGAGUCGGAACUGUUUGGUAGUUGGCGCGUGCGGUUGACUGUUUGGUAAUGGCCGUCGUGGGCCUCGGCUUUUGCUUGUGGUGAGGGCUAUACUGAUGGUCGUCGAUGGUGGAGUCGGAAUCUUCCUUGUGUAGGCGUGAUGGUUAUGACACCGGGUUGCAGCCUCGACGGUGUUCUUUCCUCGGCGACGUAUGUGCGUUCUUAUGUAGGUUACAAGGUCGUCUUAUGUGUCCUGUGUAGACGUGAUUGUAACGGUUUUCGUUCUGUUUUCCGUUAAUCAACCGAAUAAUUCUCUUCUUCUUAAUUAAUGAGAUGAGGCAAAGCUUUUUGCCUUCGUUUCAUAAAAAAUGGAUGUCGGCCAGGUUUCUAGCCUAGCGGAGGAAGCGGCGGCGGUGAUGGCGGCCAUCUACCCUAGCAACGGAGGCNNNNNNNNNNNNNNNNNNNNNNNNNNNNNNNNNNNNNNNNNNNNNNNNNNNNNNNNNNNNNNNNNNNNNNNNNNNNNNNNNNNNNNNNNNNNNNNNNNNNNNNNNNNNNNNNNNNNNNNNNNNNNNNNNNNNNNNNNNNNNNNNNNNNNNNNNNNNNNNNNNNNNNNNNNNNNNNNNNNNNNNNNNNNNNNNNNNNNNNNNNNNNNNNNNNNNNNNNNNNNNNNNNNNNNNNNNNNNNNNNNNNNNNNNNNNNNNNNNNNNNNNNGCGGUGGCGGCCGUCUCUGCGUCCCGCCCGGCGACGGCGACCCUAGCAACGGAGGCGACAGGUGCCGUGGCGGCCGUCUCCGCGUCCCGCCCGGCGAUGGCGACCCUAGCGGUGGAGGCGACGAUUGCAGAGUCCGACAGAGGUUGUUCUAUGAGUGCGGUGACGAGGAGCAGUGCAGCGUUGCCGUCGAUUCAGAGCAGCUUCCGUUGACAGAGGUUGUUGCUGCUCCCGUUGAAACUAUAAUGAACAAGGUGGAAGGGGGCCGGAAAGGCAGAGCAGCCAUACCAGGAGCAGGGGUACUGGCAAAGCUUCGUUCAGAAGCCGUGUUUCCCACACCCAGGUAUGGCUCCUCCGUCCCGCCCGCGUGGCACCAUCAGCAACAACCUCAGUUUGCUGGGGGUAGGGGGUCAGAUUGGUUGUGAUGCUCAUGCACAGGGCAUGAGGCAGGCAUUGGGAUAGAAUUCAGAUUCAUCAGGAAGUUUUCGUGCGGGUGAUCAGGCACCUCUGUCUCAAGUUCAAUCGAGGGUAGCGGCGCGCGCCUAGAGGUGCAGGUAACAGUAAUGGUGUGGUUAGAGAUCUAACCGAAUUUAGUGGAACUAAGAGCAACCUUACUGGGGCAACCCAUUUCGUCCGUCGUCGUUUGUUUGGAUUGGCGCGAACAAAAGAGGAGGCCUAAUGCGCCGACCCAAACACAAAUCGAGUCUGCUUCGCGUCGACGCAUUUGCGGCCCAAAUUUGCGUCCUAAAUGCGUUGACGCGGACGCGGAACGGACACCAGGCGCGCCUUCUCGGUGUCCGCUGCUUCCCACUUGGCAGUCGUCCAACUGCCCGCGGCCUAUGUGGUCACCUUAAUUUAUGACCUCGGGCCCACGCGUCAGCGAUGGUGGUCGUCCUUUUUUAAGCCGACCGUGCGGCGGGGCCGUCCUCAUCCGUUAGCCCCGUCCCCAUCUAGCCACACUCGUUUCCCCGUCGUCGGCAAACCCUAGCCACCCCAGCCGUGCCAGAUGGUGCUCUUCUCCGGCGCCGGCAGGAGCAAGGCCAAGAGCAAGUCCCCCGCCAGUCCUUUUCCCUCGGAGUUCCUCCCGCCUCCGCCGGCGCCAGCUCACCGGCCGAGGCAGCGCAUCAACGUGCUACUGCACCAGGCGGAGUGGCACUGGCAGCACCGCGUGCCUCUCCCGUACCCGACGCCACCCCGCCGCACGACUGGCACCUAGAUACGGAGAGGAUCCCAGUGCCGGCGGCGCCGGGGUCGGCUAGGGCUCACACGGAGGAGGUGCGGCGCCGACGGGCGCUCCUGACGCCGGAGCAGCGCUGCGACCCCGCCUACGCAAUCGACUCGCCCAACUGGGCUAGGUGGUUCGCCUUCGAGCCAAAGGAGGCGAGGCGACGCGGAGUUCGCGAAGUCGACUGCACCGUGCCACCGCCCCCGCUCAUCGUCCGCGAGGAAGACCAUGCGGCGGAGGAUGCCUACCAGGAGGAACUUGCGGCGGUCUACCGGGAGAGCGAGGAGGACGAGCGGCGCAGGGCGGCGGCGGCCGAGCAAGAGGAGGCGGCGUACGAGGUGGUCAUGGCGCAAGACAUGGCCUUCUCCACUGCGGGCGACUUCGUCCUGCCACCAGUUACCCCGCUGUCCCCUGUCAACGCCGAGCCGGAGCUGGAGCUGAUCGAGCGCUACUCCUGGACGGGAGUAGUGCACGAGUGGGUCAGCUCACCACCGGUCUGGGUUGGGCCUGCGCCGGCGUACCUCGAACAUUGGCGCCAGCGACGCCUGGCCGAGGAGCGCCGCUAUGGUGAGUACCUCGAGAUGCUCGAGCACGACGCUGAGGAGAAGCAGCGCGAAGCCGAGGAGAAGGGGCGCGAGGCCGUGGCGGCACAGCCCGUGUCCGACAUGAACGCCCUCUGGAACACGGCGUUCCCCUGGGCCGGCCCUCCGGCGACGCUCAUCGACCUCACGGACCCCGAGGACGACGACGACGACGCCUAGGGCAACGCGCGCCUCGUAGUUUAGUUUGUUUUUAAUUUUCUUGAAUGCAAAUGUGGACGCGUGGACUCUCGUCGGCCUUUAUGACCGGCUUUAAUGUUUAAUUAGUGUUGUUUUUAUUUCAAAUAUGCAUGCAUUUUUUUUCUCGCAUCGUCAAAAUUAAUCGGACCAGCGUUGAGCGCAUGCGUCGAUUCAAACAUGGAAAUGAAUGUUCGUGUCCGCCUAACCAGCCGAAACGAACAACAAACGGAUAAAAUCGUCGUCCAUUUAGAUCGGCUCCGUUAUUAGAUCGGCUCCGUUGGGUUGCUGUAAAGGUACGGUGCUGCAGGAUGUUACAAUAUGCUUGUUACCAGGGCGCCUGGUAAAGGACUGCAAGGAGGUACUAUUAUGUAUCACCCAUAUUGCAAAGCACGUACGGAUGUGUCAGAUAAGUGUUCAAUGCUAACAAGAGCUAGUCCAGUCUAGAUGCGGAGGCUGGGGCUAAAACUCGUUUUCUAAAAAAAAAGCUAGUCCAGUUGCUAAGUUGGUUGGAUGUUCUGCAGAGAUAGAUUACAAUUGAUGGUGGCACAACCAGGUGUGGAGUUUAGUGUCUUUUCUGGAUGGAGAAAUCACUGGUGAGCCCUUUACAAAUGCUUUUAGGUGACUGUUCCAUGAGAACGUGAAUGACUUGCUGAGGUAAUGGACACAUCUUUCAUGAUCAAGUUUGCAUAGACUUAUAAGCUUGAAGAGAUGAAUGAUUAUCCCUUUAGAUUGAAAGGAAGAAGUACUGUGAUAUACUCCCUCCAUUCCAAAAUAUAAGACCUUUUAGGAAUUUCACUAGAAGACUACAUACGAAGCAAAAUGAGUGAAUCUAUACUCUAAAAUAUGUCUAUGUACAUCCGUAUGUAGUUUAUAGUAUAAUCUCUAAAAGGUCUUAUAUUUAGGAACGGAGGGAGUAGAUUGCUAAGUAAUCACCAGUUUGCUGCCUUUUAUAAACUUAUCUCUAUAUGGGCCAGAGCAUAUGGGGUGCCUGACAACCUUCAUCACAAAGAUUGUUCUGUGGAAGUUGGGUCUUGGAUGCAGAUAUGGCAACUUUAGAGAGAAAUACUUGAUUAGGAUCCUAGACACAGCUGAACUCAAUGAUGAUCGUUUCAUGUUUCGGUCAAGCUGAGUUACAGCCAUCUAAUUUUAUUUUAUUUAAAUUACAACAUAAAGUAAUUUCGAAACGUUUUACCUCAUUUAGUGUUUUCCCUGAUUUUCGCUAAAUACUAGCCAUUGGCCAGAACUGUUGCUACAGAUUUCAGCUGAAACUUUUAGCAGGCGAAGCCGCCGCGAUGGGCUAAUUCAGCCCCUCAAAUGUCUGAGGACGCGUCGGACACGUCCGCGGGCAUUGUCCGAUCAAGCCUCAAAUAUUUCUUCUCACACCAGAAUUCUUUAAUUAGCAUACCUUAAAUCCAUACAAACCCAUGCAACUAUGAUGAUACACUGUAUACAUUGACUGUUACUACGUACAACAUGCCAACGAACUAUCAAAAUUUAUCAUGUUUGGCUAUGGUGGACAAGAUCAACGGGCUGCCCUUGCCCUUUCGGUCGCCAUUUUAAUCCUUGUCACGGAAGUACUAGUCGGAGGCACGUACGAUUGAGCAAGAUCUUCUCCUCGCGGGAGCUGUCCAACCCGUUGUUGUCCUCCUUCUCCUCCUUGGGUGGCAGUCCGGCCAUGGCAUGGAUCACCCGAUUCUCCUAUCAGGCAAGGGCGUGCGUGUUCCCCUGGUGCCGCUUCUAUCUAUGCGUGCGCGGAUGGCUUUCUCCUCUGCGGCCACCUGCACCACCUCAUCAGCCGCCUCCGCCUCCGUCAUGUGGGCAGUGAGGCGGGCCUCAGCCCCCCUCAUCCUCUCCUUCCCACGGCGGACACACCGGUCCCGAUGGGACUCAUACUCCGUCAGACCUGUAAUGGGUAGGGGUGAUUUGAAGGAUCCCGUGACCGUGAUGAUCCAGCCUCGGAGGAUCCGAGCACUUGAUGCAACGAUGCUAUGGAGUCGCGUCGUACAGAUCUUGUCGUCUGGUGGGCGUUGUCCUCCCGGGAGUGGCGGAGUGCAAGGCGAACAGUCAUCGCCUCCUCCAACCAGUACGAGAUGACACCCCAGUUGACGGACCCGGACUAGUUGGAGUCAGGUUUCCUGCCCGUCAUACCGAAGAAGGCUGCAAGUCACCGAAUAGGAGCUUGGAUGACGAAGUGGAGAGCAGGGGGUUAUGUGGAGUGGCUUUGGUUUGGUCCGGGAAGGAAAUGGGGGCGAAAAUAUAUGCAGUCGGGUGGACCAGCAUGGGUCGGGUCUGACAUACUGUGCGCGCCCCAAGGGGCCUUGACACCCCACAUCCGCAUCAUUUUUGGGCUAGAUAUGCGAAAUGUCGAUCAGCUAAGACGUUUGAGACCUGUUUGGGACAUCCACAUCCGCAUCAUUUUUGGGUUAGAUAUGCGGAAUGUCGAUCAGCUAAGACGUUUGAGACCUGUUUGGGACAUCCACAUCCGCAUCAGCUAAGACGUUUGNNNNNNNNNNNNNNNNNNNNNNNNNNNNNNNNNNNNNNNNNNNNNNNNNNNNNNNNNNNNNNNNNNNNNNNNNNNNNNNNNNNNNNNNNNNNNNNNNNNNAGGGCAUAAUUCCAACAGUCUCCCACUUGCACUAGAGUCAAUAAUCUAGCCCUCACAUCACCAUGUGAAUUACAUUGUAAUAAAUCUAACACCCAUACAGUUCUGGUGUCGAUCAUGUUUUGGCCGUGGAAGAGGUUUAGUCAGCGGGUCUGCUACAUUCAGAUCCGUGUGCACUUUGCAUAUAUUUACGUCCUCCUCCUCGACGUAGUCGCGGAUGAGGUUGAAGCGUCGUUUGAUGUGUCUGGUCUUUUUGUAAAACCUUGGUUCCUUUGCUAAGGCAAUGGCACCAGUGUUGUCACAGAACAAGGUUAUUGGAUCCAGUGCACUUGGCACCACUCCAAGAUCCGUCAUGAACUGCUUCAUCCAGACACCCUCCUUAGCCGUCUCCGAGGCAGCCAUGUACUCCGCUUCACAUGUAGAAUCUGCUACGACGCUUUGCUUGGAACUGCACCAGCUUACUGCACCCCCAUUAAGAAUAAAUACGUAUCCGGUUUGCGACUUAGAGUCGUCCGGAUCUGUGUCAAAGCUUGCGUCGACGUAACCUUUUACGGCGAGCUCUUCGUCACCUCCAUACACGAGAAACAUCUCCUUAGUCCUUUUCAGGUACUUUAGGAUAUUCUUGACCGCUGUCCAGUGAUCCACUCCUGGAUUACUCUAGAACGUGCGUGCCAUACUUAUGGCCAGGCUAACAUCCGGUCUAGUACACAACAUCGCAUACAUGAUAGAGCCUAUGGCUGAAGCAUAGGGGACGGAGCGCAUAUGCUCUCUAUCUUCAUCAGUUGCUGGGCACUGAGUCUUACUCAAUCUCGUACCUUGUAACACUGGCAAGAACCCUUUCUUGGACUGUUCCAUUUUGAACCUCUUCAAAACUUUAUCAAGGUAUGUGCUUUGUGAAAGUCCUAUCAGGCGUUUUGAUCUAUCCCUAUAGAUCUUAAUGCCCAGAAUGUAAGCAGCUUCUCCUAGGUCCUUCAUAGAGAAACUUUUAUUCAAGUAACCUUUUAUGCUCUCCAAAAGCUCUAUGUUGUUUCCAAUCAGUAAUAUGUCAUCCACAUAUAAUAUUAGAAACGCCACAGAGCUCCCACUCACUUUCUUGUAAAUACAAGAUUCUCCAACCACUUGUAUAAACCCAAAUGCUUUGAUCACCUCAUCAAAGCGUUUGUUCCAACUCCGAGAUGCUUGCACCAGUCCAUAAAUGGAUCGCUGGAGCUUGCACACCUUGUCAGCAUUUUCAGGAUCGACAAAACCUUCGGGUUGCAUCAUAUACAACUCUUCCUUAAGGAAACCGUUAAGGAACGCCGUUUUGACAUCCAUCUGCCAAAUUUCAUAAUCGAAAAAUGCAGCUAUUGCUAACAUGAUUCUGACGGACUUAAGCAUCACUACGGGAGAGAAAGUCUCAUCGUAGUCAAUUCCUGGAACUUGUGAAAAACCCUUUGCCACAAGUCGAGCUUUAUAAACGGUCACAUUACCGUCAGCGUCCGUCUUCUUCUUAAAAAUCCAUUUGUUCUGAAUAGCCUUGCGGCCCUUAGGUAGUAUCUCCAAAGUCCAUACUUUGUUCUCAUACAUGGAUCCUAUCUCGGAUUUCAUGGCUUCUAGCCAUUUGUUGGAAUCUGGGCCCACCAUUGCUUCUUCAUAAUUUGCAGGUUCAUUGUUGUCUAACAACAUGAUCGUCAAGACGGGAUUACCGUACCACUCUGGAGCAGCGCGUGAUCUCGUCGACCUGCGUGGUUCAACAGAAACUUGAACUGGAGUUUCAUGAUCAUCAUCAUUAACUUCCUCCUCAACCGGUGUCGCAAUCACAGGGGUUUCCCCUUGCCCUGCGCCACCAUCCAGAGGGAUGAAAGGUUCGACAACCUCGUCAAGUUCUAUCUUCCUCCCACUCAAUUCUCUCGAGAGAAACUCCUUGUCGAGAAAAGUUCCGUUCUUAGCAACAAACACUUUGCCCUCGGAUUUGAGAUAGAAGGUGUACCCAACUGUCUCUUUUGGGUAGCCUAUGAAGACACACUUUUCCGCUUUGGGUUCCAGCUUUUCAGGCUGAAGCUUUUUGACAUAAGCAUCACAUCCCCAAACUUUAAGAAACGACAACUUUGGCCUUUUGCCAUACCACAGUUCGUAUGGUGUCGUCUCAACGGAUUUCGAUGGUGCCCUAUUUAAAGUGAAUGCACCUGUUUCUAAUGCAUAACCCCAAAACGAUAACGGCAAAUCAGUAAGAGACAUCAUAGAUCGCACCAUUUCUAAUAAAGUACGAUUACGACGUUCGGACACACCAUUACGCUGUGGUGUUCCAGGUGGUGUUAAUUGCGAAACAAUUCCACAUUGUCUUAAGUGAGUACCAAACUCGAAACUCAGAUACUCACCCCCACGAUCAGACCGUAGGAACUUGAUCUUCUUGUUACGAUGAUUUUCCACUUCACUCUGAAAUUGCUUGAACUUUUCAAAUGUUUCAGAUUUGUGCUUCAUCAAGUAGACAUAACCAUAUCUACUUAAAUCGUCAGUGAAGGUGAGAAAAUAACGAUAUCCGCCGCGUGCCUCCACGCUCAUCGGACCACACACAUCGGUAUGUAUGAUUUCCAACAAGUCACUUGCACGCUCCAUUGUUCCGGAGAACGGAGUUUUAGUCAUCUUGCCCAUGAGGCAUGGUUCGCACGUGUCAAGUGAAUCAAAGUCAAGUGACUCCAAAAGUCCAUCAGCAUGGAGUUUCUUCAUGCGCUUUACACCAAUAUGACCCAAGCGGCAGUGCCACAAAAAUAUGGCGCUAUCAUUGUUUACUAUAACUCUUUUGGUCUCAAUGUUAUGUAUAUGCGUAUCGCUAUCGAGAUUCAAUAUGAACAAUCCUCUCACAUUCGGUGCAUGACCAUAAAAGAUGUUACUCAUAGAAAUAGAACAACCAUUAUUCUCAGACUUAAAAGAGUAACCGUCUCGCAAUAAACAAGAUCCAGAUAUAAUGUUCAUGCUCAACGCAGGCACUAAAUAACAAUGAUUUAAGUUCAUCACUAAUCCCGACGGUAGUUGAAGUGACACGGUGCCGACGGCGAUUGCAUCAACCUUGGAACCGUUUCCUACGCGCAUCGUCACUUCGUCUUUCGCCAGCCUCCGUCUAUUCCGCAGUUCCUGCUUCGAGUUGCAAAUGUGAGCAACAGAACCGGUAUCGAAUACCCAGGCACUACUACGAGAGCUGGUUAAGUACACAUCAAUAACAUGUAUAUCAAAUAUACCUGAUUUUUCUUUGCCCGCCUUCUUAUCUGCCAGAUACUUGGGGCAAUUGCGCUUCCAGUGACCCAUACCCUUGCAAUAGAAGCACUCUGUUUCAGGCUUAGGUCCAGCCUUGGGUUUCUUCGGCGGAUUGGCAACAGGCUUGCCGCUCUUCUUCGAAUUGCCCUUCUUGCCUUUGCCGUUUCUCUUGAAACUAGUGGUCUUGCUCACCAUCAACACUUGAUGUUCUUUACGGAGUUCAGACUCUGCGACUUUCAACAUCGCAAACAACUCGCCGGGAGACUUGUUCAUCCCUUGCAUGUUGUAGUUCAACACAAAGCUUUUAUAGCUUGGCGGCAGUGAUUGGAGGAUUCUGUCAGUGAUAGCUUCUUGCGGGAGUUCAAUCCCCAGUUCAGCUAGACGGUUUGAGUACCCAGACAUUUUGAGCACAUGUUCACUGACAGACGAGUUUUCCUCCAUCUUGCAAGCAUAGAAUUUAUCGGAGGUCUCAUACCUCUCGAUCCGGGCGUUCUUCUGAAAGAUGAACUUCAACUCUUGGAACAUCUCAAAAGCUCCAUGACGCUCAAAGCGACGUUGAAGUCCCGGUUCUAAGCCAUACAAGACUGCACAUUGAACUAUUGAGUAGUCCUCCUUACGCGCUAACCAAGCGUUCUUAACAUCCUGAUCAGCCGUAGCGGGUGGUUCAUCUCCUAGCGCAGCAUUAAGGACAUAAUCCUUCUUUCCAGCUUGUAAGAUUAGCUUAAGAUUACGAGCCCAGUCUACAAAGUUGCUUCCAUCAUCUUUCAACUUAGCUUUCUCUAGGAACGUAUUAAAAUUGAGGAUGACACUUGCGUGAGCCAUGAUCUACAACACAAAUAUAUUCAAAGUGGACUUAGACUAUGUUCAAGAUAAUUAGAGUUCAACUUAAUCAAAUUACAUGCUAAACUCCCACUCAAAAAGUACAUCUCUCUAGUCAUUUGAGUGGUUCAUGAUCCACCUACACUAUCCCAAGUCCGAUCAUCACGUGAGUCGGGAGUAGUUUCAGUGGUAAGCAUCCCUAUGCUAAUCAUAUCAUCUAUAUGAUUCAUGAUCGACCUUUUGGUCUCAUGUGUUCCGAGGCCAUGUCUGCACAUGCUAGGCUCGUCAAGCUUAACCCGAGUGUUCCGCGUGCGCAACUGUUUUGCACCCGUUGUAUGUGAACGUUGAGUCUAUCACACCCGAUCAUCACGUGGUGUCUCGAAACGACGAACUGUAGCAACGGUGCACAGUCGGGGAGAACACAAUUUCGUCUUGAAAUUUUAGUGAGAGAUCACCUCAUAAUGCUACCGUCGUUCUAAGCAAAAUAAGGUGCAUAAAAGGAUUAACAUCACAUGCAAUUCAUAAGUGACAUGAUAUGGCCAUCAUCACGUGCUUCUUGAUCUCCAUCACCAAAGCAUUGGCACGAUCUUCUUGUCACCGGCGCCACACCAUGAUCUCCAUCAUCAUGAUCUCCAUCAACGUGUCGCCAUCGGGGUUGUCGUGCUACUUAUGCUAUCACUACUAAAGCUACAUCCUAGCAAAAUAGUAAACGCAUCUGCAAGCACAUAUGUUAGUAUAAAGACAACCCUAUGGCUCCUGCCGGUUGCCGUACCAUCGACGUGCAAGUCGAUAUUUCUAUUACAACAUGAUCAUCUCAUACAUCCAAUAUAUCACAUCACAUCAUUGGCCAUAUCACAUCACAAUCAUACCCUGCAAAAACAAGUUAGACGUCCUCUAAUUUUGUUCUUGCAUGUUUUACGUGGUGACCAAGGGUAUCUAGUAGGAUCGCAUCUUACUUACGCAAACACCACAACGGAGAUAUAUGAGUUGCUAUUUAACCUCAUCCAAGGACCUCCUUGGUCAAAUCCGAUUCAACUAAAGUUGGAGAAACCGUCACUUGCCAGUCAUCUUUGAGCAAAGGGGGUUACUCGUAACGAUGAAACCAGUCUCUCCUAAGCGUACGAGUAAUGUCGGUCCAAGCCGCUUCAAUCCAACAAUACCGCGGAAUCAAGAAAAGACUAAGGAGGGCAGCAAAACGCACAUCACCGCCCACAAAACCUUUUGUGUUCUACUCGAGAAGACAUCUACGCAUGAACCUAGCUCAUGAUGCCACUGUUGGGGAACGUCGCAUGGGAAACAAAAAUUUUCCUACGCGCACGANNNNNNNNNNNNNNNNNNNNNNNNNNNNNNNNNNNNNNNNNNNNNNNNNNNNNNNNNNNNNNNNNNNNNNNNNNNNNNNNNNNNNNNNNNNNNNNNNNNNUGAUAUGGCCAUCAUCACGUGCCUCUUGAUCUCCAUCACCAAAGCACCGGCACGACCUUCUUGUCACCGGCGCCACACCAUGAUCUCCAUCAACGUGUUGCCAUCGGGGUUGUCGUGCUACUCAUGCUAUUACUACUAAAGCUACAUCCUAGCAAAAUAGUAAACGCAUCUGCAAGCACAAACGUUAGUAUAAAGACAACCCUAUGGCUCCUGCCGGUUGCCGUACCAUCGACGUGCAAGUCGAUAUUUUCUAUUACAACAUGAUCAUCUCAUACAUCCAAUAUAUCACAUCACAUCGUUGGCCAUAUAACAUCACAAGCAUACCCUGCAAAAACAAGUUAGACGUCCUCUAAUUUUGUUGUUGCAUGUUUUACGUGGUGACCAUGGGUAUCUAGUAGGAUCGCAUCUUACUUACGCAAACGGAGAUAUAUGAGUUGCUAUUUAACCUCAUCCAAGGACCUCCUCGGUCAAAUCCGAUUCAACUAAAGUUGGAGAAACCGACACUUGCCAGUCAUCUUUGAGCAACGGGGUUACUCGUAGCGAUGAAACCAGUCUCUCGUAAGCGUACGAGUAAUGUCGGUCCAAGCCGCUUCAAUCCAACAAUACCGCGGAAUCAAGAAAAGACUAAGGAGGGCAGCAAAACGCACAUCACCGCCCACAAAAACUUUUGUGUUCUACUNNNNNNNNNNNNNNNNNNNNNNNNNNNNNNNNNNNNNNNNNNNNNNNNNNNNNNNNNNNNNNNNNNNNNNNNNNNNNNNNNNNNNNNNNNNNNNNNNNNNNNNNNNNNNNNNNNNNNNNNNNNNNNNNNNNNNNNNNNNNNNNNNNNNNNNNNNNNNNNNNNNNNNNNNNNNNNNNNNNNNNNNNNNNNNNNNNNNNNNNNNNNNNNNNNNNNNNNUCCUACGCGCACGAAGAACUAUCAUGGUGAUGUCCAUCUACGAGAGGGGAUGAGUGAUCUUUGUACCCUUGUAGACCGUACAGCAGAAGCGUUAGUGAACGCGGUUGAUGUAGUGGAACAUCCUCACGUCCCUCGAUNNNNNNNNNNNNNNNNNNNNNNNNNNNNNNNNNNNNNNNNNNNNNNNNNNNNNNNNNNNNNNNNNNNNNNNNNNNNNNNNNNNNNNNNNNNNNNNNNNNNAAAGAUUAUUUGAAGUUCUAAUUUAUUUAAAAUAAAAAAUAAAACGGAACUGAAAAUAAAUAAAUAAAGGGAACUAAAAGAAGGUGCCUGUGCAUGGGCCGGCCCAUACGAUGUGCUGGAUAUUCUCCCAGCGUGCAAAGCGUAAUAUAGGAGGUUUUUACAUGGGCCGGCACAGUUCAAGAUUUUUCGCUUUGUGAAACUUUUUCUACUCCCUCUGUUCCUAAAUAUAAGUCUUUAAAGAGAUUUCACUAGAAGAUUACAUACGGAUGUAUAUGGACAUACUUUGGAAUGCACAUUCAUGCAUUUUACUACGUAUGUAGUCACUUAGUGAAAUCUCUAAAAAGACUUAUAUUUAGGAUCGGAGGGAGUAUUACUUACCGUGGCAUGGUGGUAAUUUAUGUAAAAUUUGGGGAUAAUUUCCAAGACGGACGACCAGAAACCGAAUUUUGCUUUAUUAUUAGAGAGAGAUUUUAUACAUGGAAUUGUAUUUGAGAUCAUGGACUUUGCUUAUUGUACAAACAUUUUUUCUAAAAUUGCAAACAUUAUAUUGUAUAUGCGAGUGUUUUUUACAAAACUCCAAGCAGUUUUUAAAGUCACAAACAUUUUAAUUUUUUAAAUAUGUUGAUUUAUAUUUUUCGGUUUAUUAAAAUUUUAAAGAUUAUUUGAAGUUUUAAUUUAUUUAAAAUAAAAAAAUAAAACGAAACUGAAAAUAAAUAAAUAAACGGAACUAAGAAAAGGUGCCUGUGCAUGGGCCGGCCCAUACGAUGUGCUGGAUAUUCUCCCAGCAUGCAGAGCGUAAUAUAGGAGGUUUUUACAUGGGCCGGCCCAGUUCAAGAUUUUUCGCUUUGUGAAACUUUUUCUACUCCCUCUGUUCCUAAAUAUAAGUCUUUAAAGAGGUUUCACUAGAAGACUACAUACGGAUGUAUAUGGACAUACUUUGGAAUGCACAUUCAUGCAUUUUACUACGUAUGUAGUCAAUUAGUGAAAUCUCUAAAGAGACUUAUAUUUAGGAACGGAGGGAGUAUUACUUACCGUGGCAUGGUGGUAAUUUAUGUAAAAUUUAGGGGUAAUUUUUAAGACGGACGACCAGAAACCGAAUUUUGCUUUAUUAUUAGGGAGAGAUUUUAUACAUGGAAUUGUAUUUGAGAUCAUGGACUUUGCUUAUUGUACAAACAUUUUUUCUAAAAUUGCAAACAUUAUAUUGUAUAUGCGAGUGUUUUUUACAAAACUCCGAGCAGUUUUUGAAGUCACAAACAUUUUAAUUUUUUAAAUAUGUUGAUUUAUAUUUUUCGGUUUAUUAAAAUUUUAAAGAUUAUGUGGAGUUUUAAUUUAUUUAAAAUAAAAAAAUAAAACGGAACUGAAAAUAAAUAAAUAAACGGAACUAAGAGAAGGUGUCUGUGCAUGGGCCGGCCCAUACGAUGUGCUGGAUAUUCUCCCAGCGUGCAUAGCGUAAUAUAGGAGGUUUUUACAUGGGCCGGCCCAGUCCAAGAUUUUUCGCUUUGUGAAACGUUUUCUAUUACUUACCGGUGUCUUCGUGGGUAAUUUAUAUAAAAUUUAGAGGUAAUUUCCAAGACGGACGACCAGAAACCGAAUUUGCUUUAUUAUUACUAGCAAAAGGGCCCGUGCGUUGCAACGGGAGAAAAAAAUACCACACAUUUUUAAUCUUUUUUAUAAUCAUUUUGAUUUAUUAAAAUAAUAAGCUAACUAACUAAUGUAGUCAGUCCUAUCCUAUUUUGUUGAGGAAUCAACCCGUUCAUUGUUAAUUCCAUCAUGAUGAGAAAUUGAGCAGGACAAGCAAAGCAAAACAAAGAGGCUACGUGAAUUGAUCAAUGGACUGUUAUCUUAUUUCACUCAUGGGGUAGAGAAUAUGGGAUCAGAUGACAAACUGAAGGUGGUGUUCCAUUCUCUGUCUCUACAACAAUACAAUCUUAUAUUCAAUACAUUCAUUCAUCAGCAAACAAAUCACCACAAAACAAAAUUUCUUGCCGGUGCUUGGCACACGAUUGGAGGCAUGGGGAGGGGAUCUCAUCAGAUGAUGAGUUCCUGCCGGAGGAGGGGAUACGAUGAGGGGAGCAAGGGUUAGGCGUCUCUAUCAGGCCAUAAGGAGUCGCCGUUGCCGCGCCAUAACCUCGGAGUUCUCCGUGUGAGCCAUGGAGGCCCGCCUCCACCUGCAAGUACUUCGCUCCGUCGCGCCUUAUCCGCGCGCCGUCGCCGUUCUGCAUCGAGCAGACGCAUCAUCCCCAGUCACUGUAGGUGUCGCGUUGAUUUGAUCCAGAAGCUGUGCUCGAGCGCUAAAACGGGGGCAUCAAGCGGGCAGAGGUACGGCCGCGGAGGCGGGUGGGUUGAGAUCGACAAUAGUGGUGGUUGAGGUCGGCCGCGACGGCGAGUGGUGUGGCAGCGGCCUGGGCACAGGCCAGAGUGGACCAGGGUCGACGCGAUGCACUCGAUCUCCGCAACAGGGGCAGUGAGCGGGGAGAGGUAUGGCCGCGGGGGCGGGUGGGUUGAGAUCGGCAGUGGUGGCGGUUGAGGUCGGCCGCGGUGGUGAGUGGUGUGGCGGCGGCCUGGGCACAGGCCAGGGUGGCCCAAGGUCGACAAGAGGAGGCGAUGCGUACGGGUAUAAUUUUUGCAAUGAAUCGUUUUUUCCUUUUGCAUUGCAGAUAAAUGAUGGAGCGCGGGUUGAAUAACCAAAAUUACAGGGUUUUUUUUAUAAAAAUGCCGCGGUGGGUUUUUCGACGGAAGCAAUAGCCGCUUUAUUAUUAGGUAUAGAUUAAGGAGAGAUAAGGCAUGUGCGCGCGAGUGUAUGGAUUCAUGCAUGAUUUAACUGCUCUUUUCUCUGGAUACAGUGGGCAAACAAGCUGACUUCGUUGAAGACCUUCCUCACUUGAAGCAUUGGCUGUUCGUCUUAGUUGCAGCAAUUGCCAUAUUUUUGCAUGGCCUCAAUACUCGAUGUUUGCAAAUCGAUGCAUCAUAUCGACGCAUCAUAGCCAAACAGGAUUGCUUACAUCAACACACAAGUUCGUUGGCUUCAAUUAAUGUGCGCAAAUCUUCGAAGUCAUUGAGUAUGUACUUCAAGCACUGAUGUGCGUGUUCUGCUUGUAAUAUCUCGGCACCAUGAAUCUGUAAAAAUUAGUGUGUAAUGGGUACGCUGGCCAGAUGUUAUAGACGAGGGCUAAUGUGUUGGAACUCGGUCCACUCGAUCCCAUCAUAUCACGAUAAACACGUGCAUAAAAAAUCUUGUAGUCAAAUGUCCUUGUCGUACCUUAAUUUUCCUUUUUUAUUUUUUUAUUUUCUCUCAACUCAUGAUAUUACAAGAAUCACGACAGACUCAAGUAUAUAUAGAAGCUAUCCUACACGCACCAAGCCGUCCACAGCUACACACGGAAUCGGACUUUGACUUUCUAACCGCUAAUACGUACGUGACUCCUAGUACUAAGAGAACUCUAACCGCUAAUAUACUCCUAGUAUUACGUACGUACAUGAAACCUGACUCCAAACCCGACUCAUGAUGCAUGUCUACUUUAGACACGAUCAAGCUAAUUAAUUUAGUCAAGAUUAAACCCAUCAAUCUCCUCCUAAUUUUGAUUCCUCCUAAUCUGAACUUAUCAUUGCUUUGUACUCCUUCUGAUCGUGGCUCUCGUUGUAGAUCCACGACCUGACGAUUCCAUCCCAAUGUAUGAUACAGACUCACAGUCACGUUGUUAGAGGACAACAUCAGUCACCCCAUCAGUAACGCAAUACAUGCUAAUGUAUCACACACCAUCCCAUGUAGAGACAUGUCCUCAUUGAAAAGGCUCUCCUUUAGUGGUCAUCGUCCCACUACACGCUUGAGCUUGAUCUUCAUUUCACGUCUUCGCCCUCGGUACUACACCACACCGGACAACCCGUCGACCCUGAGACGCUUCAUCUUCAACCGGACCAUAUAGAGACCAGUACUUGCACAUGACGACGAUGACUCACUGACACGACGACGACCGAGAUGUGCCAACCCGCAUGACUCCUUGACUCAUCUAAGUCUCCAUGACGACGAUCUUGAUGACUUUUGAGCAACGUUACUUGGCACCACUGCUCCAGCGGGCUCCGGCCGCGGCGGCGGCUGUGCUGGGAGCCGGCGGCAGUGGGAGGAACCCUAGCGCGGGGGGCAAAGGAUACCCAGUGCUCCACCACCACUGAGGUAGUAGCUGACCGGACGCAGCAACAAAAGGCAUACCAGUCCCGCUGGCCCGUGGGUACGGCCAGGCCCUAAAGGGGCCCUGAAGCCACUGUUGUCGUGAUGCAGCAGGCGCGUCAUGGCUCCGCCGAUCCACGUCCGAGCAGGAGCGCAUCUCUAUCCAACCGAAAGCAGCACCGCCAGAGGACCGAACUGGCCCGCCUAAAACCCAUAUGGGGCCAAGGGCGCAGAUCUAGGACGGGGAUGACGCACCGGACCAACACACCGGAGGUCACUACCACGCCGCCAAGGGACAGGUCCACCACGGACAAGCCACCUCGAGAUCGUCGGACUGCCUGCCGGCCGAGGCGCAUCGCGAUCCGGUCGCUCCCCCGAGCGGGAGGCCAGGACACGUGGGGAAGGGAGGUCCCGUAGCCGCUGACAUCACCCAGGCCUUGCCCGAUCGCUCCCGCCGACGGUGGCAGGGAGGGGCGGCGAGGAAGGGAGCUGGUGACUUGGGCGAGCGGCGCCGUCCCGUUCGCCGCUCGGGGCAACGCUGGGGCGGGGGGCACAGGGAGGCUGGCGGCCACGGCGGCGACUGUGCUGGGAGCCAGUGGCGGCGGGAGGAACCCUAGUGCGGGGUGGGGGCACAUCAUUAGGAGAAUCAUGUGAUGGACUAGACCAAACUAUGAAUGUAGCAUAUUGAUCGUGUCAUUUUAUUGCUAUUGUUUUCUGCGUGUCAAGUAUUUAUUCUUAUGACCAAGAGAUCAUAUAAUUCACUGUCACCGGAGGAAUAUCUUGUGUGCAUCAAACGUCGCAACGUAACUGGNNNNNNNNNNNNNNGCUCUACAGGUAUCUCCGAAGGUGUCCGUUGAGUUAGUAUGGAUCAAGACUGGGAUUUGUCACUCCGUGUGACGGAGAGUAUCUCGGGGCCCACUNNNNNNNNNNNNNNNACACACAAGCCUUGCAAGCAAUGUGACUAAGUGUAAGUCACGGGAUCUUGUAUUACGGAACGAGUAAAGAGACUUGCUCGUAACGAGAUUGAAAUAGGUAUGCGGAUACCGACAAUCAAAUCUCGGGCAAAUAACAUACCGAAGGACAAAGGGAAUGACAUACGGNNNNNNNNNNNNNNNNNNNNNNNNNNNNNNNNNNNNNNNNNNNNNNNNNNNNNNNNNNNNNNNNNNNNNNNNNNNNNNNNNNNNNNNNNNNNNNNNNNNNGGAUCCAUGUCAGAAGGUAACUCACCCCAUCAUAUCCACCAUUGCAUCUAGGUUGAACUACCGAGAUGAUUCAAAGGAUAAAACAAUCAAGACUUUAUAAUAAACUUCUAUUUACUUACACGGGUUAUUUUACCAUUAAUUUAAGUCAUUUCUAUUUCACGAGGUUAUACUAUUUAAUUUGCUCUUUGUUAAGGAGGUUUGAGUAGCUUAUCGGAAGAUAGAGGAUGAAUUAACUCGAAACAGUCAUUCACUUUUAAUUAACAUUGAAAAUAUAGUAAUAUGAAAGUGAAUAAGCUUCCGCGUUGGACGGAGUCCAAACAUAGUAAGCUGGUGGUGGUAAACAAAGAUCAACACAUCGGCAAAUGGAGUUCAUCAUAUUUUAUAUCUCACUCAUGUAUUUAUAUUAAAUGUUUUUUUACUUCACAUUGAUUUAUCUUGUCAAAAAUAUAUGCUAUUUAUAUUAGAUUAUAAGAUUCUAUCAUGUAAGUUGACAUUACAUUAUGUAAAAUUGAUUUACUACAACUAAUUGAUUUAAUAAUGACAUGCCAUGUUAUUUAUUAAGAUACAUAUUUGAACGUAUGAUUAUAUUAUUCAUGACUAAAAAUAGAUUUUAUUGUGUUAAUCUUAAAUUAUAGUAUGCCAUUAAAAUUGUUUUCUUUCACUUUGACAUAUUCUGCUAUAGAUGGGAAGAACAUGAAAUGGUAAGAACCAUUUUUUCGUUUUUUUUCUUUUUUUUCUUUUCUGUUUCAAAAAAUAUUUUGGAUUUUCAAAAAAAAUUCUGAAUUUUCAAAAAAUGUUCUUAAAAUACGAAAAAUGUUCUUAAAUUUCGAAAACUAUCCUUGCUUCCAAACAUGUUUCGAAAAUUUAUCUUUUUUCAAACUUCAUUUGUCAAUUCAAAAAAAGUUUCGGAUUUUCAAAGAUUUUUCUUCAAAUUCUAAAAAUGUUUUUUGUCUUUUCAAAAAGUUUUCUAAAUUUUUCAAAUAAUGCAACGAGGAACAUCAUAUAAUUUGACAGCUCUUGUAUCGCCUUGACAUAUUUGUAGGAGCCUCUGCUGCCAGAAUUAGUUGUUGAGCUUGGCCUGCAUAAGAGGAAGAUGUCGGUUGCCAUGUGCCACCUGAGUACUACCUCUUGGAANNNNNNNNNNNNNNNNNNNNNNNNNNNNNNNNNNNNNNNNNNNNNNNNNNNNNNNNNNNNNNNNNNNNNNNNNNNNNNNNNNNNNNNNNNNNNNNNNNNNNNNNNNNNNNNNNNNNNNNNNNNNNNNNNNNNNNNNNNNNNNNNNNNNNNNNNNNNNNNNNNNNNNNNNNNNNNNNNNNNNNNNNNNNNNNAGCGUCGCCUAAUUCCGAGUGUGCUAUUUGGCCAGCAUGCAGAUUGAAUAUAAGCUUUUUCAAAUGUUUUUUUAGAAAACUGCAUACAAAUGUAUAUAAACAUAUUUUAAAGUAUAUAUUCACUCAUUUUGCUUCGUAUAUAGCCCCCUAAUGAAAUCUUUAAAUAAACUUAUAUCAAGAAACGAAUAGAGUAGUACCGUUCCUAUUCCACGUCUAACACUAAUCCUACACGGACACCAUGGAUACACAUGUAUAAGUACAUGAUACAGACAGGGACGUUGGGUUUAAUUCCAACAGGAGUGAAAUCAUAGGACGGGGGUGUUUACCUUUUUUUCUACUUCUCCAGGUCAUGUGCUGGUCUGUUAGGAAGUUGUUUCCAGUGCAGUGCACUUUAUUUUCUAAGUGGGUUUACACUGUAAUAGAUAAUGGAAUAAGAAAAUUCUAGAUUGCUGGAUUACAGGGGAAUUAAAAGUUGAUUUUUUCUGGGUGUAAUUAGUAGUUGAUUUUGCUCUGUAAUGACUAGUGGAAUAUGAGAAUUUACACUGUUUUUCUUAGUGGGGUUAUAGUGUACUUUGAAUUUAUUUUUUUUGAUACUAUAAUUGUCUGUUGAAACGAAGUGCAUAAUUUACACAGUAAAUAUUUGUGGAAUUACUGUGUACUUUUAGUUUAUUUCACAUUGUAUUUCUUAGUGAUUUGCAGUCAAUUUUUAGUUGUCUUUGCUCUGUAAAUCUUAGUGGAGUUCUUUUUGUGGCUGUAGUAAAUUGUACACUGCAAAAUCUUUGUUGAAUUCCAGUACGUGUACUUUUAGUGAAUUUUACAUUGUAUUUCCAAGUGGCAUUUUAGUGGAAUUAUAGUGCAAAUUUAAUGGUUUUUCUAAAUUGUAAUUCUUAGUGGUGUUGUUACUGUAAUUUUAGUCCUUUGUAAGUCUUCAACAUCCUCGUACUUAAUCAGAACUGACUUUAACUUUUGAAAAGGUUGCUUAAAUAAUAUAAAGAGCAUGCACCACCUACCCACCCACUAUAGAUAUCCUACAAAUAUACCUAUUACAGUAGAGAAAGACGGUCUCGAAAGCAGGGCCUAAUUGUAGUGACUAGGUAUAGGGAGAGGAAGGAAAUUGUGAACUCUUUUAUGAUAGCUACCUAGACUCGUGUAAUCCUAUCUAACUAAAAAGGCGAUCAAUAAUAAUGUGUUUCUCUUAACAUGCAGAUAUGUCAUCUCCCAUUAUCCUUUUGCAGGCAAUAAUAUAAUGGGAACUGCUCCCCAAUAGUUUCAUUCUAUUUCUCGAUACUGCUAUUUAAAUUCCAUAAAUAUUUGAUAACAAUGCAAUAAUCAUAUACAUAUACUAUGAUCAUAUAUAUGUUUCUUUUAGUUCCAGUUCUCAUAAUAUUAAUUAGAAAUGUUCAUGUUCCAUACAACCAAAUACCAUUACAUGCAGCUAAUUCUCACAGGAACACAUAAGAUAUCGCCUAGUAAAUUCUAGCGAUACACUCCCAAACAAAACAAGAAGAAUUAAACUGGUCACGCACAUAGGUAGCAGGCAGGGAUGGCUGUAAUUAAACAGCUAGCUAUGAGAGCACCAUUAGUUGUGUUGCGGGAUGCGAAAUAGGGCCGCGUGAUCAGCGAGCAUCCACACAACAGUGGUGAGGUCGCCGCCACGGCCAAGCUGCUUGGCAUGGGAACCACGGCUGCACCGUGUGGACGCAUGUAGGAGCAAACGCACCCAUGCACCCAAGAUGUGUUCCAACAUGUCCUGCAUCGGCAGUGACCAAUCUCCGACUCCGUCCUCCUCCGACCACCACAAGUCGGGCAUCAAUUUCUUAAGUAGAGCAAUGGGCUUCUUAGGGAGCGUUUGGAUCCCUCGCCACUUUACCUUGCUAGGCAAGGCCAACCUUGCCGACGAAGGAGAGCCAAAUCUGCUCGCUCGCUCAACCGUAAAUAUUGCCCGCACGGGAGUGGAGCUUGAUACCCGAUGUGUCGUCUGUCACAAGUUCUUCGAGGAUGGAGGCCACCUUUUCAGAUGCAAUCAAGUAAAACCAUGUUGGUGUCGCGUAUGAUCCAAUCCGUGGAAUGAUUAUGUGCUAGAGUUUUGCGGGCGAUGUAUUUUCCGGAUGGAGACAUUUUGAAGGCGACCCUGGUCAGUGGCUGUAGCUAUGUGUGGCGUAGUAUUUUACAAGGAGCAGAAGUAUUCAAAAUGGGUUAUAUUUGGCGUGUUGGUGACGGCUCGCAGAUUAAAGUGUAGGAACACCCGUGGUUACCAAGAGGAACAACACGACGGUCGAUUACUCCACAAGGUGAUAGUGAGAUCAUUCUUGUCACUGAACUGAUUGAUCAUGUCAAUGUUGUUAAACAUUGUAUAAUUAGGAUACGGUGAUGUAUAAACCGUGUCCAGCUCUUUGUAAACCGGUAGGUCUAGAGAUAAGAUUUCAUGGUUGUUAGAUUACUUGGAAAUCAAUACUAGACCUAACCAACUUGUGUAAUCUCGGCAUUGUGCCCUUAUAUAACACGAACGCGUCCCUGCAGCCGUUGCAUACGCUUAACCUAUCGUUUUUCACAUGGUAUACAGAGCUAGUCUCUUCCAAUACAUCUAGCCGCCGCCAUGUCCACCUCCUCCUCUGCGAUCACCAUGGCCUCUCCCUCCAUUGCCUCCCUCGGCCACACCAUCACAGAGAAGCUAACAAGAGAGAACUUUCUUGUAUGGAGAGCCCAAGUCCUGCCGCACGUCCGUGCCGCCGGUAUGAUGGGGUUCUUUGAUGGAUCAAACAAGGAACCCAGCGCCGAGCUUCUUCUGGAAAAAGAAGCUGCUGGCAAGAAGGAGAUCGUCGCCACUCCCAACCCCGAACAUGACGUUUGGGUGACCCAGGACCAGCGGGUACUGACUUUUCUGCUGGCUUCCCUCUCUCGCGACGUUACUGAUGCAGGUCAGUAACUGCGAGACUGCUGCCGAGGCGUGGAAGGAGCUUCUUCAGAGCUUCUCAUCGCAGUCGAGGGCGCGCAUCAUCCAACUCCGCUCACAGAUCGCCUCCACUCGCAAAGGUGAUCUCUCCGCCGUUGCUUACUUCACCAAGAUGAAGGGGCUCAUUGAUGAACUUGCUGCUGCUGGAAAACCCCUUGAUGAGGACGACGUGGUGUCGCACAUCCUCCAAGGGCUGAUGCAUGAAUCCGAGUACAACGGGUUCGUUUCUGCUACCUCAACCCGCACCAUCACUGAUCAACCGAUCGGUCUUGGAGAGCUGUACUCCCUGCUGCUUGCUGCAGAGGGACGGAUCACCACCCAGACUGCCUCCUACACGGCUAAUAUGGCUGCAAAGAAAGGUGGUCCGGGUGGCUACGGUCGUUCUGGGAACGGCAAUGGUGGUCCCCGUGGCUUCAACAACAACAACACGGGUGGCCGCUUCUUCGACAACUCAGGCAAUGGUGGCGGGUGUGGCGACCGUGGUGGUAACCGCGGCAACAACAACCGGGAGAAUUGCCAGAUCUGCAAAGAAAGCGGGCACGGUGUGUGGCGCUGCAACAAGCGCUUCGAUCGCAGCUUCAACAACAACGUGAGUCACCCGGCUGGCAGUGGAGGUGGGGGUGGAAACAAAUCUGCCAAUGCUGCCCAAACCUCGGGAUCCUAUGGAGUGGAUACCAACUGGUAUCUGGAUACUGGCGCAACAGACCAUGUCACCGGUGAGCUUGAGAAGCUAGCUGUUCGGAAUCGCUACACCAGGAUGGAUCAAAUCUACACUGCAAGUGGUCAAGGUAUGNNNNNNNNNNNNNNNNNNNNNNNNNNNNNNNNNNNNNNNNNNNNNNNNNNNNNNNNNNNNNNNNNNNNNNNNNNNNNNNNNNNNNNNNNNNNNNNNNNNNNNNNNNNNNNNNNNNNNNNNNNNNNNNNNNNNNNNNNNNNNNNNNNNNNNNNNNNNNNNNNNNNNNNNNNNNNNNNNNNNNNNNNNNNNNNNNNNNNNNNNNNNNACUCCCCAUGGAUCUCUACACUUAAACAACAUCCUCCAUGCACCCCUAGCUGACAAAAGUCUUCUCUCUGCUCACAAACUUAUCAAUGAUAAUUAUGCCUUUCUUGAAGUUUACCCUGAAAUUAUUUUUGUCAAGGAUCGAGACACUCGGAGAACAAUCCUUCAAAGCAAGAGUAAAAAACGUCUGUUUCCAAUUUCUGGUCGCCAUGAUCCUCCACAUCGACAAGCACUUGGUGUGACCAAACCGUCCACUUCAAGAUGGCAUAAGCGUCUAGGGCAUCCGGCUUUGCCUGUUGUCCAGAAAAUUCUUAGAUAUUUUUGUCUUCCUGUGUCCAAUAAAAAGAUCACCUGUUAGUUUGUGAUUCAUGUCAAAUGGCCAAGAGCCAUCAACUCCCUUAUGCUCGUUCCACUAGUGAGUCCAAAGCUCCUUUAGAGCUUGUUUUUUCUGAUGUGUGGGGGCCUGGACCCCUCUCUGUAGGAAAGCAAAAGUACUAUGUUAGCUUCAUUGAUGAUUUCAGCAAGUUUACCUGGAUUUAUUUACUCAAGCAUAAAUCUGAUGUGUUUGCAAAGUUUCAUCUUUUUCAGCAACACGUUGAGCGUCUCUUUGAUCNNNNNNNNNNNNNNNNNNNNNNNNNNNNNNNNNNNNNNNNNNNNNNNNNNNNNNNNNNNNNNNNNNNNNNNNNNNNNNNNNNNNNNNNNNNNNNNNNNNNNNNNNNNNNNNNNNNNNNNNNNNNNNNNNNNNNNNNNNNNNNNNNNNNNNNNNNNNNNNNNNNNNNNNNNNNNNNNNNNNNNNNNNNNNNNNNNNNNNNNNNNNNNNNNNNNNNNNNNNNNNNNNNNNNNNNNNNNNNNNNNNNNNNNNNNNCCCACCAUGUCUCCUGCCCCCAUGCUCAUCAGCAGAAUGGCUCUGCUGAAAGAAAACAUCGCCACAUUGUCGAGGUUGGGUUAUCCCUCCUUGCCCAUGCUUUUAUGCCCCUCAAGUUUUGGGAUGAAGCUUUUCUUAUUGCCGUCUACCUUAUUAAUCGCACACCUAGUAGGGUCAUCCACAAUCAAUCCCCUCUUGAGCGUUUGUUUCAUACAAAACCCAACUACACAUUUUUAUGCAUUUUUGGGUGUGCUGUCUGGCCCAACUUACGUCCCUUCAACAAACACAAGCUUGAGUUUCGCUCCAAACAAUGUGUCUUCCUAGGGUACAACACCAUGCACAAAGGGUAUAAGUGCCUUGAUGUUACUUCUGGUCGAGUUUACAUCUCUCGUGACGUGGUAUUUGAUGAGCAAGUUUUCCCUUUUGCUACACUCCAUCCUAAUGCCGGUGCACAACUUCGUAAAGAGCUUGUUUUACUUCCCUCCCACCACCUCCCAUCGCCACAAUUCCUUGCUAGGGGGGUAGAUACUACUGAUGACCACACGACAAUGUCUCAUACUACUAACCAUGAUGAUCCAGCCGAUUCUAGUGUGCAGGAUGAUUUUGUAGGAAACAGUGCAACGGGCAUGAUUUUAUGCUCUCAGCAGAUCCCGGUGCUCCCGCAGAAGAUCCCGCCUCGGAUUCAGUUCCCGAUCCGGGCCAGCCUGCGCCUGAUCUCGUUCCAGCCUCGGGGGUCGCAACUCCUGGCGCUGACGAGGCCAGCAGAUCCUCCCACGGUCGGGGGACUCCCCACGAGGCAGGGCCAGGCGGGCCCCCUCCCGAUCGGCCGAACGUGGCGCCUGCUUCGGCGGCUCCCGCGUCGGUUUCCGCGUCGCCCCCGCCCCUGCGUGGCUCGGGCGCUCCAGCGCCGGUUUCCGCGUCGGCUACGCCCCCACGUGGCUCGACCGCUCCCGCGUCACCAACCGUCUCUGCAUGUGCGCCUCGGGAUCGCCUCCUGUCUGCUGCACCCCCCGCCACGCCUGUCGGGUCGUCCGAUACGCAUGCAGCCGACGAUCCUGCCGGCUCGGAUGCGUCACGCUCGCUCCAGGACUCCUUCGAUGAAUCCCCUGUCUCGACUACAGUACCGCGUCUUCCGCUACAGCUUGCUCGUCCUACACCUCCUCCACCUGCUCGAGCGCACACACGUGCCCAGGGAGGCAUUCUCAAACCUAAGGUAUAUACUGAUGGCUGUGUACGUUGGGGCUCGUUCUGUUCCACAGGUGAACCACAAAGCCUUGCUGAAGCUCUUGGUGACACCCGACGGAAAGCUGCUAUGGAUGAGGAAUUUGCUGCUCUCAUCAAAAACCAGACAUGGCGUCUUGUUCCUCCUGCUGCAGGCCAGAAUAUCAUUGAUUGUAAGUGGGUCUAUAAGGUUAAACGCAAAUCUGAUGGCACCAUAGACAGGUAUAAGGCACGUCUUGUUGCUAAGGGUUUUAAGCAACGCUAUGGCUUGGAUUACGAGGAUACAUUUAGCCCUGUUGUUAAGGCUGACACUAUCAGGUUAAUUUUGUCUAUAGUUGUAUCUCGUAAUUGGUGCAUGCGACAGCUAGAUGUGAAGAAUGCGUUCUUACAUGGCGUUCUGGAAGAGGAAGUAUUUAUGCGGCAACCUCUUGGGUAUGAGCAUCCUCACUCACCUCGCUAUGUUUGCAAACUUGAUAAAGCAUUGUAUGGUCUGAAACAAGCACCUAGAGCCUGGUUUCUCGUUUGUCCUUCAAAUUGCAAUCUUUAGGGUUUGUUCCAUCCAAGGGGGAUACAUCACUCUUCUUUUAUCAUAAGCAUGGAGUAACUAUUUUUAUGCUGAUCUAUGUUGAUGAUAUAGUUGUAACUAGCUCAUCAAGUCAAGCAGUUGAAGCUCUUCUUAAGGACUUGAGAAAAGAUUUUGCUCUCAAAGACCUAGGUGAUCUACACUUCUUCCUUGGCAUUGAGGUUAAAAAGGUACCCGGUGGGAUCAUGCUGUCACAAGGAAAGUAUGUGCAGGAAAUACUCCAGAGAAUAGGUAUGAAAGGGUGCAAACCUUCUUCUACACCUUUAUCUACAUCUGAAAAAUUGUCUGUCCAUGAUGGGGAAGUACUUGGAGCAGAAGGCUCCACCAAAUAUAGAAGUAUUGUAGGAGCAUUGCAGUAUUUGACGUUAACUAGACCAGAUAUCUCUUAUUCAGUAAAUAAGGUAUGUCAGUUCUUGCAUGCUCCUAGCACUACACACUGGACAGCAGUAAAGAGGAUACUGAGGUAUUUGCAAGGGACAAGGAGUCAUGGACUCAAGAUCAGUAGGUCAGAUUCAAUGCUUGUAAGUGCUUUUUCUGAUGCAGAUUGGGCAGGAUGCCCAGAUGAUAAAAGGUCUACAGGAGGCUUUGCAGUAUUUCUUGGAGGAAAUCUAGUAUCAUGGAGUGCUCGUAAACAACCCACGGUCUCUAGAUCAAGCACCGAAGCAGAAUAUAAAGCUCUAGCCAAUGCUAGUGCCGAAGUUAUUUGGGUGCAGAACAUGUUGAAUGAACUUGGGAUACGUCAUCCAAAGGCAGCCUCCCUUUGGUGUGAUAAUCUUGGUGCUACAUACUUAGCUGCUAAUCCAGUUUUUCAUGCCAGGACUAAGCACAUUGAAAUUGACUAUCACUUUGUUCGAGAACGUGUUGCUGACAAGCUGCUGAAUAUUAGGUUUAUACCUACAGGUGAUCAAGUUGCUGAUGGUUUUACUAAACCACUUACCCUUAGGCAGCUAGAAGCAUUUCGACACAAUCUCAACCUAGAUAGUUGUGAUUGAGGGGGAGUGUUAAACAUUGUAUAGUUAGGAUACGGUGAUGUAUAAACCGUGUCCAGCUCUUUGUAAAUCGGUAUGUCUAGAGAUAAGAUCCCAUGUUGUUAGAUUACUUGGAGAUCAAUCCUAGACCUAACCAACUUGUGUAAUCUCGGCAUUGUGCCCCUAUAUAACACGAACGCGUCCCUCGAGCCGUUGCAUACGCUUAACCUAUCGUUUUUCACAAAUGUAUGUUGGAAUGAACAGUUGGUUCGCCAGAGUUUCUUUCCUAAGGAUGUGGAGGAAAUCUUAGCUAUUCCCAUUCGUGCGGAUACUGACAAUUGGAUCGCUUGGCACCUUGAUACCAAAGGAUGUUUUUCAGUGAGAUCGGCAUAUCGAGUGCAGCUAGCUGUUAAGGCAAUGCAAAAACAUAGAAGCGCUAGUAUGACUUCAGAAGGAGCCUCGUGGGUGACUGACACUUGGAGAGGAUUAUGGAACCUGCACUGCCCGGCAAGAGUGCAACAUUUUCUGUGGAGGUUCGAUCACAACAGCCAUCCUUUACACAUGAAUAUUGCCCGCACGGGAGUGGAGCUUGAUACCCGAUGUGUCGUCUGUCACAAGUUCUUCGAGGACGGAGGCCACCUUUUUUUCAGAUGCAAUCAAGUAAAACCAUGUUGGCCAGCUUGCAACUUGAAGACGUUUGUCUAGAACUGAUGCAAAGCCAGGGACCAUUGAGAGUACUUGAGCAUAUCUGGAAGUUGCCAUAUAUGAUAAAAAGAUGAUAACAGUAGCCCUACUCUGGACUUAGUGGAGUGAAAGGAACAAAGAAAAUCAUAAUGAGACCCGAGCUUCAGUAGAAGAUAUCCAACUACAGAUCAGACGCCAUGCUGAUGAAUGGUUUCAAUUCUAUAAACCCAAACCGAAUCCUAGGCAGCCUCCCCGGCCCUGAUGACUUCAUUAAAAUCAACGCCGAUGGUGCCUUCUUAGAAUCACAGAGAACAGGAGGGUGGGGAGCCAUUGGGCGUGACAGUAGGGGCUCAGUUGUUUUUGCUGCAGCUAGAAGGAUCACUCAUGCUUCUGAUGCGUUACAUGCUGAAGCCAUUGCUGUGGAGAACGGUAUUCGACUGGCAGACUAUUUGGGUAUUGGACGCGUCAUCGUUUCUACAGACUCGCUGAAUCUAAAGCAAGCUCUAUCAUCGUCUUCCUAUGAUCAAGCAAAACUGGGACAUCUCUUUUUGGACAUCAAGUAUCAACUUAUUAUGGAGUUUCAUGAUUCUGUUGUAGAAUUUUGUCCAAAGGCUUGUAAUAAACCUGCUCACUGUUUAGCAGCUAUGGGUAUGAGGGAGUUAUUACCUAACCACCCACUAUAGAUAUCCUGGGUGAGUGCGGCAAGUUUAUUACCUAACCUUGAUGCGACAACAGUCUUCAACAUCCUCGUACUUAAUCAGAACUGACUUUAACUUUUCAAAAGGUUGCUUAAAUAAUAUAAACAGCAUGCACGGCCACCUACCCACCAACUAUAGAUAUCCUGUAAAUAUACCUAUUACAGUAGAGAAAGACGGUCUCGAAAGCAGAGUCUAAUUGUAGUGACUAGGUAUGGGGAGAAGAAGGAAAUUGUUAACUCUUUUAUGAUAGCUACCUAGACUCGUGUUAUCCUAUAUAACUAAAAAGACGAUUAAUAAUAAUAUGUUUCUCUUAACAUGCAGAUAUGUCAUUUCCCAUUAUCCUUUUGCCGGCAAUAAUAUAUAUAANNNNNNNNNNNNNNNNNNNNNNNNNNNNNNNNNNNNNNNNNNNNNNNNNNNNNNNNNNNNNNNNNNNNNNNNNNNNNNNNNNNNNNNNNNNNNNNNNNNNNNNNNNNNNNNNNNNNNNNNNNNNNNNNNNNNNNNNNNNNNNNNNNNNNNNNNNNNNNNNNNNNNNNNNNNNNNNNNNNNNNNNNNNNNNNNNNNNNNNNNNNNNNNNNNNNNNNNNNNNNNNNNNAUUUAAAUUCCAUAAAUAUUUUAUAACAAUACAAUAAUCAUAUUCAUAUACUAUGAUCAUAUAUAUGUUUAUUUUAGUUCCAGUUCUCAUAAUAUUAAUUAGAAAUGUUCAUGUUCCAUACAACCAAAUACCAUUACAUGCAGCUACUUCUCACAGGAACACAUAAGAUAUCGCCUAGUAAAUUCUAGCGAUACACUCCCAAACAAAACAAGAAGAAUUAAACUGGUCACGCACAUAGGUAGCAGGCAGGGAUGGCUGUAAUUAAACAGCUAGCUAUGAGAGCACCAUUAGUUGUGUUGCGGGAUGCGAAAUAGGGCCGCGUGAUCAGCGAGCAUCCACACAACAGUGGUGAGGUCGCCGCCACGGCCAAGCUGCUUGGCAUGGGAACCACGGCUGCACCGUGUGGACGCAUGUAGGAGCAAACGCACCCAUGCACCCAAGAUAUGUUCCAACAUGUGCUGUUCCAACAUGUCCUGCAUCGGCAGCGACCAAUCUCCGACUCCGUCCUCCUCCGACCACCACAAGUCGGGCAUCAAUUUCUUAAGUUGAGCAAUGGGCUUCUUAAUAUCCGUCUUGUCGUUCGGAUCCAUCUCAUUUGCAUUCACCCGACUGAGCAUUAACUUGGCGUAGAGCCUUCCCUCCGACAGAAUAAGUGACGUAGAGCCUUCUAUGGGUUCCAUGGCUUUAAGGAUUUCUGCAAAGUGCAUCUCAUCUCUUGGACUACAAGUGCAACAAGUACGUUCGUGAUCAGGCAUGGCAUGUAGUCCACAACAAAAUUUGUCCAAUGCCUCUCUUGUUGCAUCGUGCAUGCUGAGGAGGUAAAGGCCCGGUAGCAUGCCGGGACGUACGGCGACGAGGAACAUCAUAUAAUUUGACAGCUCUUGUAUCACCUUGACAUAUUUGUAGGAGCCUCUGCCAGAAUUGGUUGUUGAGCUUGGCCUGCAUAAGAGGAAGAUGUCGGUUGCGAUGUGCCACCUAAGUACUACCUCUUGGAACUCAGGGCCGAUAUCAAGAGCGUCGCCUAAUUCCGAGUGUGCUAUUUGGCCAGCAUGUAGAUCGGCCUCCACCUUAGCAGCCUCAGCUGACGGCGGUGGACCUGGAGGAGGGCUCUCGCCCAAGGCUCCGGCUGGAUCUGGAUCUACGGACACCUGGGCGGUCACCUCUGCAUAUACUUUUUGUGCUGGUGGUUGGAAGGUUUUCUUGAGAAUUUCCCAUAUCCCUUGAAACAACAAGUCCCUGACAAAUGGCAAGAGUGCAAUGCCCUUGGAAUAGCCGUAUUGGUAUUCCAUCCAAUUGUCUUCUGUUGCGACCAUCUUUACGAGCCUGCUGGAUAUGUUCAUGGUGGUCCCACCUCUUCUUCGGCGACAGCUCUCUCUCAGCAGGUUGUACUGCCCGAUGGUACCGGAGCUCGACCACAUCCUGUAGCUAGUUAGAUGAUACUUGACCGCCAUGAAGCCCAAGCUGCGGAUGAGCCGAUGCGAACACCCAAGAAGCCAAUAUGGGCUAUGCUUGAGGAAUGCACAUGUCCAUGUGGAUCCCAGUGAUCUAAGUAGCCACCCGACAUCAAGCACGAGUGUGACAAUGAGCAAGGAGUAGGUGACGAUGACAUCUGCACUGCUCUGGCCGUCUUUGUUGUCGGACCAGAAGAGCAGCAAGGCGGCGGCAGUGAAGAGCGGCGAGGCGAGGCGGAUGCAGUAACCGGGCCAGGUGUGGCCGACGGCCGCCUUGGUGUACAUGACGUCGUACAUGAGGGACAGCUCCAUCUCCACCACCUUGCACAUGUCCUCCCAACCUUGAGACCGGGAGAAGGCUCUUACUGCUUGGAUGGCGGCGUCUGGCUCCACCGGCUUCAAGCUGAAGGAAUAGUCCGCAAAGGCACCCUUGCUGACGUACAGCAGGUCAUGGGCAAGCAGCAAGGCUUGCUCGUUGUUCAACUUGAAACCAUGGCCUUCAUGCUCUUCAGCGCUCAGCUCGUCGGGCUUCAUCUUCUUGAUUGACCGCCGGAUGGUGCCCAGAUUGCCUUGCCGCAGCGCCCACACACUCUCUAUGUACUUGGCAAUGCCCAGGGUGAACAUGAGGUAGGCCGCCGGCCGCAAGGCCCCGGCGUCGUGGACGACGACGAAGUGCUUGCACAGAGCAAGGAUGGCUCCAGCGACCUGCGCCGGGGCGAGCGCCAGUGCCCGGCUCGAUAACGCGUUGUCCUCGACGGAGUAGGCGCUGAUGUUGUCCGGCAAGGCAAUGUGCAUGAGGAGGAAGGGAGUCCAGAAGGCGUGCAGGUGCUGCUGGCUGGACGUGACGAUGCCCAGCAUGAGGUGGCUCAUGGAGCGUGUCGCCGCCCAGCCGGCCACCUGGUAAGAAAACCACAGCAGGGCUGUGCCAAAACCCGUGGCUCUACGCCGUCGGACACCGGCGAGGAGAACCAGCACAAGAUGCGUCGCCAGGCUCAAAAGGACCAGCGAACGGACCACCCAGUCGUUCACCAGCUUCACUAUUACGACUGCAGCAUCUGUAGCCGUCAACUGCAUGAUGAUAUACUAUAUAUGUUUUGUAUACUGAUGAAUGAUCGACCCUGCUGCCUUCCUUCCUCUUGGUUCCUGCAAGCCUGCCAUUUGAACAAACUACUUAUUAUGCAUUAUAUUGCAUGUACUAAUCAUGUACUCAAAAUUAGUUGGAGGGGCGUACCUAGCUUUCAGUUGCUGGGCGGCCGCCUGAGCUUGAUAAUUCGAGCAAGAUUACGUUACCAACUAAAUUUGCUUUGCUUCUCCUCACUGAUCACCAUUUCAGCUAUAUAUAUAUAUAUAUGGUCCGGUGCAUCUAUACUUUGCCAUGUCGAACGCUCUGCUGCUUGAGAAACGUACCAUCAUAGAAUAUAUAGGAGGACGUUGGUGCGGCACAAUCAGUGACGUUAACCACUAUCUUCUCGGCCCGGAAAAGAACUACUGUAUUAUCCUUGGUUUAUGUCCAAAUUAAGUGCCACUUGCCCUGGUGAGUGGGUGCAAGCGUGCAUGGUCGCUCGCGCGCUCCUGCAUGCCUCCCCUCCAAAAGCCCACCAUAAAUAAAAUAGAAAAAGCCAUAAAGGUCAUUGUAUUUUAGGGAAUGUUGUAUUUUAGGGAAUGACUAGGAAUCAGACUAACUAUAUAUCCUUCGGAUCCCGCAGCCCCCAUCAACGUGCACCUCUAUCUCCUCAUGAUAUGAGUGCAUGCACGUACGUAUGCAUUAUCGUUUUCAAUAACGGGCAAUUAAUUGAGUUGUCAAUACAUUAAGCAGGAGUAAUUGAAAAUACAAUUGGUGCUCUUCUUGUAUUACAAGAGUUUGGGAUUAAGGUUCCCCCACCAAAAUAAUUAAAACUAACCAGACUCUCGUUAAGGUUAUUAAUUCUCAAUAUGCUAUCAGAUAGCCAUUGGAGGGUGGUACGUAGUAGGCUGCAACAUCUCUUGUUUGGAAAGAUGGAAUAUAUAUCUCUCCAAAUAGGCUUUCACCAGCUGUAUUAAUAUGGCAACCACCCGGUACAAACUGAUAUCAUCACUGGGGCAAGCAGCACAAUCAUGUCCAAGAGAAAAAAAUGCCAACAACACCGGAUCAACGAAAGCUAUAGUAUCCGCAACUGCUGCGCCCACGGAGAAUCCCGUCCCACUUCAAUUCCGCCGAGUUGCCGCGUAUCAAGCAACACCUUCAAGAUGGACUGCGACGAUGACGACGCUGUUGCCCGGUCGAGACCUAGAAUUUUUUCCGAUACACGAAGGGGAGUGGGGGAGAGGUACAACUGACGCCCUUCAGCUAAUAACCCCCUCCCGUUGCGUUCUUUCCACAAGUUCCAGGCGAAGUAGAUGGCAGCAGUGGCAUCUUUGGCCGGCAAGAUGCUGGUGCUGGAGUUCCACCACUCCUGGUUAGGAUUGGCAUGUUGGGCACUAUUGGCGAAGGAUGGGUUGUCGCACCACUUGGCAUGCAGUUGCCAAACAGCUUUGGCAUAGGGACAUUUGAGAAUAAGGUGCACGGGGGAUUCCUCCACUUGACCACAUUGGUAGCAAUCAUCAUUGUGAGAGAUAGUGCAAGUCGCCAUAUUUGUAUUAGGAGAUAAAUACACUCAUGGUCACUGUAUUUGGGACGAAAGCAUGAUACGGUCACUGACCAUUGGAAUACACUCGUUACGGUCACUGUAUACGAUGGGACGUGAUUGUACAGUCACUGUAGCACGUAUGCGGUGCGUACAGGCCUAGUUUGACCUAUUGUUGACCGCCACGUACUGGUCUCUCAUUCGGCCAACGAUUCAUGAGGGGGUUAUUUGUAAAAGAACCAAAAUCCCCAAUCCCUCAAAUCCCUAACCCGCGGUGUCCCCCUCAAAUCCCUAACCUUCCGUCGCUCUGCUCCGCCUCCGUCGCUCUGCUCUGCCUCCGUCGCUCUGCUCGGUCACCGUCUCUCUGGCGCUGUCCACCGCAAGCUCUGGCGGUCAUGUCUCUCACGAGCUCGUCCUCCUCUGCUGUCCGCCGCCGGGCGUUGGCGCUGCCGCUGAUCCGCUGCGCAGGCUGCAAGGAGAAAGUGCGCAUGUUUGUGUCCACCACUGAGAAGCACGAUGGAUGGGUCUUCUACAAGUGCCAAAAUCAUGGGGUUAGUGUUUCCAUGGAUUUAUCUCUUCCAUUUAUGUCCUGUCCAUGCAUUCUAUUCCGUUUUGGAUGCAAAGAUUGAACUUUUUUUUACCUUGCCAUGUAUUUUUGGAUAGGUGAGUUGUGAGUUCUGGCGUUGGGAAUUGGAGUACGUGCAGUACCUGGUUGAGAAUCACUACCUGGUUGGCGAUGCAGCUGUGGAUGCUAUUGGUGCGGCUGAGGAACGCAGGGAGCAACUUCUGAAUGCACAAGAGCUUCAUUACAUGAAUGGAUCAACCAGCAUGUCUAAGAAGUUUGUGAAGAGAGAGAGUGGCAAUGUGAUGACCAGGCAGCAAGCUGCUGCACUGAUGAAGCUUGGGAGAGAGCUGGUGAUGCUCAUGAAGAUCCUGCUUGCUGUUGUGCUGAUGUUAGGUGUUGGUGCAUUGGUGCUAUACAUGGUGAAGAACUGAAGACUAGCUGCAUUGGUGAUGCCAGGUUCAUUUUGGGACACUGCAGUGAUGUUAGUAGUGGUGGCAGUCCUAGUUUGUGUCAUGUAGUUUGUUUCAUGUAAUGGUGGCAGUCCUAGUUUGUGUCAUGUAGUUUGUUUCAUGUAAUGGUCUCAUGUAAUGGUGGAAGUGAUAAUGCUAUGCUGAACCCUAUGUUAUAUUUGAUCAAUAUGAUGUUCUUAUGUCAUUCCUUCUUAAUAUGUGAUUGUCUACAAAUAGGACCAAAAUGACCAAAUAAGAAGGAAGUCUUUUCCAAACUUGACAAAUAGGACCAAAAUGACCAAAUAAGAAGGAAGUCUUUUCCAAACUUGACAAAUAUGCCAAACUGACCAAAUAUAAUGCAUGAAAACUUGUUGUCACAACCAAAUAAGUCUUGCCCAUCAUCCACAUACAAAAGAAAAUAGCCAUGUUUCUUACAGGACAAUAUUGCAGUCACUAUGAAUACUACUAUCUAAAGACAUCAAACAUUGAAGAUCUUGGAGCCUUCUUUGGAUAGGCAGCUUCAUUGUUAACCCAGCUUUGUUUUCUUUUUGCAACAGCCAUGCUUUGCUCCCUUGCUUUUUUUGUAGCAAGCUUCUUCUCCUCUUCUUUUCUGGCAGCAGCAAGCUUCUUCUCCUCUUCUUUUCUGGUAGCAGCAAGCAUCUUCUCCUCUUGUUUUCUGGCAGCAGCAAGCUUCUUCUCUUCUUCUCUUUUUGCAGCAGCAAUUAUCUUCUCUUCUUCUCUUUUUGCAGCAGCNNNNNNNNNNNNNNNNNNNNNNNNNNNNNNNNNNNNNNNNNNNNNNNNNNNNNNNNNNNNNNNNNNNNNNNNNNNNNNNNNNNNNNNNNNNNNNNNNNNNNNNNNNNNNNNNNNNNNNNNNNNNNNNNNNNNNNNNNNNNNNNNNNNNNNNNNNUCUCUUUUUGCAGCAGCUGCUUCCCUCUGUGCUCUCUUUUCUUCCUCUUUGUUUUGAGCAGCAGCUCUCCUCUCUGCUUCUUGCCUUGCCUUCUUCUCAGCAGCUAAUGUUUUCAUUGUGUCUUGAAUAAUCUGUCUUGUCUCAGCUUGAGCUUUCUUGUUGAUUUCUGCUUCUUCUUUCUUUUUGGCAGUUGUCUGUGCAGCAACCAAUCUUCUUCUCUCUGCUAGUUCAGCCUUCUUCUGUGCAACCUCAUGUUUCUUUCUUGCUACCUCUUCAGCUCUCCUCAAUUCCUCUUGUCUUCUAGAUGCCAGAAUGGCCUGCUUCCUCUCCUCUAGUUCCCUAUCUCUCUGGUUCUUCAUGGCCUCCAAUUUCUAUGCCAACUCAUUAGGCCUGAUGGUAUUUGAACUUGCUUGGCUGCCUUGGCCAUCAAGAGACUGGUUUAGCACCACUUGGGCAGCAUUCAGGAAACUAGAAGAUGGUAGUGGCCUUUGUUCCACAACUCUAGGUAUUGGCAUCUAAAAAAUACACAAGUGUCCAUUGUGAGAUCAAUACUGCAGUACUAGUUAUGUUAUGGGGUAUGGAGUAGUUAUGUUACCUGGGCAAUCAUGUUGUCUACCAUCAGAUCUUCAUAUGUUGCAGAAGGUUCUUGAUGGUCCUGCUGANNNNNNNNNNNNCUGAAAUGCAAAAGUUUGUGUUAGAUAAAUGCCAAACAUGAUCAACUUUAGUGUGUUAAAACAUGAUCAUACAAGUGUUACCUGUGUUAAAACAGGAUCAACUUCAGUGGAUGUAGCUGUUUGUUCUGGAUUUGUCANNNNNNNNNNNNNNNNNNNNNNNNNNNNNNNNNNNNNNNNNNNNNNNNNNNNNNNNNNNNNNNNNNNNNNNNNNNNNNNNNNNNNNNNNNNNNNNNNNNNNNNNNNNNNNNNNNNNNNNNNNNNNNNNNNNNNNNNNNNNUUGUUCUGGAUUUGUCACACUGUCAACACCUUGUUCUGGAUUAGGCACACUGCCAACACCUUGUUCUGGAUUUGUCACACUGCCAGGACCUUGUUCUUGAUUUGUCACACUGCCAGCCCUUGGUGGUGGCAGUCCAGCCUUUUUGUGCUUGCAACCCCUGGUGUUGUGGUCUGCCUCACCACAGUAAGAACAGUGCAUGAUGACACCAUGCCUUGUUAUUUUCUUCCCUCCCCUUCUAUGAUCAACCUCUCCAGGUUCUUGUCUUCUUCUGGUACAUGGUCUACCCACAUGCUUCUGGUACAAUGGUGGCUGAAUUGGGGGCCCAUGUAAAUCCUCCCACUCUCUCCUAUCUUUGCAAGGAUAUAUAAUAUUACCAUAUGCUCUCUUGAACAUCUCCUUUGAGUAGCAAGGGUCAACCAUCAGAAGAGGAUCAAUUCUAUCAUUCCUGCAGCAGGCUAUGGCAUGAGAGCUAUUCGCAUCUCCUUUCAUUGUCACUGUCCACAAGUAGACCAGGGUCAUAAUCCUCAUCAUCUGUGUCACUACCUACAUCCUCUUCUUCCAUUGCAUAACUGCAUUUGCUCUGCCUAGCACUCCUCCUCAUAGAUGUGCUGCCUCCAACAUCCUCUGCUUGCAUUUCAGUAUUUGCCUCUGUUUCUUGCUCAGGGAAUAUAACCUGCAGGGGAAUUAGUGCCCCUAUCUCUGGCUCUGCAUCUGCUUGCUCUGUUUCUGGCCCUGCCUCUUCUUGCUCUGUUUCUGCCCCUGCCUCUCCUUCAUCUGUUUCUGCCCCUGCCUCUGCUUCCUCUGUUUCAGACUGAACAGUACUGCUGGGAAUCCUCUUUGCAGGGCUGAUAACCGGAGGCAAAUGUGCUCUUGGAUAGUGCACAACAUCAUCUUCAUUUGAAUUUGCCUGCAAACUGUCAUCAUGAUCCAGAUAUAUACUGAAGAAAUGGUGCCCAAUAUCAACAAACACCAUCAUUCUGUCUGUCUGCUCCUCAUCACUAAGUUCUCUUAGACCAUUUGUACUGGGUGUAAGGAUGGGCACACAGUAGAAUACUUUGAGCCUCCCUGCCAUCUCAUAACCUAUUUCCUCAACUAGGCUUUCAAUAAGAAUUGGUGACCAGGUUACCUUCUCCACAUUAUCAUACCAGAUGGCUCGACCAUUCACAUAAGCACGGUUCCUCCCAUGCCCAACAAAAAAUCCACCAUGAUUAAUUUCAAUAGACAAAUUUCUGCUUCUACGACCUGAUGCAGCAACACAUAGACAGCAAGCAUCAGAAUCGGCUGUAUAUACAUUUUAUUAAAAGAGAUAAAACCCUACCUAAGCCCCAAUUCUCCUACCCCCAAAUCCCAUACCAAAACCCUAGAACAAUCGGUCCUGACUAAGAACAACAACACAUCUACAAAGGCAAUGCGGCCCUAAAAGGUUGGUUUUUGAACAUCAAAACGCUUGGAUUCUUGAGGAAAUAGGACUUACUGUACACGGGGGGAGGUGCCCCUUCUGGACGAUGAACAGGGGCCAUCGACGUCCGUUCCAACGGGAAGAAGGAGUGCUGCGGCGGUGCGUCGUGGACGACGCACGAAUUCAGCCCCUCGCCACGACUAUACCGCCGACGAUAGCCGGGGCGGCGACUCCCCUAUCUCUGCGCGAAGACGAACAGGCGCCGUGACUGGAGGAGGAGGAGGAGGGAUGAUUGGGGAUUAGGUGAUGCCUGAGGGGCUAUUCGCAUAUUUCCACUGCCGCCGCGCCGCGGAUCGCCACCUGUCCCCAACGAUCGGUCAGCACGUGGUCAACUAGGCCUGUACGCACCGCAUAUGUGCUACAGUGACCGUACAAUCACGUCCCAUCGUAUACAGUGACCGUAACGAGCGUAUUCCAAUGGUCAGUGACCGUAUCGUGCUUUCGUCCCAAAUAUAGUGACCAUGAGUGUAUUUAUCUCUUGUAUUAGUAUAAAGAGUUUAUCUCUUAGCCACAACCACAUGAAAAAACUGCACUUGGGUUUCCCCUUGGCCUUCCAAAGCAUGUUGAAACGGAUGGUAGAGAAGAAACAGAUGAACUGGCAACGGUAGGUGGAGGCUGCAGAGUAUGUAUGUGAGGGGGUUCCAGGCCCGGCGAAUGGUGUCGUCAAUAUCUGGCUAGCCACAGGGAGGCAUUGUUAAGACGCUAUGUACCAAAGUGUGUGAAUUGUCGGAGUUCCGAGAUCACCGAGAUUCCCGAUUGGGAAAGGCAGCCACUACCAUGAAGUUCUUGCUUUUGGAUACCUUGUAGACAUCAGUAAGAGAGUCUAAGAGACUCAUCAUUGACCCAUCUAUCAUUCCAAAAGGUAGUUCACAAUCCAUUGCCAACUAUGACAUAGAUGGAGGCGGAGAAGAGAGCAAGGCCGUCCUUUGUCACAGGGAAUUGGGGAACCAGCCGAAGAUCUAUUAUUGCGUGUCCAAUAAGGCCACUUGUUGCGUAGGCGCAGUGGUCGGACAAAACGUUUGAGCCCAACAUAUAUAUUGUUAAUUUGAGCCUAGGUAGCAACUUGGCCAUCUUUUUUGUGGCAUCCACCGAGGCAGGCAUGCACAUGUACAACUUUUAGUUAUACUAGCAAAAGGGCCCGUGCGUUGCAACGGGAGAAAAAAUACCACACGAUUUUAAUCUUUUUAUAAUCAUUUUGAUUUAUUAAAAUAAUAAGCUAACUAACUAAUGUAGUCAGUCAUAUCCUAUUUUGUUGAGAAAUCAACCCGUCCAUUGUUAAUUCCACCAUCAUGAGAAAUUGAGCGGGACAAGCAAAGCAAAACAAAGAGGCUACGUGAAUUGAUCGAUGGACUGUUAUCUUAUUUCACUCAUGGGAUAGAGAAUGUGGGAUCAAAUGACAAACUAAAGGUGAUGUUCCAUUCUCUGUCUCUACAACAAUACAAUCUUACAUUCAAUACAUUCAUUCAUCAGCAAACAAAUCCCCACAAAACAAAAUUUCUUGCCGGUGCUUGGCACACGGUUGGAGGCAUGGGGAGGGGAUCUCACCAAAUGAUGAGUUCCUGUCGGAGAAGGGAUACGAUGAUGGGAGUAAGGGUUAGGCGCCUCUAUCUGACCAUAAGGAGUCGCCGUUGCCGCACCAUAACCUCGGAGUUCCUCGUGUGAGCCAUGGAGGCCCGCCUCCACCUGCAAGUACUUCGCUCCGCCGCGCCUUAUUCGCGCGCCGCCGAUGUUCUGCAUCGCGCAGACGCAUCAUCCCCAGUCACUGUAGCUGUCGCGUUGAUUUGAUCCAGAAGCUGGCUCGAGCGCAGAAACGGGGGCAGCAAGCGGGCAGAGGUAUGGCCACGGAGGCGGGUGGGUUGAGAUCGACAAUAGUGGCGGUUGAGGUCGGCCGCGGCGGCGAGUGGUGUGGCAGCGGCCUAGGCAGGUAUCAUUUUUGCAGCGAAUCUUUUUUUUUCCUUUUACGUUGCAGAUAAAUGAUGGAGCGCGGGUUGAAUAACAAAAAUUACUGUCACGCCCAAGAUGCGACCCUAUUCUCAAUUUGGCACGAGGGCCUCGUCAGGGAUAGAAGCGCAUCUCGUCGUGUCGCAAGAAUGGAUAUCGUUACAGGUACCUGUACUGAAAAGAAGAGAUAUAUAGAAUUGGCUUACACUCGCCACAAGCUACAUCAGAGUCACAUCAGUACAUUACAUAAUCAUCAAGAGUAAGAGCAGGGUCCGACUACGGACGAAAACAAACGAGAAAAAUAAGAACGACGUCCAUCCUUGCUAUCCCAGGCUGCCGGCCUGGAACCCAUCCUAGAUCGAUGAAGUAGAAGAAGAAGAAGAGGCAACUCCAAAUGAACAAUCAACGCGCUCGCGUCAGGUAACCUUUACCUGUACCUGCAACUGGUGUUGAAGUAAUCUGUGAGCCACAGGGGACUCAGCAAUCUCAUUUCCAAAGGUAUCAAGACUAGCAAAGCUUAAUGGGUGAGGCGUGGUUAAGUGGUGAGGUUGCAGCAGCGGCUAAGCAUAUAUUUGGUGGCUAAACUUACGAGUACAAGAGGCAAGAGGGGGAAGAUCUACGCAUAACGGACGUGAACUACUGAUGAUCAAAUGAAUGAUCCUGAACACCUACCUACGUCAGACAUAACCCCACCGUGUCCUCGAUCGGAGCAGGAACUCACGAAAGAGACAGUCACGGUUACGCACACAGUUGGCAAGUUUUAAUUAAUUAACUUCGAGUUAUCUAGAACCAGUGUUAAACAAAGCUUCCACGUUGCCACAUAACCGCGGGCACGGCUUUCCGAAAGAUUUAACCCUGCAGGGGUGCUCCAACUAGUCCAUCACAAAUUACCACAAGCCGCAUAGAAAUCCUCAAUCACGAAGCUCGCGAUCUCGUCGGAUUCCUAGUGGAAAACCUCAACUCUGAGAUUACCCAAAGCAUCACCGGAAUCCCGAUGCACAAGAUAUAUCGUCAAAGGUAAAACUAAUCCAGCAAGGCCGCCCGACGUGUCGACGUACCCGAUAGGAGCCGCGUAUCUCGUUCUCAGGACACGACGGAUGGAACUAGCUACAGGUACCAAACCUCGAGUUUCCUCGCGGUGGCCCCGCAGGCAGACCGUUUGGGACCAACACCAUCAGCACUGGCCCCCCAUGUUUAUGUAAAAUUACUCCUCGGGUAGCGCUAACUCCCUAUGCAUUUCAAUUUAUCAAAAUUAUUAUGUUGGACAAAUGUAGAACCAAAGUUGGGCCUUGCCAGACCAGCUUUAAUCUAAAACGAAUUAUCAAGGGGGUCCCCAUAACAACCCCGAUCGUGUUAGGAGCACUCAAUUAUGGAACAUAACACCGGUAGCCGAAAUCUAAGGGGGCAAAGGUGGAACAAAACACCAGGCUAGAAAGGCCGAGCCUUCCACCUUUUACCAAGUAUAUAGGUGCAUUAAAUUAAAUAGUAUUAAUAUAUGGUGAUAUGACAAGGAAGCCAUGUUAUCACAUGGAAGAAUCUACACCUGCAACUAGCAACGCUAACAACAGGGUUAAGCAAGCAGUAUCAUAGCCAAUCAGUGGUUUGCUAGGUUGAACAGGUUGAAGGUUUCAUGGCAUUGUUGAGAGGCUGACAUUUAACAGGUGGUAGGCAACGAGACAUAAACGAUAGAAGCGAUAAACUAGCAUGGCAAUGAUAGUAAUGGUAUCUGGGGAAAUGGUCAUCUUGCCUGAGAUCCCGCUUGGAAGAAGAAUGACUCCGUGAAGCAGACGAACCGACGUAGUCAAACAGGUCCUCACAAUCCGGCACGAUGCGGAACUCUAUCGAGACAAAGCAAACCGGAAACAAGAAUCAACACACGUCAUUCCCCACACGAUGCACAACACAUAUGAUGCAUGAGCUACUGAAUUCGUGCAAGUCACGGCAUGACAAAUCACACAAUCACACCUACACAUUAAGUGAAGUUCAAUAUGCACGAGUUGCAUAUUGACGAAACUCCACGUUAAUUAUUUAGUUCACUCCCGGUUAUCUACACGGCAAUAUUAAAUGUGGUUAAACAUGCAAGAGGUGAAGCGGAAAUUAAACUACCUAUCUAGACAUUUUAAAUGAGGUCGGAAAUGACAUAUAGCACCCCCGAAACGACCUCACAUGUAAAUUUACAAUUCUGUACAGAUCUGAAUUAAUGCAUUUAUUUGGUUGUUAAACAGCAGAACAAAUAGGAUCACGUGAUUCUACGCAUCAAGGCAAGCAAUCUACACCAAAAGAACAUCUCAAACGGAGCUACGGAUCAAAAGAAGCAAGCACCGCAAGAUAUGAUGGCAUGAAUGCAAAAUGUGUGCAACGACAGACACGAGCACUUCAAAACAUGCAAACAGCAAGAGAAAAAGAAACUACACGAGAUUCUAAGCAAGUUUCAUGUAGGGCACGAUCAAAACGGAGCUACGGUUCGAAAACUACGAGCAAAACCAGAACACGCUACAAUCUGCCAAAAUCAGCCACAUAGCACCUUCUACGCCCCACAACUACGGCUACACAACUCCGAUUUGCUCAAGCAAGGCAUGGCACGGAAGAGGGAAGGAAGCACUACUACAAACUACUAACAACAACUAACAUGGCAGCAAGGAGCACUAGGAAAAGAAGACACAAAAUGGCAUCUCACGCACUAUUUCAGACUUAGUGAAAAUAACACCUCCUGAAAGUGCAGUUCUCAGCCUGAAGGCAUAUUGACAGCAGCAAAACCUAUAGCUACAGGACUCCAAAUAACAUGAAACUUAACAGCAUGAUAGAGAAAUAUAAGGGGUACAACUAACUCCAUUGGACCAACCCCAAAAGAGCUACAGUUCACAAGCUAGAAGCAAAACAAUUCAGCAACAAAAUAUAACAGACUCCAGACAUAGAAAUAUUUCAGCUCCUCUAAAACAGCACUAUUUCUAGCAACUUGAGAGCAAGCAAACAACACCUAUACAUGUAUUUCUAUUGCAACUAAAAAUACCAGGGGAUAAACAAAACACCCAAGAUCAACUCCCUAGUUGACAACUAAUUCAAACGAGGCACGGAAUAAAUCCUACGAAUUAAUCAAAAGGGCAACACGACAAAAUAUCUCGCGAACUAACUUCCUCAAAAGCUAAAACUAAUUGCACGGAAAAAUCCAUGGGAUUUUUCUACCCCGAAAACAUAUAAAAUAAGCGGGGUUUGCAACGCAAAAUAUAGCCACACAAUAAUGCGAGAUAAUACCUCUAAACGGGAAAAUAAACUACCGGCACAACCCUUCACGGAAAAUUACGAGUGACCGCUCAAAAAUACGUAGAAAUAUGGUCCCUAAAACAUGGACAUUAAAUCCCUGGCAUACGAGCAGUCCGGAUACACAUGAAAAUUAACUACGGAAUGGAUCCUAGUUAAACAGCACGUAAAACGAGGCAUUAGGCACUCUAAACAGCGUUAAACAAAUAUGCUAGUUGGAUAAUUGUGUUCUACUCGCGAAGCUACCCCAAAACAAUAUAUAACACGCGUCGUUCCGACUUACGGUUUAGAAACUACGGUCGAUCUAAGAUAUACCUAAUUUCUGGAAUAUAAACAAUUCCGAAAAACAACCUAAAAUCCUAACGGGCCGAAUUGGAGGCGCAACUAAGCUAAUACGCGCACAGGGCGCUGGUGAGAGGGCUCACCUUCGGGCCAAGAGUAGGCCGGCCUGGUGGAGUGGGCCGAGUCUGCUGGGCUGGGCCUCGGGGCGACGGAGGCUGGGCCUCGGGGCGACGGCCUUCUGGGAGGAGAGGCCCACGCGGCUGCUGACCUUCCCGGGCUCGAUCCCGAGCGGCAGCGCUGGGGACCCGCCGUCGGGCGGCCGGCGAAGGAGGCCACCACGGGCACAGGCCUCGACGGGGAGGAGACCCGGCGGAUCCCGUUGGCCAACGCGGGAUCUGGCCGGUGGAGGUGACGGCGACCGGAGGGGCGGCGGGAAAGGCAGGCGGCGAGCUCGCGGCGGCUCCUGGACGAUGAGGUCGGCGCGCACGGGAUCUGGGGCUACGGCGGCCGGCUCGAGACUCUGCGCGGCGGCGGCUGUCGACGACGUGGGACGGGCCGGUCCUAGCGGGGCUCCGGCGACUGGGGCUCGCCGGAUGGCGCAGGUCGAGGCGGGAGACGGCCCGGGACGCCGCGACGCGAGGGGGCGGCUUGGCUUGCGGUGGCGCGCUGGCCUGUGCAGGCGGCGGCGGCUGCCUCGGGCCGAGAUGGGCUCGGGAGGGCCUGUCUCGGGCUCGCGGGCCCGGCGGCGCUGGUGGGAGAGAGGAUCCGGCAGGAUUAGGGUUAGGGGUGGUUUGGCACGGAUUUCGAGGAGAUAUGAGAGGGGGUUGUCCGAAAACUAGAAGAGGUCUAUAUAUAGGCAAACCGGGGGGCUUGGUUAACCGGAAUUUCGUUCCGGAUCCAACCGCGGGGUCGGAUUCGGACGAUUCGGAACGCGGGAACGGGUACGCGGCCGUGUUGUGUAGAUUUCCGGAGACGAGAGGGAGAACGGGCGGCGCGGCACGAAUUUAAAAACACCGACGACGAAUAACCGAAGACGGUGCCGCUACGGGCGACCGUUCGGGUACCAGACGGUCUCCGAUCGCGACGAAAUUCGACGGGCGGCCUCGCUAUAACUAAUCACGACUGCACGUCAAAUCUCAACCUGAUCAGAGAAAGUUUUAAACGCACUUUAAAAACAGGGUUUCGACGGUGCCGCGGGCGCGUGCGAGUGCGGUCGGGCUCAGAACGAACAACGACGAGAACCGGCAACUACUAACGGAUGCAAGUUUAAAAACUGGCGGCAACAGAGAUGCCGAUGCAAUGCUAAUGAUGCGCAUGAUGCGAUGAUGACACGACAAAUAAAAUAAGCCACACGACGAAAACGGAAAGAGAGGGGAAUCUUCUGGAACGUCGGCAUCGGGCUGUCACAAUUACAUAGGCUUUUUUAUAAAAAAUGCAGCGGUGGGUUUUCCGACGGAAGCAAUAGCCGCUUUAUUAUUAGGUAAUAGACUUUCGGAAGAAAAACACAGUGGAAAGCAAUACAUGCACUUUCACUUUGUAGUGCCAUCCACUUCCUCGUACAGUAGGCAUACACGAUCUAGAAUUAAAGCCUUAGUUUGAUCGGUAGAACCUUAAGGAUUACACACUUAUAAUAUUGUUCGUUGGUCCUGUGCAUGGUCUCGGUAAUAAAAGCAGUGCUGAUGACAAUCAUGAUUACUUUGUGUAUCCAAACCAUGACGCCCCGGAGCAAAUAAUUAUAUUUUCAUGCAUAUAGACUAGCAUGUAUGUCCGUGAGUUGCAACCGGGAGAAGUAAUUUACAUGUCCUUCGAAAUAUAUAUCAAUGCGACACGACUACAUUGGACGAAGAAGUAAUUGACAUGUCCGCCCGAAUGUAUAUCAAUGCGACCGAUUUUUCCCUUCAGCGCCGCUCCCGCGCGCGACCGGGAGGGCCACCCCAGCACCGCCGGCCUCUACCUCUCCUCCCACCUCCUCCCCUCGUCGACGCCGGGUCGUGCCUUCGAGAAAAGCCUUGUCGGUGUUGGCGACGGUGGGGCGUCCUCUUCCUUCGGCUGGCGGGCCUGGCGCGGCUAGAGAACUAGGGUUUAUCAAACCAAUAGAGUAAAAAUCAGCACCCCUCUUCAACAACUGCACAUAAAUAAGCAAACACUUGCAUCCAACGUGGUCAAGAAUGGCGAAUAGCUCUUGUGCGAUGUUUUUGAGGGAAAUUGAAAGGAGUGCGACGUCGUUGGUAAGAAUGGCUCUGCUGCGACACCUUUGUGCUCACAAAUAGCCCAGGCACGACGUGACCCUUAAGCACAAUAUGUAUCAGGAUUAGGUGGAGCCGAGCGGGACCCACAGCUUAUCCACGUCUGCAUGGGACCCAGAUGGCGGCUACUACAGUCAAACAGUUAUCCAUCCUCCCUCUUCUUCUUCUCCGGCGACGAAACACGGCAACGCCGGCGAGCUCCGAUACAGAAAAGCAGGCAAAUUUAAAAACAUUUAAAAGAAAAGAGACCGAAUUCGAACAAACAUAUACCCAUUACAGAAAAUAUCAAAAGUUCAUUACAAGGGCCACCUAACCCUCCCUGAUUACACGGGCUAGCUCCUAACCAUCUCCAAAAGUGGGCCUAGUGGUGCGGCCCCGACGUUGCGGCGGAGCCGGUCAGUCGGAGUCGGAGUCGGAGGCGCCCUACCCCCUGUCGGCGCGGGAUGCCUCGAUGGCUUGGCGGAGGCGGAUCUCGUCGAGCUCCUCUUCCCUCUGUCGGCGCGCGGCGACCCGUUGGGCCUCUUCCUUGAUGCGCUCCAUCACCUUGGCCAUGACGUCCUCGAGCUCGCCGUCGUUGAUGUAGUCCUCCGGCAGAAAGCCCGGCAGCACCAGCGCGGGUGCAAUGGCGGAGGAGCCCGCGGCAGGGGCGGUAGGGGCGGUAGAGGAGCCAGCGGCAAAGGAGCGCGCCGCUUCCACCAUCUGGCAGGGGCGGUCGUACUCCUCCACCUCGCGCCGGGGGAAGGCACGCGGUGGCGCGAGCCCCAGUUGGUGUACCUUCGGGCGCCGCNNNNNNNNNNNNNNNNNNNNNNNNNNNNNNNNNNNNNNNNNNNNNNNNNNNNNNNNNNNNNNNNNNNNNNNNNNNNNNNNNNNNNNNNNNNNNNNNNNNNNNNNNNNNNNNNNNNNNNNNNNNNNNNNNNNNNNNNNNNNNNNNNNNNNNNNNNNNNNNNNNNNNNNNNCGAGCAGCGCGGAAGCAACCCGCGCCGCCCGUUCGCGCUCCCGCUCAGACUCUGGGAUUUUCGGCGUCGGCCGCUUCGUCCUCCGGUUUCCGCCACCGGAAUGGCCACCGCGCGAGCUGGAAGAUCCUAGCCUCCCCAUGAUCUGUGCGGCGGCGAGGCUGGAAUGCGUGGGCUGGUUUUGGUGGGGUUCGCCGGCGGUGAGGGGUCGGGGCGAGAAGAGCUAGAGCGGCACAGAUCUGGAAAUAGCUAGGGUACGACACCUCACCGUAUAAACAGCUCUGAUGGGUGCUACUACGACAACAGACCUUCCCUGGCAACAGCGCCAGGAAUCCUGCUGCUACAGCUACUGUUGGGUAACGUAGCAUNAAAUCCCGAUCUCGAUUUGUACCAACCCAACAGACACUUUCGGAGGUACCCGUAGUGCACCUUUAUAGUCACCCAGUUACGUUGUGACGUUUGAUACACCCAAAGCACUCCUAAGGUAUCCAGGAGUUGCAGAAUCUCACGGUCGAAGGAAAAGAUACUUGACAUUAGGAAAGCUUUAGCAUACGAACAAUACGAUCUAGUGCUAGGCUUAGGAUUGGGUCUUGUCCAUCACAUCAUUCUCCCAAUGAUGUGAUCCCGUUAUCAAUGACAUCUAAUGCCCAUGAUCAGGAAACCAUGAUCAUCUAUUGACUAACGAGCUAGCCAACUAGAGGCUUGCUAGGGACACAUUGUGAUCUAUUCAUUCACACAUGUAUUACUGUUUCCUGUUAAUACAAUUAUAGCAUGAACGAUAGACUAUUAUCAUGAACAAGGAAAUAUGAUAAUAACCAUUUUAUUAUUGCCUCUAGGGCAUAUUUCCAACAGUCUCCCACUUGCACUAGAGUCAAUAAUCUAGUUACAUUGUGAUGUAUCGAACACCCAUAGCAUUAUGGUGUUGAUCAUGUUUUGCUCGUGGAAGAGGUUUAGUCAACGGGUCUGCAAUAUUCAGAUCUGUGUGUACUUUACAAAUAUCUAUCACUCCACUCUGGACAUGGUCCUGGAUGGAGUUGUAGCGGCACUUGAUGUGCUUCGUCUUCCGGUGAAACUUGGGCUCCUUGGCUAUGGCAAUAGCUCCAGCGUUAUCACAGAAGAGUGUCAUAGGACCCGACGCGCUUGGAACCACUCCAAGGUCGGUGAUGAGCUCCUUCAUCCAAAUUCCUUCAUGAGCCGCUUCUGAAGCAGCUAUGUACUCCGCUUCACAUGUAGAUGCUGCCACGACUUCUUGCUUGCUGCUGCACCAGCUCACUGCCCCACCAUUCAACACAUACACGUAUCCGGUCUGUGACUUAGAGUCAUCCGGAUCUGUGUCGAAGCUGGCGUCGACGUAACCCUUUACGACGAGCUCUUCGUCACCUCCAUAAACGAGAAACAUUUCCUUAGUCCUUUUCAAGUACUUAAGGAUAUUCUUGACCGCUGUCCAGUGUUCCGCACCGGGAUUACUUUGGUACCUCCCUACCAAGCUUAUGGCAAGGUUUAUAUCAGGUCUGGUACACAGCAUGGCAUACAUUAGAGAGCCCACGGCUGAAGCAUAGGGACAGAACACAUCUUCUCUCUAUCUGCUAUCGUGGUCGGCGACUGAGUCUUACUCAAUCUCAUACCUUGCAAAACUGGCAAGAACCCUUUCUUUGAGUUUUCCAUAUUGAACUUCUUCAAUAUCUUGUCAAGGUAUUUACUUUGCGAAAGACCUAUGAGGCGUCUCGAUCUAUCUCUAUAGAUCUUGAUGCCUAAUAUGUAUGCAGCUUCUCCAAGGUCCUUCAUUGAAAAACUCUUGUUCAAAUAGGCCUUUAUGCUCUCCAACAUCUCUAUAUCAUUCCCCAUCAAUAAUAUGUCAUCCACAUAUAGUACGAGGAAAGCUACAGAGCUCCCACUCACUUUCUUGUACAGACAAGCUUCUCCGUAAACCUGUAUGAACCCAAACGCUUUAAUCACUUCAUUAAAGCGAAUGUUCCAACUCCGAGAUGCUUGCACCAGCCCAUAGAUGGAGCACUGGAGCUUGCACACUUUGUUAGCACCCUUAGGGUCGACAAAACCUUCUGGUUGCAUCAUAUACAACUCUUCCUUAAGGUUCCCGUUAAGGAACGCCGUUUUGACGUCCAUUUGCCAAAUUUCAUAGUCAUAAAAGGCGGCAAUUGCUAACAUGAUUCGGACUGAUUUCAGCUUCGCUACGGGAGAGAAAGUCUCUUCGUAGUCAACUCCUUGAAUUUGUCGAAAACCCUUUGCGACAAGUCGAGCUUUGUAAACGGUUACAUUACCGUUUGCAUCAGUCUUCUUCUUGAAGAUCCAUUUAUUUUGUAUGGCUCGCCGGUCAUCGGGCAAGUCCACCAAAGUCCAUACUUUGUUCUCAUACAUGGAUCCUAUCUCGGAUUUCAUGGGCUCAAGCCAUUUGUUGGAAUCCGGGCCCGCCAUUGCUUCUUCAUAGAUCGAAGGUUCACCGUUGCCUAACAAAAUGAUUUCCAUCACAGGGUUGCCGUACCACUCUGGCGCGGAGCGUACCCUUGUGACCUUCGCGGUUCAGUAGUAACUUGAUCCGAAGCUUCAUCAUUAACUUCCUCUUCAGUCGGUGUAGGUGCCACAGGAACAACUUUCUGCGCUGCGCUACUUUCCUGUUCGAGAGGGGGUGUAAUUACCUCAUCAAGUUCUACCUUCCUCCCACUUACUUCUUUCGAGAGAAACUCUUUCUCUAGAAAGGAUCCGUUCUUGGCAACAAAGGUUUUACCUUCGGAUCUAAGAUAGAAGGUAUACCCAAUAGUUUCCUUAGGGUAUCCUAUGAAUACCCAUUUCUCCGCUUUGGGUUCGAGCUUUUCUGGUUGAAGUUUCUUCACAUAAGCAUCGCAGCCCCAAACUUUAAGAAACGACAACUUAGGUUUCUUGCCAAACCAUAGUUCAUACGGUGUCGUCUCAACGGAUUUAGACGGUGCCCUAUUUAAAGUGAAUGCUGCAGUUUCUAAUUCGUAUCCCCAAAAUGAUAGUGGCAAGUCGGUGAGAGACAUCAUAGAUCGUACCAUAUCUAAUAAAGUGUGAUUACAACGUUCAGACACUCCGUUGCGCUGCGGUGUGCCAGGCGGCGUCAGUUGUGAAACGAUUCCACACUUUCUUAGGUGUGUGCCAAACUCGUGACUCAAAUAUUCACCUCCACGAUCGGAUCGUAGACAUUUAAUUUUUCUGUCACGUUGAUUCUCAACCUCACUCUGAAAUUCCUUGAACUUUUCAAACGUCUCAGAUUUGUGCUUCAUCAAGUAGAUAUACCCAUACCUACUCAAGUCAUCGGUGAGGGUGAGAACAUAACGAUAACCACCGUGAGCUUCAACGUUCAUUGGACCACACACAUUAGUAUGUAUUAUUUCCAAUAAGUCGGUUGCUCUCUCAAUUAUUCCUGAGAAUGGAGUCUUAGUCAUCUUGCCCAUGAGGCACGGUUCGCAUGUGUCAAAUGAUUCAAAGUCAAGAGACUCUAGUAGUCCAUCAGUAUGGAGCUUCUUCAUGCGCUUAACGCCGAUAUGACCAAGGCGGCAGUGCCACAAGUAUGUGGGACUAUCAUUAUCAACUUUGCAUCUUUUGGUACUCACACUAUGAAUAUGUGUAACAUCACGAUCGAGAUUCAUCAAGAAUAAACCAUUCACCAGCGGAGCAUGACCAUAAAACAUAUCACUCAUAUAAAUAGAACAACCAUUAUUCUCUGACUUAAAUGAGUAGCUGUCUCGCAUUAAGCAAGACCCUGAUACAAUGUUCAUGCUUAAAGCUGGUACUAAAUAACAAUUAUUAAGGUUUAAAACUAAUCCCGACGGUAGAUGUAGAGGCAGCGUGCCGACGGCGAUCACAUCGACCUUUGAACCAUUCCCGACGCGCAUCGUCACCUCGUCCUUGGCCAGUCUCCGCUUAUUCCGCAGUUCCUACUUUGAGUUGCAAAUGUGAGCAACAACACCGGUAUCAAAUACCCAGGAGCUACUACGAGCACUGGUAAGGUACACAUCAAUAACAUGUAUAUCACAUAUACCUUUAACGUUGCCGGCCUUCUUGUCCGCUAAGUAUUUGGGGCAGUUCCGCUUCCAGUGACCCUUUCCCUUGCAAUAGAAGCACUCAGUCUCAGGCUUGGGUCCGUUCUUUUUCUUCUUCCCGGCAUCUGGCUUACCGGGCGUGGCAACAGCUUUGCCGUCUUUCUUGAAGUUCUUCUUACCCCUGCCUUUCUUAAAACUAGUGGUCUUGUUGACCAUCAACACUUGAUGCUCCUUCUUGAUCUCUACUUCUGCAGACUUGAGCAUCGAUUACAACUCGGGAAUGGUUUUCUCCAUACCUUGCAUGUUGUAGUUAAGCACAAAGCCUUUGUAGCUUGGUGGGAGAGACUGGAGGAUUCUGUCAAUUAUAGCAUCAUCCGGAAGUUCGACUCCAAGUGAAGUCAGACGACCGUGUAACCCAGACAUUUUGAGUAUGUGCUCAGUGACAGAACUGUUCUCCUCCAUCUUACAGCUAAAGAACUUGUCGGAGACUUCAUAUCUCUCGACACGGGCAUGAGCUUGAAAAACUAGCUUCAGCUCUUGGAACAUCUCAUAUGCCCCGUGUUGCUCAAAACGCCUUUGGAGCCCCGUUUCUAAACUGUAUAACUUGCCACACCUGACCAGAGAGUAGUCAUCACUCCGCGCUUGCCAGACGUUCAGAAUGUCCUGGGCUGCUGCGAGAUCGGGAGGGUCACCUAGCGGCGCAUUAAGGACAUAAGCCUUUUUAGCUGCUUCAAGGAUGAGCUUCAGGUUGCGAACCCAGUCCGCAUAGUUGCUACCAUCAUCUUUCAGCUUGUUUUUCUCUAGGAAUGCGUUGAAGUUGAGGUUGACGUUUGACAUCUACAAUAUUUGUAAAGACAACUUUUAGACUAAGUUCAUGACAAUUAAGUUCAUUUAAUCAAAUUAAGUAUGAACUCCCACUUAAAUCGACAUCCCUCUAGUCAUCUAAGUGAUACAUGAUCCAUGUUGACUAACCCGUGUCCGAUCAUCACGUGAGACGGACUAGUCAUCAUGGUGAGCAACUUCAUGCUGAUCGUAUUCAACCAUACGACUCAUGUUCGACCUUUCGGUCUCUUGUAUUCGAGGUCAUGUCUGUACAUGCUAAGCUCGUCGAGUCAACCUAGGUGUUUCGCGUGUGUAAAUCUGGCUUACACCCGUUGUAUGCGAAUGUUAGAAUCUAUCACACCCGAUCAUCACGUGGUGCUUCGAGACAACGAACCUUCGCAACGGUGCACACUUAGGGGAAUACGUUCUCGAAAUUUUAAAAGGGAUCAUCUUAUUAUGCUACCGUCGUUUUAAGCAAUAAGAUGUAAAACAUGAUAAACAUCACAAUGCAAUCACAUAGUGACAUGAUAUGGCCAUUAUCAUCUUUGCUCUUUCGAUCUCCAUCUUCAGGCAUCGCAUGAUCAUCAUCGUCACCAGCGUGACACCAUGAUCUCCAUCAUCAUGAUCUCCAUCAUCGUGUCUCCGUGAAGUCGUCACGCCAACUACUACUAUCACUACUACUACAGCUAACCGUUAGCAAUGAAGUAAAAGUAGUAAGCACAUGGCGUUGCAUCUCAUACAAUAAAUUAAGACAACUCCUAUGGCUCCUGCCGGUUGUCAUACUCAUCGACAUGCAAGUCGUGAAACCUAUUACAAUAACAUGAUCAUCUCAUACAUCAUACAUGCAACAUCACAACUUUGGCCAUAUCACAUCACAUGUCAAACCCUGCAAAAACAAGUUAGACGUCCUCUACUUGUUGUUGCAAGUUUUACGUGGCUGAUUUGGGUUUCUAGCAAGAACGCCUUCUCACCUACGUGACAGCCACAACGAUGAUAUGCCAAAGCUAUUUACCCUUCAUAAGGACCCUUUUCAUCAAAUCCAAUCCGACUAGAGUAGGAGAGACAGACACCCGCUAGCCACCUUUAUGCACGGUGUGCAUGUCUGUCGGUGGAACCAGUCUCACGUAAGUGUACGUGUAAAGUCGGUCCGGGCCGCUUCAUCCCACAAUACCGCCGGAAAAGAAUAAGACUAGUAACGGCAAGCAAAUUGACAAAUCAUCGCCCACAACUUUUGUGUUCUACUCGUGCAUAGAAUCUUGCAUAGAAAACCUGGCUCGGAUGCCACCGUUGGGUAACGUAGCAUAAAUUCAAAAAAUUUCCUACGCAUGUUCAGAUCUUCCUAUGGAGAGACCAGCAAGGAGAGAGGGGUAAGAGCAUCUUCGUACCUUUGAAGAUCGCUAAGCGUAAGCGUUUCUAGAACGCGGUUGAUGGAGUCGUACUCUCAGCGAUUCCGAUCUAGUGCCGAACAACGGCACCUCCGCGUUCAACACACGUGCAGCCCGGUGACGUCUCCCGCACCUUGAUCCAGCAAGGAGGAGGGAGAGGUUGGGGAAGAAGUCCAGCAACACGACGGCGUGGUGUCGGUGGAGAGAUCAGGUCUCCCGGCAGGGCUUCGCCAAGCGCCGGCAGAGAGGAGGAGGGAGAGGAGCAGGGCUGCGCCGAGAGAGAGAUGAAACCGUGUGUAAAACAGCCCCGAACCCUCAACUAUAUAUAUGGGGAGAGGGAGGGGGCGCAGCCCUUAGGGUUCCCACCCCCAAGGGGUGCGGCAGCCCUAGAUGGAGAGGGGGGUGGCGGCCAGGGCAAGGAGGAGGGGUGGCGCACCCCUCUGGUGGGCCUUAGGCCCACCUAAGCUAGGGUUCCCCCCUUCCCCCUUUUUUCUGGUGCGCAUGGGCUGGGUGGGGGCGCACCAGCCCACCUAGGGGCUGGUUCCCUUCCCCACUUAGCCCAUCUAGCCUCCCGGGGUCGUUGCCCCCCUUCGGUGGUCCCGGUGGUCCCGGGACGUUACCGGUGACGCCCGAAACACUUCCGGUGUCCAAAACCAUCCGUCCUAUAUAUCAAUAUUUACCUCCGGACCAUUCCGGAGCUCCUCGUGACGUCCGGGAUCUCAUACGGGACUCCGAACAACUUUCGGUAACCUCGUACAACAAUUCCCUAUAACCCUAGCGUCAUCGAACCUUAAGUGUGUAGACCCUACGGGUUCGGGAGACACGCAGACAUGACCGAGACACCUCUCUGGCCAAUAACCAUCAGCGGGGUCUGGAUACCCAUGGUGGCUCCCACUAGCUCCACGAUGAUCUCAUCGGAUGAACCACGAUGUCAAGGAUUCAAUCAAUCCCGUAUACGAUUCCCUUUGUCUCUUGGUAUAGAACUUGCCCGAGAUUCGAUCGUCGGUAUACCUAUACCUUGUUCAAUCUCGUUACCGGUAAGUCUCUUUACUCGUUCCGUAGCACGUCAUCGUGUGACUAACUCCUUAGUCACAUUGAGCUCAUGAUGAUGUUCUACCGAGUGGGCCCAGAGAUACCUCUCCGUCACACGGAGUGACAAAUCCCGAUCUCGAUUCGUACCAACCCAACAGACACUUUCGGGGGUACCCGUAGUGCACCUUUAUAGUCACCCAGUUACGUUGUGACGUUUGAUACACCCAAAGCACUCCUACGGUAUCCGGGAGUUGCACAAUCUCACGGUCGAAGGAAAAUAUACUUGACAUUAGAAAAGCUUUAGCAUACGAACAAUACGAUCUAGUGCUAGGCUUAGGAUUGGGUCUUGUCCAUCACAUCAUUCUCCCAAUGAUGUGAUCCCGUUAUCAAUGACAUCUAAUGCCCAUGAUCAGGAAACCAUGAUCAUCUAUUGACUAACGAGCUAGCCAACUAGAGGCUUGCUAGGGACACAUUGUGAUCUAUUCAUUCACACAUGUAUUACUGUUUCCUGUUAAUACAAUUAUAGCAUGAACGAUAGACUAUUAUCAUGAACAAGGAAAUAUGAUAAUAACCAUUUUAUUAUUGCCUCUAGGGCAUAUUUCCAACAGCUACGCCUAUAGGGACUUCAUUGGCAAAUAUGCAAAGGAUUUCCCCGCGGCCUUGGAGCCUUGCGUUGGUGUUCCCCUGAAGAGGAAAGGGUGAUGUAGCACAGCGGCGGUAAGUAUUUCCCUCAGUUUGAGAACCAAGGUAUCAAUAUAGUAGGAGGAGCAUUCAAGUCACAAGUACCUGCACAAACACAAAGAGCUUGCACCCAACGCUAUGAAGGGGUUGUCAAUCCCUUAUAGAUUGUUUGCAAAGUGAGAAUUGAAAGCAAAGAGUAAAGAAAGCAAAGUAAAAGUGAAAGUGGAAACGAUAGUUGUGAAUAGACCCGGGGGCCGUAGUGUUCACUAGUGGCUUCUCUCAUGAAAGCAAGUAGACGGUGGGUGAACGAAUUACUGUCGAGCAAUUGAUAGAACCACGCAAAGUCGUGACGUUAUCUAUGGCAAUGAUUAUAUCUAUAGGCAUCACGUCCAAAACAAGUAGACCGAUACUUUCUGCAUCUACUACUAUUACACCACACGUCGACCGCUAUCCAGCAUGCAUCUAGUGUAUUAAGUUCAAAAGAACAGAGUAACGCCUUAAGCAAGAUGACAUGAUGUAGAUGAACAAUCUCAAAUCUAUGAUGAAAGCCCAUCUUGUUACCCUUGAUGACAACAACACGAUGCGUGCCUUGCUGCCCCUUCUGUCACUGGGAAAGGUCACCACACGGUAUGAACCCAAAACCAAGCACUUCUCCCAUUGCAAGAAUCAUAGAUCUAGUUGGCCAAACAAAACCCAAGACUCCGAGAGACUUACAAGGAUAUCAAAUCAUGCAUAUAAGAAAAUCAGCAAAGACUCAAAUAUAAUUCAUAGAUAAUCUGAUCACAAAUCCACAAUUCAUCGGAUCUCGACAAACACACCGUCAAAGAGGAUUACAUCGGAUAGAUCUCCAUGAAGAUCAUGGAGAACUUUGUAUUAAAGAUCCAAGAGAGAGAAGAAGCCAUCUAGCUACUAACUACGGACCCGUAGGUCUGAAGUGGACUACUCACGAGUCAUUGGAGAAGCGAUGAUGUUGAUGUAGAAGCCCUCCAACUCCAAAGUCCCCUCCGGCAGGGCACCGGGAAGGGUCUCCAGAUGAGAUCUCGCGGAAACGGAAGCUUGCGGCGGCGGAAAAGUGUUUUUGUGGAUGCCCUAAUUUUUUCUGUGAUUUUAGGGAAUUUAUAGGCCAAAGAGCUAGGGCAGGGGAGCGCCAGGGAGGCCACAAGCCUGGUUGCCGUGGGCCCCCCUGGCCGCGGCAACAGGGCUUGUGGGCUCCCUGUGGGCCCCCUGCCUUGGCCCUCACGUCCCCCGAUCUUUUUCUGUUCUGGAAAAUUUUAUUUCGGGGAUUUUAUUCCGUUUGGACUCCGUUCCAAAAUAAGAUCUGAAAAGAGUCAAAAACACAGAAAAAACAGGAACUCACACUUGGCACUGAACUAAAAAGUUAGUCCAAAAAAGAUAUACAAGGUAUAUAAAACAUCUAAAGUUGACAAGAUAAUAGCGUGAAACCAUCAAAAAUUAUAGAUACGUUCGAGACGUAUCAAUGGGACACUGAUGUGACGCUCGAUGACUUCCCUGGCCCACGGGUCAGUUUGACCGGUCAGCCCGAGCGCCCUACUGUGUUUCCAACGAGGUUGCCCUGUUUUCAGUUUUCAGUUUAAAUACAUACACGUUUUUUAUGUAAAAUAAAUACACAUGUAUAUUUUUGUUCGAGGUGUAAACGAAGAGCAAUUUACAGGUGUAAGCGAAAACGAAAACGGCGAACAAACUGGUCUGUUUAAAUGUUUGUCAAACUUUGGUUUGACCAAGUUUGAAAUGAGCAUAAAAAAUAUAUUGAAAAACGAGUGCACAUAUUCUUACUUUGUCAUAUACUAACAACUCAAAUUGAUUUGGCUGUUUUAGACAUGAUGGACAAAAAAACUUGUUUUAGAAAUGGGGUAUUUACCGCCUUUGAAGCUAAUUUAUAACUCACGUGUCAAGACAAAUGGUUUUGGGUGUUGAACUCCAAACUUUCAAAAACUUCACAAAAGCUUCAUUUUGGAGUGACUAAGAAUGAUCCAGUAUUGGUUUGUCAUUUUCAUGUUUGCAACUUGUUUAAAUGUUUGUCAAACUUAGGUUUGACCAAGUUUGAAAUGAGCAUAAAAAAUUUAAAAAAAAUUGGGAAACCAGUAUACAUGUUCUUACUUUGUCAUAUACUAACAACUCAAAUUGAUUGGCACCAGUUUUCUAUUUUUUUGAUUUUUUUUUUUUGAAUUACUUAUGCUGAACCCUAACUUUUAAAAACCGUACAACCUCGUUCGUGAUAGCCAAGUUUGUGAAGGUUUUUUCAUGAAAAACUCCAUAGUCCAGAUUUCUUAUUUUUCCUAUGAAGUUAGUCACAUAUAAUGAUGAUUGCCACAAAUUUUCUAUUUUUUUUUAUUUUUUAAUUACUUAUGCUCAACCCUGAUGUUUGAAAACCCCAUCAAAACCCUCUCAAAACCCCGCACCUGUCCGGACCAUUGGAUCGCCGUGAAUGAACGAUCUGGAUCAGGCAGUAGAGCUACGUCAGCGAUCCGCGGGCUGUGCUUUUAUUGAUCAAAGUUGUGAAGCAACUAUGUUUUAUGUUUUGGAUUGGUCUUAUGUUUUAAUUAAAGGUUUCACAAGAGUACUACGUACGGACGUAUACAUAUAUAUUUUAAAAUAUAGAUUCACUUAUUUUGCUCCCUAUUUAGCCCCUAGUGAAAUUUCUAAAAAGAAAUUAUAUUUCGAAACCGAAAGAUUAGUACUAUUCCUAUUUCAAUUCUAACACUAAUCCUACACGGACACAAUGUAUACACACAUGUAUAUGUACGUGACACGGACACAGACGUUGAGUUUAAUUCCAACAGGUGUUAAAUCAUAGGACAGGGGUGUUUAUCAACUUUUUUUUACUUCUCCAGGUCAUGUGCUGGUCUGUUAGGAAGUUGUUUCCAGUGCAGUGUAGUUUAUUUUUUAAGUGAGUUUACACUGUAAUAGAUAAUGGAAUAAGAAAAUUCUGGAUUGCUGGAUUACAGGGGAAUUAAUAGUUGAUUUUUUCUGGGUGUAAUUAGUAGUUGAUUUUUUCUGGGCGUAAUUAAUAGUUAAUUUACACUGUUUUUCUUAGUGGGGUUGUAGUGUACUUUGAUUUUUUUUUUGAAACUAUAAUGGUCUGUUGAAAUGAAGUGCAUAAUUUACAAAGUAAUUUUUUGUGGAAUUUCUGUGUACUUCUACUUUAUUUUACAUUGUAUUUGUUAGUGAUUUGCAUUCGAUUUUUAGUUGUUUUUGCUCUGUAAAUCUUAGUGGAGUUCUUAGUAUAUUUUUUGUACUUUCACAGUGCUUUUUUACUGAUAUUUAAAAAUAGCAGGAAUUUUUGUGUAGUUCUUUUUGUGGCUUUAGUGAAUUAUACACUAGAAAAUCUUUAUUGAAUUCCAGUUCAUGUACUUUUAGUGAAUUUUACACUGUAUUUCCAAAUGGCAUUUUAGUGGAAUUAUAGUGCAAAUUUAGUGGUUUUCUAAAUUGUAAUUCUUAGUGAUGUUGUUAGUGUAAGUUUUGUCCUAAUUUGUAAGUGGACACUGUAGUUGCUAUCGGGUUUGAAAAGUUUUGGAUGUAGACUCGUUAAUAGUUUGGGGGUGUGGACCUAUUUCGAAAUGAAUUACGGAACAAAAAUAUGACUGAAAGCGAUUUUGUUUUCAUCCAUAUGUAAAAUAGACAGUCUCUAGUAAAAUGCAUGUUGGCAAAAUUGUAUUUUCUUCUAGACUUUUCUCACCUUGUUAACACUUGAUGGUCCCUUGUUGUUUGCAGGUUGCUUCACAUCAGGUAGGUCUUGUACACGAAUUUAUGUCUUUGCCUCAAGUUUAUCGGUACAGCGUGGGUGGGUGCGGCAAGGUUAUUACCUAGAGGGUGUUUGGAUAUGUUUUAGUCUCAUGACUAAAAGUAAUGAGACUAAAACUUGCUAGCCACAUCAAGUUUGGAUCCAAGUACUAAAAAGACUAAAAUCAAGUUAAUGAACAUUUAUUAUCCUUCAAACCCUUCAAUCCAGAACUUUCCUGAGGAGUUAAAUGAGGAGAAAGAUGACUAAUGCACAUUUUAGUAGGGGUAUCCCUGACUAAAAGAUUUUAGCCUCAAGUCUAGUUUUAGUCUCUCUUUAGUCAGGGGUGCUUGGAACUUUAGCCUCUUAAAAAGACUAGUUUUAGUCAGACUAGUUUUAGUCUCUUGAAUCCAAGCACCUUCCUAACCUUGAUGCGACAACAGUCUUCAACAUCCUCGUACUUAAUCAGAACUGACUUUAACUUUUCAAAAGGUUGCUUAAAUAAUAUAAAGAGCAUGCACCACCUACCACCCACUAUAGAUAUCCUACAAAUAUACCUAUUACAGUAGAGAAAGACGGUCUCGAAAGCAGAGUCUCAUUGUAGUGACUAGGUAUAGGGAGAGGAAGGAAAUUGUUAACUCUUUUAUGAUAGCUACCUAGACUCGUGUAAUCCUAUAUAACUAAAAAGGCGAUCAAUAAUAAUAUGUUUCUCUUAACAUGCAGAUAUGUCAUUUCCCAUUAUCCUUUUGCAGGCAAUAAUAUAUAUAAUGGGAACUGCUCCCCAGCAGUUUCAUUCUAUUUCUCGAUACUCCUAUUUAAAUUCCAUAAAUUGUUUAUAACAAUACAAUAAUCAUAUUCAUAUACUAUGAUCAUCUAUAUGUUUCUUUUAGUUCCAGUUCUCAUAAUAUUAAUUAGAAAUGUUCAUGUUCCAUACAACCAAAUACCAUUACAUGCAGCUAAUUCUCACAGGAACACAUAAGAUAUCGCCUAGUAAAUUCUAGCGAUACACUCCCAAACAAAACAAGAAGAAUUAAACUGGUCACGCACAUAGGUAGCAGGCAGGGAUGGCUGUAAUUAAACAGCUAGCUAUGAGAGCACCAUUAGUUGUGUUGCGGGAUGCGAAAUAGGGCCGCGUGAUCAGCGAGCAUCCACACAACAGUGGUGAGGUCGCCGCCACGGCCAAGCUGCUUGGCAUGGGAACCACGGCUGCACCGUGUGGACGCAUGUAGGAGCAAACGCACCCAUGCACCCAAGAUGUGUCCCAACAUGUUCUGCAUCUCCAGAGUCUCCGACUCUGUCCUCCUCCAACCACCACAAGUCGGGCUUCUUAAUAUCUAUCUUGUCGUUCGGAUCCAUCUCAUGUUUUGUACUCUUUUUCCUUGAUGAGUUUUCUCUAAUGGUUUCUCAUAAAAAGGUUUUAAAUGAGAUAAAAUAAACACAAGUGUCUAUAUAUGUCAUAUCAUUUUCUUCUUAUAUUUUUCUCAUUGGGUUUUAAAAGAGUUUUCAGUGGCAUGUACGAUUGCACUCUUUUUCCUUAUGAGUUUUCUCUCAAAGUUUCUCAUAAUGGUUUUUAGUGAGGCAAUAUCUUCUCAAAGAUCAUAUGUCAUACUUUCUAUAUUCCCUAUUGAGGCUUUUAAAAGAAGUACUUAGGACAUAUUAAUUGUUCUCCAAACUUAUUGAUGAGUUUUCUCCUUCUUCAAAACUUUUUCUCAUAUAAGUUAUCAAGAGACAAUAAUCAUCAUAUGUUGCAUCAUUUUCUCCUUACUUUUCCCACUAGGUUUAAAGGAGUUUUAGCAACAUAUCUACUCUAUUCUCCUCAUGUUUUUCCCACAUGGUUUUUGGGGAGACUCUCAAGAUUAUAUGAAAGAUUUAUCAAGAUGGAAGAUCUAUACACAAGAAGCUGUGAAGAAUGAAACAUUCAAUGAACGAUGUUGUACAAGGGGGGUGUUAGAAAUUAAUUAGCAAAGGGUGUCCAAUCCCGAACAAUAAUGUCUCUUCUCUCUCUCUAUUGCCAACAGGCGGCUGUUCUGGAGGGAUGUCUCGAAACAGACACCUCUUCUUCCCACCUCUUCCAGAUGUAUAUAUACUUGAGAAUCAAUAGAAACAUGACUAAUCGUCCAUUCAUUUUUUAUUCCAUUUCGUUUUAAUCUAACACUUUUCAUCUGGAUAGUUGUUUACAAGGGGUACGUGGAUAUAUAUACUACUCAGCCUAGCCAACUACUCCCUCUGUUUCUAAAUAUAAGUCUUUUUAAAGGUUCGACAAGAGUACUACGUAUGGACCUAUACAUAUAUAUUUUAAAAUAUAGAAUCACUUAUUUUGCUCCCUAUUUAGCCCCUAGUGAAAUUUCUAAAAAGAAUUAUAUUUAGAAACCGAAAGAGUACAGUACUAUUCCUAUUCCAAUUCUAACACUAAUCCUACACGGACACAAUGUAUACACAUGUAUAUGUACGUGACACGGACUCAGACGUUGAGUUUAAUUCCAACAGUUUCUGGCAGAUUAUUUGCAAUGUGUUGCAAAUCUAUGAUCCUCUGAACUUCAGUUUUAGAUUCUUUAGUACGUGGAUCUAAGGACUGAAUGCAUGUUACAUUCCAAUCUAUUUCCUGGCAUUCUUUGUGGUUUGAUUCUCCCCCUAAUGCCGGGAAAUGGUCCUCAUCAAAAAUUGAAUCGGCAUAGCAGGCAGUAAACAGGUCCCCUGUAAGUUAAUAAUUGACGAAGAAUUAUAACCCACAUAGAUCCCUAGUUUUCUGUGGGGGCCCAUGGAUGUACGAUGCGGUGGUGAUAUCGGUACGUAUACUGCGCAACCGAAUUUUCGCAGAUGGGAAAUACUUGGCUGAGUGUCACGUACUUGUUGCAGUGGGGAGGUUGUAUGAUAUGCAGUUGGUCUGAUUUGUAUCAAAUCUGCGGCGUGUAAUACCGCAUGUGCCCAACAAGAUGCUGGUAAAUUACAAUUCUGUAAUAGUGGUCGAGCAACUAAUUUUACUCUUUUGAUGAGAGACUCGGCCAAACCAUUUUGAGUAUGGACAUAAGGCACAGAAUGUUCUAAAUGAAUGCCCAUAGCCAUGCAGUAGUCAUUGAAUGCUCGUGAAGAGAAUUCAGCGGCAUUGUCCAUUCGAAUUGUUUUUAUCCUAUUUUCAGGAUGAUUUGCUCUUAAUUUGAUAAUUUGAGAAAUUAUCUUGGCAAAAGCAUGAUUUCGUGUGGACAAUAGACAUACAUGUGACCAUCUAAUAGAUGCAUCUAUGAGCACCAUGAAAUAUCUAAAAGGUCCUGAUAGUGGUUGAAUUGGACCACAUAUAUCUCCUUGAAUGCGUUCAAGAAAGUUAAGUGACUCACUUUUUACCUUAAGAUAAGAUGGUCUUAUAAUUAAUUUCCCAGUUGCACAUGCGGUGCACACAAAAUCUGAUGAUUUUGGGAAAAUUUUAGUUGGAAGGCUAUGACCAAUAGAAUUGUCAAUAAUUUUUCUCAUCAUCCCUAUGCCAGGAUGACCUAGGCGAUCAUGCCAAGUCUUGAAUUUAUCAAGAUCUUGAAAAAUUAUUUUGUACGCACCAUGUGGUACGGGUUUUAUAUAACUGUAAUAUAAUCCAGAUGAAAGUGAGGGGAAUUUUUCAAGAAUUUGUUUCUCAGACCCAUUACUUUUUGUUAAAAUCAAAUAUCCAGAAUUAUUUUCAGAAAUUGUUUCCAGAUGGAAAUUAUUUGAUUUGAGGUCUUUGAAACUUAGAAGGGUGCGUAGAUUCAGGAUACAAGAGUGCAUUCUCAAUUACAAUCGUAGUACCCAUAGGUAGAACAAGUGUGGCUCGUCCUGAACCAAUAAUUGAUGCAUCGUGACCGGCGAUUGUCAUAAUAUUUCCUUUUCUCUUAGUUAGAGUUUGGAAAUAUUUUAUUUCCCUUAAAAUUGUGUUAGUGGUAGAACUGUCCACCAAACAUAAUUCUUCUUCCAUUGAAUUAUUUUCCCGUAAAAUCUAUAUAGAGUAAGAGAAUAUUUUACGAAACUUUAUUCAUAUUACUCACAUAUAAAUAUACAUAUACAAAGUAUUCAUAUUAUAGUUACAAAUAGAAAUAUGAUAUUAUGUUUGAACUACAUAAUACGAUUGGUCCGUAGGACUUUAUUCUACUUAGAGUUAUACAAAUUAUAACAUCCAUUAUUACAAUAAAAUAGCUGAUAACAUCAAAUGAGUGAUGUGGAGAUUAUAUGAGAUCUCCAUAUGCGUCUUGGGUGUAUUCCACCAUCAGGUUGUCAAUAUCAAGAAGGUCUUCAUCCUGCCUUGUUUCGUUAGGAGCGCUUUGAGAAGUGCUAGCUUCAAGGUUUCCUUCUUGUUGUAAAGCGUUGAAGUGAGCUUCGGCUUUCCCAUGAACUUGUUUGCCUUUCCCAGUGUAUUUGAUGUAUAAAUCCGCUAGAUGCUUGGGAGUUCGGCAUUUGCUAGUACGAUGGUUAGUACAUCCACACCUUUGAUAAAUCUCGGAGUUGGUGCUUCGGUCAUUUUUCUUGAAGUGACAUGUACCUUUAGAUUGACCAAAGCUUUUCUGCUUGUUGUUCUUUUUCCACUUUCCAUUGAAUUUCUUGAAAUUCUUUUUGUUGCCCCCAUACUUUUUAGUAAACUGAGUGUUAGCAUGUGCUUCAGGGAGUGGCAUUGAGUCCGUUGGGCGUGUUUGAUGAUUCUUCAUGAGAAGUUCAUCAUGUUUCUCAGCCUGAAGUAAAGUGUAUAUGAGCUCAGAAUACUUUUUGUAUUUCUGUUGACGGUACUGCUGUUGUAGUACCCUCAUCGAGGGGUGGAAAGUGCACAAGGUCUUCUCAAUAAGGUCUUCUUCAGAAAUUGCUUCAUUGCAAAACCUUAGUUUUGAGUUAACCUUGUAAACUGCAGAAUUAUAUGCUGCCACAGAUUUGAAGUCUUGGAACCUUAUGAGGGACCAUUCUCUCUGUGCUUCUGGCAGCAUAACUGCUCUUUGUUGGUCAUAUCUCUCCUUGAGAGAGUUCCACAAAGUUAGUGGAUCUUCUUCCAUCAAAUAUUCCGACUUUAAGUUGGGAUGGAGAUGGUGCCUUAAGAAACUUAAAGCAGUAUAUUUGGCUGUCAUGGGGAUUUCUCCGGCGCCUUCAUCGGGUGUGGUGAUAAUAAAACCGAGUUUACGACUUUCGAGGGCUAUCUUUGCAUCCAUAGCCCAUGGCAAAUAGUUACUACCAUCUAGUUCAAGUUCAUGAAAUUCACGAUGCAUGACGCCAGCCAUUUCCUGUAUGGUAUUUUCAUGCAUAAUUUAGUUUUACUAUGAUAGUAAAAUAUAAGGAACAAUUAAUGCUUUGAUGAAGCAAAAUUUAUAAGUAUAGCUGAUUCUUUAUACUUAUAUGUGUAGACCUCAUUUUUUUUAUGUAUAUGCCACUUUGAAGAUAGUCACCGUUGCGGUGUAGAUCUCGCAGUAAUGAAGGGCAUAUUCUGGUUUUGACCAGUAGAUGUUCAUAUGUCCAUUACUUUUGUGUCAUACUACAUUUUACAAAAUCACUUUAAAGGUAAUCAUCUUGUCAAAAGACUGGAUGUAAAGCUCAUAGCGAGAGUGGAUAAUCUGCAAAUUAUGCAGUAGAUCACACAAUUGCCUUGUGAUUUGCAAAAUAAAAUUCGAGGUAGUCACUUUAGUUCGUAUAUUUUGGGAGAGCACUCUGAGAUAGUCAUUUUGCCAACAGAAUGGAGGCAAAAUUUUGAUCUUUUAGUGAUGAGGAUAAUUUGCAAAGUGCAAUAGAUGCCUCAUCUAAAUUGUGUUCCCGAAAUUUGAAUUGUAAAAAGAAAAUAUUGUACUUGAAAACUACAUAUUUAAAAAAAAUGAAAAAUGCUGAGGCAAUCAUAUAGAAUAUGUACAUAUUCCGAGACUUUAUUUUAGACAAUACAUAGUCUAAUUAUUCAAACGUACAAUGCAAUACCGAGUGAAUAUAAUAAUCAGAGGUUCUUAAUACAGUGAGAUAUCACACCUAAAUAAAAGAAACAGGCUGCUACAAUAUAGUAAUACUGUGAUUAUACUAACACAACAUACUAAUUGUUACUUUAUUUAGGCAAUCUAUACGUGGUGGAUUCUUGGCCUGUAGGCCUUUGUGGAGAGAAAGAACGUGGCCCGGUGGCCUUUUUGCAAAGAGAGAACGUGGCUGCAGGGAGAGAACGUGGCUGGUGGCCUAUGCAUCCAUACGGAAGGAUAAGGGAGCCUGGGAACACGCAUGCGAGGGUUUCCCACAGCGCCGCCGCUCCCAUUCUCUCGUAUUUCCUCUCGAUCUGGAAGCCACCACGCUGGCCCUCCUUUCCCGUUUCCCCUCUUCACUCGAUCUGGUGGUGCACAGCACCUGUCCAAGCCAUCUCUCCAUUUCCAUGGUCGUCCUCCUCUUGAUCUGGUGCUGCUUGCGCUGCCGCAAGGCUCCUGCCGCUGCUGCUCUCCGUGGGGGCGUCGGCGAGGCCGAGGGCCGCCGGUGACCAUGCGCCCCGGAGUGCGGCUCGGUUAUGGGCCAUGGCUGCGGCAAACUGCCGCAGGAUGCGGCGUGCUACUGGUGGAGGAGUGGGAGGAAGGGGUGGUGCUGGCGGUGUCGACGAGGAGUCGUGCCCUUCCAUCUCUUCCUCUCCCAUCUUGGCCUCAAUGUUCAGAUCCGGGACGGUGGGGGUGCCAUGGAGUUCUUCUGCAGCCGGAGUUGGGGACGGGAGUUCCGGGAUUGGGCCGUAUCCCGGAGGGAAGAAGUGCUCCGGAAGUUCGUCCGACGGCGUCAGUGUCGGCAGCCACGGCGAUGCGCCCGUAUGUGCCGGGCACGGGAGGUGCUGCAGGCAGUACGGUGGGAGUGGUGGCAGGGGCUUGUCAUGGGAGCAACUCCUCUUCUCCGAGAAACGGGGCUGAUGGCCCUGCAACCAGCCACUCCAUCGGAGGGAUGGAGAAAGCGGUUGGAGGAGUUCCCGGUCCGGUCACGUUGGCGGCGACUGUGUUGGAAAUAUGCCCUAGAGGCAAUAAUAAAUUAGUUAUUAUUAUAUUUCUUAGUUCAUGAUAAUCGCUUAUUAUCCAUGCUAUAAUUGUAUUGAUUGGAAAUACAAUACUUGUGUGGAUACAUAGACAAAACACUGUCCCUAGUAAGCCUCUAGUUGACUAGCUCGUUGAUCAAAGAUGGUCAAGGUUUCCUGGCCAUAGGCAAGUGUUGUCACUUGAUAACGGGAUCACAUCAUUAGGAGAAUCAUGUGAUGGACUAGACCCAAACUAAUAGACGUUGCAUGUUGAUCGUGUCANNNNNNNNNNNNNNNNNNNNNNNNNNNNNNNNNNNNNNNNNNNNNNNNNNNNNNNNNNNNNNNNNNNNNNNNNNNNNNNNNNNNNNNNNNNNNNNNNNNNAUCCACUUACACUAGCUCAAGUCCGAUCAUCACGUGAGUUGAGUAUAGUUUCAGUGGUAAGCAUCCCUAUGCUAAUCAUAUCAUCUAUAUGAUUCAUGAUCGACCUUUCGGUCUCAUGUGUUCCGAGGCCAUGUCUGCACAUGCUAGGCUUGUCAAGCUUAACCCGAGUGUUCCGCGUGCGCAACUGUUUUGCACCCGUUGUAUGUGAACGUUGAGUCCAUCACACCCGAUCAUCACGUGGUGUGUCGAAACGACGAACUGUAGCAACGGUGCACAGUCGGGGAGAACACAAUUUCGUCUUGAGAUUUUAGUGAGAGAUCACCUCAUAAUGCUACCGUCGUUCUAAGCAAAAUAAGGUGCAUAAAAGGAUUAACAUCACAUGCAAUUCAUAAGUGACAUGAUAUGGCCAUCAUCAUGUGCUUCUUGAUCUCCAUCACCAAAGCACCGGCACGAUCUUCUUGUCACCGGCGUCACACCAUGAUAUCCAUCAUCAUGAUCUCCAUCAACGUGUCGCCAUCGGGGUUGUCGUGCUACUCAUGCUAUUACUACUAAAGCUACAUCCUAGCAAAAUAGUAAACGCAUCUGCAAACACAAACGUUAGUUAUAAAGACAACCCUAUGGCUCCUGCCGGUUGCCGUACCAUCGACGUGCAAGUCGAUAUUAUCUGUUACAACAUGAUCAUCUCAUACAUCCAAUAUAUCACAUCACAUCGUUGGCCAUAUCACAUCACAAGCAUACCCUGCAAAAACAAGUCAGACGUCCUCUAAUUUUGUUGUUGCAUGUUUUACGUGGUGACCAUGGGUAUCUAGUAGGAUCGCAUCUUACUUACGCAAACGGAGAUAUAUGAGUUGCUAUUUAACCUCAUCCAAGGACCUCCUCGGUCAAAUCCGAUUCAACUAAAGUUGGAGAAACCGACACUUGCCAGUCAUCUUUGAGCAACGGAGUUACUCGUAGCGAUGAAACCAGUCUCUCGUAAGCGUACGAGUAAUGUCGGUCCAAGCCGCUUCAAUCCAACAAUACCGCGGAAUCAAGAAAAGACUAAGGAGGGCAGCAAAACGCACAUCACCGCCCACAAAAACUUUUGUGUUCUACUGGAGAAGACAUCUACGCAUGAACCUAGCUCAUGAUACCACUGUUGGGGAACGUCGCAUGGGAAACAAAAUUUCUACGAGAGGGGAUGUGUGAUAUUCGUACCAUUGUAGACCGUACAGCAGAAGCGUUAGUGAACGCGGUUGAUGUAGUGGAACGUCCUCACGUCCCUCGAUCCGCCCCGCGAACUAUCCCGCGAUCAGUCCCACGAUCUAGUGCCGAACGGACGGCACCUCCGCGUUCAGCACACGUACAGCUCGACGAUGAUCUCGGCCUUCUUGAUCCAGCAAGAGAGACGGAGAGGUAGAAGAGUUCUCUGGCAGCGUGACGGCGCUCCGGAGGUUGGUGAUGAUCUCGUCUUAGCAGGGCUCUGCCCGAGCUCCGCGGAAACGCGAUCUAGAGGUAAAACCGUGGAGAUAUGUGGUCGGGCUGCCGUGGCAAAAGUUGUCUCAAAUCAGCCCAAAAACCCCACUAUAUAUAGGAGGGAGAGGGGGAAGCCUUGCCUUGGGGUCCAAGAACCCCCAAGGGGUCGGCCGAGCCAAGGGGGGAAGGAUUCCCCUCCCAAACCGAGUCCUACUUGGUUUGGAAGGUGGAGUCCUUCUUCCCUUUCCCACCUCCUCCUUUUUUUUUUCCUUUUUCUCUUUGAUUUUCUUCCCAAUGCGCAUAGGCCCCUUUUGGUCUGUCCUACCAGCCCUUAGUGGGCUGGUGCGGCACUCCCAACACCUAUGGGCUUCCCGGGGUGGGUGGCCCCCCCGGUGAACUCCCUGAACCCAUUCGUCAUUUCCGGUACAUUCCUGGUAACUCCGAAAACCUUCCGGUAAUCAAAUGAGGUCAUCCUAUAUAUCAAUCUUCGUUUCCGGACCAUUCUGGAAACCCUCGUGACGUCUGUGAUCUCAUCCGGGACUCCGAACAACAUUCGGUAACCAACCAUAUAACUCAAAUACGCAUAAAACAACGUCGAACCUUAAGUGUGCAGACCCUGCGGGUUCGAGAACUAUGUAGACAUGACCCGAGAGACUCCUCGGUCAAUAUCCAAUAGCGGGACCUGGAUGCCCAUAUUGGAUCCUACAUAUUCUACGAAGAUCUUAUCGUUUAAACCUCAGUGCCAAGGAUUGAUAUAAUCCCGUAUAUCAUUCCCUUUGUCCUUCGGUAUGUUACUUGCCCGAGAUUCGAUUGUUAGUAUCCGCAUACCUAUUUCAAUCUCGUUUACUGGCAAGUCUCUUUACUCGUUCCGUAAUACAAGAUCCCGUAACCUACACUAAGUCACAUUGUUUGCAAGGCUUGUGUGNNNNNNNNNNNNNNNNNNNNNNNNNNNNNNNNNNNNNNNNNNNNNNNNNNNNNNNNNNNNNNNNNNNNNNNNNNNNNNNNNNNNNNNNNNNNNNNNNNNNNNNNNNNNNNNNNNNNNNNNNNNNNNNNNNNNNNNNNNNNNNNNNNNNNNNNNNNNNNNNNNNNNNNNNNNNNNNNNNNNNNNNNNNNNNNNNNNNNNNNNNNNNNNNNNNNNNNNNNNNNNNNNNNNNNNNNNNNNNNNNNNNNNNNNNNNNNNNNNNNNNNNNNNNNNNNNNNNNNNNNNNNNNNNNNNNNNNNNNNNNNNNNNNNNNNNNNNNNNNNNNNNNNNNNNNNNNNNNNNNNNNNNNNNNNNNNNNNNNNNNNNNNNNNNNNNNNNNCUUGACACGCAGAAAACAGUAGCAACAAAANNNNNNNNNNNNNNNNNNNNNNNNNNNNNNNNNNNNNNNNNNNNNNNNNNNNNNNNNNNNNNNNNNNNNNNNNNNNNNNNNNNNNNNNNNNNNNNNNNNNNCCCCCUCCCUCUCCCCAUAUAUAUAGUUGAGGGUUCGGGGCUGUUUUACACACGGUUUCAUCUCUCUCUCGGCGCAGCCCUGCUCCUCUCCCUCCUCCUCUCUGCCGGCGCUUGGCGAAGCCCUGCCGGGAGACCUGAUCUCUCCACCGACACCNNNNNNNNNNNNNNNNNNNNNNNNNNNNNNNNNNNNNNNNNNNNNNNNNNNNNNNNNNNNNNNNNNNNNNNNNNNNNNNNNNNNNNNNNNNNNNNNNNNNNNNNNNNNNNNNNNNNNNNNNNNNNNNNNNNNNNNNNNNNNNNNNNNNNNNNNNNNNNNNNNNNNNNNNNNNNNNNNNNNNNNNNNNNNNNNNNNNNNNNNNNNNNNNNNNNNNNNNNNNNNNNNNNNNNNNNNNNNNNNNNNNNNNNNNNNNNNNNNNNNNNNNNNNNNNNNNNNNNNNNNNNNNNNNNNNNNNNNNNNNNNNNNNNNNNNNNNNNNNNNNNNNNNNNNNNNNNNNNNNNNNNNNNNNNNNNNNNNNNNNNNNNNNNNNNNNNNNNNNNNNNNNNNNNNNNNNNNNNNNNNNNNNNNNNNNNNNNNNNNNNNNNNNNNNNNUGCUACGUUACCCAACAGUAGCUGUAGCAGCAGGAUUCCUGGCGCUGUUGCCAGGGAAGGUCUGUUGUCGUAGUAGCACCCAUCAGAGCUGUUUAUACGGUGAGGUGUCGUACCCUAGCUAUUUCCAGAUCUGUGCCGCUCUAGCUCUUCUCGCCCCGACCCCUCACCGCCGGCGAACCCCACCAAAACCAGCCCACGCAUUCCAGCCUCGCCGCCGCACAGAUCAUGGGGAGGCUAGGAUCUUCCAGCUCGCGCGGUGGCCAUUCCGGUGGCGGAAACCGGAGGACGAAGCGGCCGACGCCGAAAAUCCCAGAGUCUGAGCGGGAGCGCGAACGGGCGGCGCGGGUUGCUUNNNNNNNNNNNNNNNNNNNNNNNNNNNNNNNNNNNNNNNNNNNNNNNNNNNNNNNNNNNNNNNNNNNNNNNNNNNNNNNNNNNNNNNNNNNNNNNNNNNNCCGAUCAAAGAGACGCUCAACGUGUUGCUGAAAAAGAUGAAACUUUGCAAACACAUCAGAUUUAUGCUUGAGUAAAUAAAUCCAGGUAAACUUGCUGAAAUCAUCAAUGAAGCUAACAUAGUACUUUUGCUUUCCUACAGAGAGGGGUCCAGGCCCCCACACAUCAGAAAAAACAAGCUCUAAAGGAGCUUUGGACUCACUAGUGGAACGAGCAUAAGGGAGUUGAUGGCUCUUGGCCAUUUGACAUGAAUCACAAACUAACAGGUGAUCUUUUUAUUGGACACAGGAAGACAAAAAUAUCUAAGAAUUUUCUGGACAACAGGCAAAGCCGGAUGCCCUAGACGCUUAUGCCAUCUUGAAGUGGACGGNNNNNNNNNNNNNNNNNNNNNNNNNNNNNNNNNNNNNNNNNNNNNNNNNNNNNNNNNNNNNNNNNNNNNNNNNNNNNNNNNNNNNNNNNNNNNNNNNNNNNNNNNNNNNNNNNNNNNNNNNNNNNNNNNNNNNNNNNNNNNNNNNNNNNNNNNNNNNNNNNNNNNNNNNNNNNNNNNNNNNNNNNNNNNNNNNNNNNNNNNNNNNNNNNNNNNNNNNNNNNNNNNNNNNNNNNNNNNNNNNNNNNNNNNNNNNNNNNNNNNNNNNCUCGAUCCUUGACAAAAAUAAUUUCAGGGUAAACUUCAAGAAAGGCAUAAUUAUCAUUGAUAAGUUUGUGAGCAGAGAGAAGACUUUUGUCAGCUAGGGGUGCAUGGAGGAUGUUGUUUAAGUGUAGAGAUCCAUGGGGAGNNNNNNNNNNNNNNNNNNNNNNNNNNNNNNNNNNNNNNNNNNNNNNNNNNNNNNNNNNNNNNNNNNNNNNNNNNNNNNNNNNNNNNNNNNNNNNNNNNNNNNNNNNNNNNNNNNNNNNNNNNNNNNNNNNNNNNNNNNNNNNNNNNNNNNNNNAGAGAUCCAUGGGGAGUAGACAAAACAGAGUUACCAAUAUGAGCAAUGUUNNNNNNNNNNNNNNNNNNNNNNNNNNNNNNNNNNNNNNNNNNNNNNNNNNNNNNNNNNNNNNNNNNNNNNNNNNNNNNNNNNNNNNNNNNNNNNNNNNNNCCACUGUGCUGGAAAGAACUCCCUGGAUUGGGAGUCCGCUGGGUCGCCCCCGUCCUUGCUCCAGUCCUAGCGCCUCUCCUCCUCGAAGCGUACGUCACGCGUGAUGUAGAGACGCUUGCCGACGGGAUCAUACACCAUGUAUCCCUUCGUGCCCGGCUCGUACCUGAGAAAGAUACCUGGGCACGAUCUGUCUGCUAGCUUGUUCUGGCCAGGUCCGAUGAGCUUGACAUGUGCGACGCAACCGAAGGUGUGGAAGUAGUCCACCGUCGGCUUCUUCUUGCGCCAAGCUUCGUAUGGCGUCACCCCCUGAAGGCUUCUCGUUGGUGACCUGUUGAGGAUGUGUACUGCCGUGCGCACCGCCUCGCCCCAGAACGUGCUUGGUACACCCAUGCUCUUCAUGAGACUACGGGCCAUCUCAACGACAGAUUGGUUUCUCCUCUCGACGACUCCGUUCUGCUGCGAAGAGUACGGCGUCGUUGUGUUCCCGUGGAUGCCUGCCUCCUCGCAGAACACAGCAAAUUCAUUUGAGUUGAACUCGCCGUCGCGGUCCGUGUGGAGUGCCCUGAGCUUCACUCCGCUCUGCAUCUCCGCGGCCGCCUUGAUCUCCUUGAAGAAACGGAAUGCCUCAUCUUUGCUCCUGAGCACCUCAAGCCACAUGUACCGGCUGUGAUCGUCCACCAUGAGCAGGAAGUAUCUGUUGCCGCUCAUAGUCGCCGGCGUGAUGGGGCCACAGAGGUCGCCAUGAACGAGGUCGAGUCCCUGCUCUGCACGAAACGCCGUCGUGCGUGGGGAUGGCGGGUGAUGCAUCUUCCCCAGAGUACACCCUUCGCAGAAUUGCUCCAGGUGUUGGACAACUGGCAUGCCCCUUACCAUCGCCUUCGCACUCAGAGAGUGCAGUGCACGGAAAUGGAGAUGCCCAAACCUUGCGUGCCAGCGCCAGGCCACAGCGUCAUCCAUCUUCCCGAAGAGGCACACGGGCGCAGCCAAGUUCAGAGCCACGGCGUACAGUCGGUUGCUCGUCCGCUGCACCCGCGCUUGCAGCACGCUCUCCCUAUCGUACAGACAGAGCACGCCGUCCUGGAUCACUGAUCUCCACCCGUGUUCAUCGAGUUGCCCCAGGCUUACGAUGCUUGUUCGUAGCUGGGGGAUGUAGUAGACAUCGGUGAGGGCUCGGUGCUCGCCAUUCUUGCAGGUAAACACGACCGCGUCGCGCCCGCAUAUCUGUAUGACGGACCCGUCGCCGAAGCGAACCGUGCCACGCACGGACUCGUCGACCUGCGUGAGCAGAUCACGGUGUCCCGUCAUAUGAUUGCUAGCGCCUGUGUCCAGGUACCACCGGUCAUCGUUUGUGGCCACCGGUACCACCCGCGCUUCGUUGAGGAAGAUCUCGUCUGCUUCCAGGUUCGGAGCGGCUGGGGCUGGUGCGUGCUGUGCCUCACAGGCUGCGAGAAGCAGUCCUGGCUGCUCCACCUCGCCCUCAACCACGGCCACGUUGGCCUGCUGCUCUUGUUGCUCGCGAUCCCGAGCCCUUUUGCGGCACUCUUUCAGCCAGUGUCCGGCGAUGCCGCAGUAGUGACAGUCACCUUUUCUCCUGGGUGCUGCCGUUCCUCCACUGUCGCGGCCAGCACCUUGGCCGCGACCUCCUCCUCCUUGUGCUCCCUUCGGCUUUCUGUUUCCACGCCCACGACGCUNNNNNNNNNNNNNNNNNNNNNNNNNNNNNNNNNNNNNNNNNNNNNNNNNNNNNNNNNNNNNNNNNNNNNNNNNNNNNNNNNNNNNNNNNNNNNNNNNNNNNNNNNNNNNNNNNNNNNNNNNNNNNNNNNNNNNNNNNNNNNNNNNNNNNNCGACGCUCUCCGCCGUUCGACGAUCCGCCGGAGGAGCCACCACUGAGCUCGAGUUGUCGUUGGCGUGCCAACCAUUCGUCAGUUGUGAACAUAAGUUGGCCCCGAGACGUUUGUGUCUGCUCGUGUUCGCGCUCCUCGACGACAAGGAGCCGCCCACACAACUCCUCGAGGGAGAGAUGCUUGGUGUCCACCAGGGAUUCGAUCGCGACUGCCAUCUCGCGGUAUGGACGUGGCACUGUGCGGAGGACCUUGAGGACAGCUUUGUGCUCGUCCACCAGAUCUCCGAGUGCCUCCAGCUGGCCGAUGAUCGUUCUCAGACGCAUCACAUAGGACUCGAUUCCCUCGCCGUCCUUGUACCGGAGCGAUUCGUACUCCGAGCGACGGGUCUGUGCCUUGGCCUCGCGAACUCGCUCGACCCCGACACGCAUGGUCUUCAGGGUGUCCCACGCCUGCUUGGCCGUGGGCUUUGCACCUAGGAUGCGCAUCGGCUCCGGCGGCACUCCCUUCAGGAGCGCGAUCAUGGCGCGUCGGUCGUCGCGGUCUGAGCCUUGCCCAGUCUCCACGACCCUCCACAACUCGCCAGCUUGAAGCUGCAGCUUGGUGAUCAUGGCCCAGUCGGAGUAGUUCGUGCGCGUGAGCAUCAUCGGGGGUGCCCCACCCCCGCCUCCGUGCACGACGCGCUCGAUCACACGCACCCCCGACCCCUCCUCUGUUGAGAGGCGAGCCAGGGAUCUCUCUAGUCCCAGCGACGUUGCGCCGGCCUCGUCACUGUCCUCCCGCUUCUUGUUCUUCUCGUCGUCGCUUGGGGCCAUCUCUCCGGCGGAUCGGACACCGCCGGCGCCUAGGCUGGAUCGGACACCACCUAGCUCUGAUGCCACUUGUUGUUGUUGACGGCCGACGAUCGCACGAGAGAAAGGGAGAUCGAGAGGGACGACGAACUAACACCGUCAGAGACGAGGUUUUUGCGCUGCUCAACUGCUUGCAGCUUUUCUCUCUGUUUCUGUUAUUCAUAGGCUAGCCCAACGGCUGCCGAAAGAACAAGUAAAACUAGCCUAUAGUCCCGGCCCUGUUCCAAGCCGGGACCAAAGGUGCUCCACGUGAGCGCCUCGGAGGGAGUACCUUUAGUCCCGGUUCUACUUACGAACCGGGACUAAAGGAUCCGUCUGUUUAUUUUGUUUGUUUGACCCGAAAAGGUAGAUUUUUUUUUAAUUUUUUUCAAAUUUUAUUUUGGAAUAUUUUUUAUGUUUUAUUCCAAUUUUCAAAUCUUUGAAUUAUUUGACAAUUUAAUCUCUAAUCACCCAUCCUCACUACUCUAGAGUGGAUCACUCAUUUCAAAUCGUCUAACUUCCCGACCGAUCACCCAUCCUUUCACUCCUUCAGCCCGAGCACGCUUAACUUUCUGGUUCUAUAGCCCCUAGUUGCCAAGUAUGCACUUGUUGUUUUCCUGACAAUAGUAAGCUAUCAAUCCUAAAUAACUUGGGUCUUGAUGUCAUGUCACAUGAUUUAAUUUUUUGAAUUACAAACAAUUAUGAAAAUAAACUUAAUAAGUAGCAAUAAUAGUGAAUUUCAAUGAAAACAACCUAAUAUUUUUAAAUAAAAUUAUUUUUCUUUUUUUUUUGGAAAAAACUUCUUUUUGAAAUAACUUUUUUUCCAUUUGGAAUUUUGAGCAUGUGAGAAAACUUCACCGGGCAAGCCGGGUGAAAUCGAGUACCAAUUUUUUCUAGUUUUUUUUAUAUAUUAAUUUUUUUUGGACGUUGUAUGCAAAAGUUAUGGCCAUUUAUUUUUUUCCUUUUUUUGCAAAAACGGUCAAAAUUCAUAUCUCAAAAUUUCUAUACCGACUAGACACUAAAACCUAACAUCUCAAAGGAUUUUAUUUUUUAAAGAUUUUAUCAUUUUUGUUUAUUUUUUAAAGAUUUUAUCAUAUUUAUCUAUCAUCGUAUGAACUUGCUUGUGGUUUGAAGCUUGAACUAUGCUAUGAAUUUGAAUGCUAUAUUUUAGUUUCCAAGCAGCGAUGUAGCGCACGCUGGAUUUUACCGCACCUGGUGAUGCGCUAGAACGGCGUGCUAAAUUUUGCAGGGGCUGAAAAAUCAACAAUCAUACUGCACGCGUUAAAGCUCUAUUUCGGCGUUACGAACUUUUUUUUAGCACGCCGAGCUACCGCGCCUGUUGAAAAUGCUGAGUAUAUACCUUUGGAGCAAUGCUACAUCUACGUAUAUACCUUUGGAGCAAUGCUACAUCUACAUCUACGUAACCAAAUAAAUCUUACUGUGACAACAAUCUAACACAUGAGUGGGAGCAAAAAGAAUUAAAUUAAAAACUAUUUGUAAACUCAAGUUAUUCAAAAACUGGCUUUGAAGCAAAUUUAAACAAAUUCAAAUUUAAACCAUUCAAAUUUGAAAACUAAUGGCACAAACAGAAACUAGACAAAAUUUUGAAUCUAAUGCAAAAAGAAUCAAUCAAAAACAUCAAAUAUCCUAAAAGAUAUUAGCAAUUUAAAACAGAAACUACAAACAAGAAUUUAAAAACAGAAGAAAAAAAAUCUGAACACCUUUAGUCCCGGUUCGUGUCACGAACCGGGAGUAAAGGUCUACCCUUUAGUCCCGGUUCAAGACACGAACCGGGACUAAAGCCUCCAAACCCUUUAGUCCCGGUUCGAGACACGAACCGGGACUAAAGGUCCCAUUUGAACCGGGACUAAUGCCCGACCGGCGUCUUUGCCGCUCGAACCGGGACUAAUACUAAUAUUAGUCCCGGUUCGUAAAGGAACCGGGACUAAUGUGUUUUUCGAGCUGGGACGAAAGCCCUUAUUUCUACUAGUGCUAUCUACUGACGCUACUAACCAAGCGUGGACAUACACACGUUGUCGGCGUUUAUUCAGAAAACCAACACUUGUAGAUGUUCUUCGUGCAACUGAUUAGCUAACAAUAUUUAAGCUUGGCCUAGCUUUCUGCCAUGAUUCCACAAGGCACAGAAUGAAGAUGAUGCACGUAGUCAAGGAACUGAACGUCAUAAAGAGAGCAUGCGAGGGUGAUGUGCCUGUCCAUGAAUUUUGAUCAACCGCUUAAUCCAAGCAAGCAAUGAAGCAUUACGAUCAUCUUUACGGCCAAUCGGUUACCAGUUUUAAUCCCGUGGCCUGUGACAUUAUGGUCUGGUCUGGGAAACCUGUUUGUGACUUUGGGGUGAUUCUGAAGUCAGCAUUUCCAUUUCUCAUCCAUUAUAUUAUAUGUUUGUCCAGUAUACAUGUAUUUGUUUCUAAAAUUCAAAAGGCUACUCUGUGUCGCAAUCUGGUUGCUUUCAUAUUCUUGUCACCGAAAUUCAGCUCUUUGGUUUUCAUAGUAUAUAUAUACUAAUGGCUUUGAUUUGGCACCCAAUGCAAGUGCGUGAAAUUCGGUGGUAUUUUGUAUCCAUUGAUUACUGCACGUUAGAGAGAGAGAUAGAGGACAUUUCAAAGAAGAAGAAAAGAGGAGAGGAGAGAGAGAGAGAGGUACAUUGCCUUUUUAAAAGAAUUAGGGAAACUUUUUUUUAGUCCAAACACUAGAGAAACUUUUUUUUCCUGAAAAUAACAAGGAACACAACAGCGAGCACGGCCACCAUUUGAACCUGUGCGAGCACGGCCACCGCGUGAGCCAAUCUAUUCCCCACGGCGAUCAUUUUUUUCCUUACACAUAUCCUCUCCUUCAGCCUAGAUCUUAUGCUGCAAAGUGACUGGACCUCAGUCCACAAUAGUAUAGUGAACCCAUCUUAUACUGCAUGCACAAUAGUCCACAAUUGCAGCCAAUCUAAUGGGUUCAUCUCCAAAAUCGGUGAAGCUCAGUCCGCCGCGGCAGAAAUUUAUUUCCUUCCACUAUUUUCUUUCCAUGUAUGUGCAUGCAGUAUGCUGAUCAGUGUGCAAAGAACCCAUUAGUUCUUACAGUAUGCUCAUUUUUUGCUUGACCGGAAGGCUGAGGAGCUCCAGUUAGAAACAACAGGAAAUUAAAAAAACUAAUCAUUCAUUCAUUUGCUUUGUAAAAUUUCAGUCUAUUGUUUGGGCCUCUGGAACCACUUUUGCUGUGAAGGAAGAUGGAAAAUCAGUCGUUUUCGCAGUUGCAAAAGAUAAUGGCGUGGCCAACUCGCCACCAGGAAGACCCAGUCGAGGGGAGGCCAACGGGAUGGAUACGGUUGUUGGCUUCGAAUCGCUGGAUCAAAUCACCCGGGAGCUACACACGCGCACAAAGCUGGCUAUGCAAACAAGCAAGCAAGCAGCCACCCAGGUUGAUGGAUCGACCGUAGCCACACAGCGUAUAAUACGCGUCUUGCCGGAGCUACUCUAGUUGAUUUCGAUCAACUCUAGGUAGCAGAACAAGAAACUUUGCACCGAAUCGAUUUAUAGCCAGAGGCUCUUGACGUGCCUUGUUUUAUUGCUUUGCUCUUUUUUCUCUGGUGUUACAAUCAACACCCCUAGGGUGUCUUUUAUACACGUCCACAAGGGACUAUGGAAAUAGACUAGGACUAGGAAUCCUGAUACUACUAGGACUCGGUUUGGCUUUCUUUCCUAAUCCUACAUGAGCAACAUGAUUAACAUCUACAACGGUGGCACCGGAAAUGACGGAUCCCGCGGAGCGUAGUGUGUGGGCAGGAGAAGGCUACGUAGGCAUUAAGCUGGUAGGAUAGGAUUGAAAAGUCAGAUAGGGAUUGGCUAUUCAUUGUGGAACCUUGGAAUUCAACCAGAUACAUGAUAUAGUUGGGUUUCUCUAUUAUUGCCUUGUUGAGCUGCUGUUUUGGGAAUUUUGGCUUCCUCUCAUUAAUUCCCUUGCAGGACAGAAUUACUAGUAUCUGCCUUGCCUAAUCUCUGUGUCAGCUCCUACAACGCUGCUUCUCACUUCUUCAUCCGUGUAAGCUCACAACUAAUCUCCUCUGUUUUCCUCUACAAAUCUGGAUUUUUUACUACUGUAUUAUCUUCCUUGUUGCAACCGGCUAAUCUAUCUUGUGAUUUCCCACACCAACAGCUGUUCAUCCGUUGCUAUAUUAACUGGUUAUUUCUUCCUCCGACCCGGAAGCACUUUCAUUGCUCUUCUAUUAUUUAUUCAGGUUAGUUUCCACGCUCAAAAUAGUAUUCUUACCUUUUGCCAUUGUCUACACAUCUGAUCUCCCAGUGGGUUUCUUUUUUCUUGUCAUCAUUGCAGUUUGCUAAUUUAGCUCGGGGUCUACGACUUCAAGAGGUUUUUAUCCAUCAGUGCUUCCAGAAGUAAUUCCAAUCCUGGUAUUUCAUAUAUUCAGGCCAUUCCACACAAAAAAAAAAAUCCAAACAAGAGAGUGGAAAUUCAGUUGUGCACUUCUUCAUCUUCAUAAUAGCUAGGUGUCCCAUCCCUUAAACACCCCUUUAACUCUCUUCCAGCCUAGUGACCCUCACAUUAGAGAAGGAGAAGUGUGUUCUUUUACCUACUUCCCAUAAUUUUUCUUUCUACACCCAAAAUAUUUUCAUCCACAAAACAAACACAACUCCCUCCCUAGGCCUUUACACCCAAAAAAUAAACCCUACAUUCCGAUGGAAGUGGCGUUAGCUACUGCUGCCUUAAGCGUAAGCUUCAAAUUGGCUGCAUCGCCGGCCUUAAAGAAGCUCCUUUCUAAUGCUUCAACGUACCUUGGAGUGGAUAUGGCGCAUGAGCUCCAUGAACUGGACACCACUAUCUUGCCGCAGUUCGAGCUGUUGAUUGAAGCAGCAGAUAAGGGAAACCACAGGCCCAAGUUGGACAAUUGGCUUCAGGAAAUCAAAGAAGGCUUCUACCUAGCUGAAGACUUGCUGGACGAGCAUGAGUAUAACAUCCUCAAGCGCCAAGCAAAGGGGAAGGAUUCCUUGCCAGCCAAUGCCUCCUCCAUCAGCAACACUUUAAUGAGGCCUCUGCGUGCUGCAUCAACCAGGCUGUCCAAUUUGAGCUCUCAAAACAGAAAGCUAAUUCAACAUCUGAAUGAACUGAAGACCACCCUGGCGAAAGCCAAGGACUUCCGUCAACUGCUCUGCGUACCAGCUGGUUAUGAUGCAGAGAACCGUCCCAUAUCAUCAGCUGUUGUUCCUGAGACCACAUCAAUACCACCUCUGAAAGUGUUUGGUCGUGACAAGGAUCGUGAUCAUAUAAUAAAGUGUCUUACCAAGACAACUGCUAGUUCUGAGUCUAGUACAGCCAUGUACUCGGUUUUGGCCAUUGUUGGAGCUGGAGGCAUGGGAAAGUCCACCUUGGCACAGCUUGUUUACAAUGACAAUAGGGUAAAAGAAUAUUUUGAUGUGACGAUGUGGGUAAGCAUCUCACGCAAACUUGAUGUCCGCCGUCAUACACGAGAGAUCAUUGAGUCAGCCUCUCGGGGAGAAUGCCCACGCAUUGAUAACCUUGAUACUCUGCAGCGCAAAUUGACAGACAUACUGCAAGAAUCAGGGAAAUUCCUACUUGUAUUGGAUGAUGUUUGGUUUGAACCUGGCAAUCAGAGGGAAUGGGACCAAUUGUUUGCUCCUCUAGUUUCCCAACAGACGGG
rnacentral:lncRNA from 1 species